AGUUGUUCGAACGAUGACUUCAAAUCAUUAGUCCUAGAAUACAUGUCCAACGGGAGCUUGGAGGAUUGGCUGCAUUCUAGCAAUUAUGUGCUUAAUAUUUUUCGCAGGUUGAACAUAAUGAUUGACGUUGCAUCAGCUUUAAAAUAUCUCCACUUCGAUCAUUCAACUCGUAUCAUUCAUUGUGACUUAAAGCCUAAUAAUGUGUUGUUGGGUGAAAAUAUGGUUGCUCAUUUGAGUGAUUUUGGCAUAGCAAAGCUUUUAAGUGGAAGAUGAGUCUACGAUGCGAACAAAAACCCUUGCCACUAUAGGUUAUACGGCACCAGGUUUGCUUGAAACAACUUUUUUUUUUAGUUUAUUUUAAAAUUUCCAAAUUAUUGAUUUUUACGAUCCUCAUAUCAAAAUGUUAUUGAUUAUUUAUCUAAUUAUGAAAUAAUUUAAUUCAUAGAGUAUGGCAUAGAAGGAGAAAUAUCUGCAAAAAGUGAUGUUUACAGCUAUGGGAUUAUGUUGAUGGAAACUUUUACCAAGAAAAAACCCACAGAUGAGAUUUUUGUUGGAGAAUUGAGCUUAAAGCGUUGGGUUAAUGACUUGCUUCCUAAUUCAUUAGUGGAAGUUGUGGACAAAAUUCUGAUAAUUGGAGAGGAAAAACAUUUUGCCGCAAAGGAGCAAUGUCUGUUCUCUAUCUUUAUUUUGGCUCUGGAGUGUACAAUGGAAUCACCGGAAAAGAGGAUCAAUACAAAAGAUAUUGUUACCAGAUUACUCAAGAUAAGAGACACAUUGAGUAAAAGGAUAGGAAAUUUAAGUUAAUUUUGUUUGCUUUCAUUGAUAGUUACUUUGAAUUCAUGUAAUAAGUGUAAGAAUCGUUUAUCUUUUCUUUUGAUAUUUUUUUCUUGAGAAAACUGUUGUAGUCAUCUUUUUUCAAUGGGCAGAGUUGAUUUAGUUCUUCCAAGAAAUGCUAUUGUUGAUCUUUGUUAUAUACUUUUGUCUUUUUUUGCAUGCAUUUAGGUAGAAUAGUGGUCUAGCUGCAGGCUAACAAGUCAAGCUACGCUAAAAGGGUAUGAUUUAAUUUAUUAAACCUAACUUCAAGUUCAAGAAUUGUAUCUCAUUGCCACCAAUGCUUUAGACACCUAUUGGUAGGUUUGUGUCCUCAACUUUGUUUAGAGCAAAAGUUCCAGUCCCAUGGAGGCUCAAAUAUUCCUCUCCUACGUCCCGAACACACUAAAUUCAUCAGCCUCUUGAACCCUCUCCUGAGGGCGCCUUCUGUCCUCUGUUUUCUGUUUCCAUACACAAAUAGCAAAAAGAAUUCAGAAUGACAACUGGGACAUAUAUAAGAGUGAAAUAAUUAAAAAAAAUUAUGCUUUUUUGUUUGUCGUGUUAAAAUCGUAAGGUAUCUAAGUACUAUGAAAGAGAUUAGUUUACGAAAACUGAAGCCAAGGGUUCAUAAAAAAGUGCAAAGAGAAUAAAGGACAACGCUUAUGUAAAGCGACAUAAUUGUAUUGGUAGCACAAUGUCACGUUCAUACAGAGAUCAAGUACAUUAUUUACAGCUGGUAAGGGCUAAGAAUUGAUGUAGCUAGAAUACAAAUAUGAUAAGGUAUGUUGUGCACUAUUGUUUUAUUCUACAAUCAAUCUUGACCCUUGAUGCUUGGCUCUCAAUCUUGUCCAUUGAUCUUCUCUGAUCUCGAAAACUUCAAGACCUUUCAAUCUCAUGCCUUAUUAUUGGUAUGUUCUAUGCUGUUAAUUUCAAAUACUAGCUUUUCCGCCAACUUGCCAAUUAUUUGUUCAUUGGUGCGUUCUGUCAAACAGUGUGGAUACUUAUACCAAACGCUUUCUGUUUUAACUCCCCCUUUCAAGCUCAACUAUCUGGGAAGACACUAAUAAGCUUGUUUCUCAAGUAUAUGUAUCUGAAAAUUAAAUUUUCAAAAUUAUAUUCGGACUCUACAUUUUCUAAUGAACAUUGGUUUGGCUCAUAAGCUUAUUAUACUUGGGCUUGGUAGGAUUAUCGGUCGGUAGAUGAACAAGUGUUAGAGCUUUCGAAUUUAUGCCAAUUAAAAAAAAAUCUAUAUAAAUUUUCCACUAGGCUAUUACCACAAUAAACAUUUGGAUGAACUAUUAUUGAAACCUUAUUGAGAAGUAGGACAUGUCGCAUACCAAUGCACUGACAUAUCUUCAAAUAGUGGUAACUCCACACAACAUGGCACAAUAAAUUAGAGUUAUAUAGAUAAAAUCUUUCACUCUUUGGUAAUCAUCAAUGUCGGCAUGGCAAUGCGUCCGACAAAAUUCAUAAAUCAAAACAAAAAUAGAGAAUCAUAUUUGUUUCAGAUUGUAGUGAUGGUUGUUCAUAAUUCACAAUUUUAUUUAAUAUCUUCAAAUUCGCAUUUUAAAAUGCACAAAUGUUUGUGUAUACAUAAUUAGUAAUCGAUUCUCAAGCUUGGACAUUUAAAAGCACUGCUAAAAGACAAAAUUUUAAUUCACUAUUUUUUGUCUUUUAAUUUUCUUUAAGUUUUAAUGAUUCCGCAUUUUAAAAUCCUGUGGAACGUACAUGUAAAAUUCUUUUAUCUUUUAGAGGAAAAUGGGCAAGAGAAGAAGAUUUGGCAAAGGAAUUGCAACCGCAUUUGGAGCUAGUUUUAAUUUUGUCUUUUAAUUCUUUUACACUUGGCUUUUGUUAUUGAUGUCAACUUCGAUGUGUGUGCGUGUGCGACUGAAUUCAACUUACAUGCUAUUGAUGCAGCCACCAAAAAGGGGUGGUCCAUCAUCAAUCAACAAGGUUUAUUAUUAUUUCCAUAUUGAUUUUCUUAAUUAUAAAUAAUACUAAUGUUAUUUCAUAGUUAUAAAUAUAUUAGAAUUAAUCGAAAUCAUUUUUUAGUGUGGCAUGGCUAAAACUACCUUUUUUUUUUAUAAGUAAUUACUACUUUCACAUUAAGAAAAAUACUCCUAUUUUUAAGGAAAAGUCAAGUACCUGUAGUUGUGAAGACUCAAGCUCACUCCCUUAUGAUAAAUCUUCAUAUUAAUUACGUAAAUAUCCUCUAAAAUUUUAAAUUAGCUAUUCAAAAUUUGAUGUUAUACGGGUAUUUCAUUUAUUUGAGUAGGGGUUAGGGGUCAAUUGGAUACAAAUUCAAAAUUAUCCUUACUUGAGAAGGUGAUAAAAAUUGGGGAUUUAGUUUGGAUGUCAUUAGCUACAAAUAUUAAACUCAUACAUUUAAUUCAAAAUUAGAGGGCUGAUAUGUGCGCAUCAUCGUCCACGUUAUAGUGACACUGCGUCACCAUUCCACAACCUCUCCAAUGAAAAAUUGACAUGCUUCUUGUGCGCAUCUAAUCAGAAUCUUGAAAAUUAAUCACAAAAUUGUACUUUUAUUAUAAAAAGAAUAAAGAAACUCCAAGAAAAAAAAAAAGACUUACAUAAAUAGAUUGAAAAAUCUAGAUUUCAAGUUGUCUAUAUUAGCUUGAUAUUUUUAUUAAUAGUCAUCCUCCCAAAAAAAUUCCAUCAAAAUAUAUUUUAAUUUUAUGUUAAUUCAUAAACAUGAAAAAAUCAUUUUAGAAUUAAUUAAAACAUAAUUUAUUGUUGCUCAAAAAAGGUAGAACUUAGUUAUCAGAAAAAAGUGUCUAAAAUAUAUGUUAAAAAAAAAUCAUGGUUGGUUGGACUGAUUGAAUUUUUUUUUUCUUUUUUAAGAAUUAAGACAAUUGGAUGGAUUGAGUAAUAAUAAUACAUAUUUAUUUGGCAAAUGGCAGGGAGGCUUUCGUCUGAUGCAGAUUGAUUAGAGAGAAAAUAUAACAAUUUUAAGCUCGUCAGAUUCGAAGCUGCUUACCUGUCGUGUGGGGAUCACUUCCGUGUCUUAUUUUUCUAGAAAAAUCUGGACCAUUGGAUUUACCAUUAGUCAAUAGAGAAAUGUUGAUCUUGAUUCUUGAUCAAGAUCGAAGUUUGAUUCUAACUAACACGAUAUCAGAUUGCGAAGCAAGCAAAUUGAAAGUCACUUGUUCUAUGGAAGAAACACAAGUUCUAAUAAAACAUUCUCAUAGUAAAGUGAAUUACCAUCCAACGAUCCAACUCAUGUUUUCAAAUUGUAAAUUGCAAAUCGUGUGUUUGCUCCAUUACAGAGUUUCUUCAAUCUGAAAUAGCGAAUCAUUUGUGUUCUAGAUUAAUCGUGGGUCUAUAUCCAAAUCUAAAAAUUGACUAACUUGAUUUCUAUUAAAUUCUUAAUCCUAACAAGAAAAAUUGAAGAUUAAAAACGACUAAUUUGGUACCAUACCACUAUUGUAACAUAGGUAGAUCCUCUAUUAAUUGGAGUAAAGAUUGAAUUAUCUCAUUUAUUAAGGUUUAUCAAAAUCUUGUGUCAAAAUCUAUUAAUGAUAUAGGUUCAAGGAUGAAAAAGUCACUGCAUUACUUUUGAGUUCCCAAAUAGAUGAAUGGAUGUUAUUUUUAGAUUCCGGAGAGUCGAAAAUAUUAAGAUAGGUGCUAAAUCGAAUUAAGUUGUAGAUACGAUAGAAAUGGAUUUGGAGAGAUUGGAAUCCUAGGUAAUCCGGUGCACGUUGUCGUGUUAAAUUCUCGUUGACUUCACGUUGACUGAAGCAUUAUUGGAAGAAACAAGUUUAUUGAUGUGAGGCCUUUGAGGUUGUAAGUGUUAAAUCUGAGAAGAAUACCCACACACCCAUUAUCCUAUUACUCUUAUAUCACAUGAAGAGAAUUCAACAUUUGAUUCACACGGAAAAAAUUUGUGAGGAAUGUGAGGGUUGAUGGAAUAUAAUUUAGAUACAAAGUGUUUACCAGUGCGAUGCUUCGCAAGUGUUCUUGAAUCAAUAUAAACUCACAUUAUUUUCAUAGUGAUUGUUUCAUCUGCACGUUAAUAUAAUCACAUGUCGAGAUUUUUUUCCUUAAAUUAUGGUCUUAUUUAGUAUUGAGGUGUUAUAUCUUUUAAGGUACAAUUAUUGUUGGAAAAAAGUUACAACUAUCAAAUAAAAUUAAUACUAUGUGCUAAAUAUAAUUGUUAAAUAAUAAUUUUGACAAAAUUAGUGAAGUUAUAUAGAUUUUUUUCAUCAUCCAAGUAUAAAAUCAAAUCAACUUAACUUCUAAGUUAUAUAUCGGCUACUGUUUAUCAUAUGUUUUAGUUUUGUAACUUUUAAAUUAUAGUUACCCAACCUCAAUUCUAAACAAGACCUAUAAAGAUCAAAGAUUUCCUCAUUAAAUUAUAUGUCUUGUGAUUGCUUAUUUAAUUUAUAUUUUUGUUAUUUAUCUUUAUUAAUUAUAAUCAUCUUUUUAUAAAUUAAAAUUGAAGGAAGUUGAUUGAUGUUGUUGACACACACACGCACGCGCACGCACACACUCACAAAGAUAUAUUGGAAGUGCUUACGUCGACUCGAAGUUGUUGGGAAUUAAUGCAUGUAUUGAUUUAUUGGGAGUGUUUAAAUGAUUUUGUGAUUUACUUGAUUUAUUGAUUGAAUAUUGUUUGAUUGCUUCAUAUCCAUUCUAGAAAGUUUAUUUCUUUGUGAAAGUUCAACGAAAUAUGUUUUUUUUUUUAAAUAAGGGUGUUCUAAAUAAUUUUAAAAAAUAUAUGCUUGUCUUCCCAAAAUAGCCUUUGAAUACACAAGUAAAUGUCUAGCCUUUGGUGAGGAUAGUUUGGUCAUUGCAUUUUACAAGUAAGAUGAGUGGUGGAGAAAAAUGAGGAGUGCACAUAACUCUUCAGCAAAUCCCACCAACAAUUCCAUUUUCUUAAUUAAUUAAUCUCCUUUUUUAUCCCCAAACAAAUCCUAAUGAUACUAUUAUCAGGUUUAAAACAGUACACAAAUAGUGAAAAGCUAACUAGUCUGUAGAGUAAUUUGCUAAUUGCUAUCUCCUCUCUAUGCUCGCUGAAUAAUUUGUUGCAUGCAAACUUUUUAUUUUAUGCAAAUCAUACGUACUGUAACAUUGGAAUUGAUGUAUAAGCAAAAAUACAAUAAUAUUUAUGUCAAUACAAAUAGUUUUUUUUCCCUUUUUAAAUAAACACAACGCGAUGUUGCUCUGCUCUACAUUUUUGCUAUCUCUUUAUUAUUAUUAUUUUUUUUUGGGCUUCUUAAAGCCUCAAACUUUGAUAACCAAAACUUCAUCGACCUAUGAAAAAAUCUGCAGAUUAGUUUUUAUUAUCGGAAUAAUUGUUUGAGAAUACUAAAACAAAAUAUAAAAUAAGAAAAUACGGGGUUAAAUUUGGGGAAAACAAAAAGGCAUGUUGGAUAGAUUACUAUAGUUUAAGGGGAAAAAAAAAUUCAAUUGGAAAUUUUUUUCUUUAAUUUUUGUUUUACUUGAUUGAGAUUUCUCCUUAGUCCUUACAGUUUUAAGUUUGGAUGCCGUAGGGUUAGUAAUUUAGUAUUUCCCUUGCAAGCUGAGCUUAAGGAUGAAAUUUCUUUUAAGAAAUUAAAAAAGAUUAAAAAAAGCAUACCAAUAGGUAAUUAUAAAUAACCAUAAAUAAACAUAAACAAAAUGUUUAUGAAGUAAAUUACACAUGCACAUAUUAUUUUUUUGUUAUAUUUCUUACUUGUCUAUUUUAUUUGCUGCUUGAUAACCCGUAAAUACUAAUCUAGUACUGCUAAUUUCAGACACAAAAUGUUUAACUCUAGGCUGCAGUUUUACUCAAAAUGAUGACCACUGGCUUCGCACCAUUUAACCGGCAUACAUUUCUACAAAUUGAACAAGGCUAUUGAUUUUCAUUAUUAUUUUUUAUUUAUUUAUAAAUUACUAUUUUAAUUUUCACUUUUUAUUGGGUUGUUUACAGAUUAGUGAAGUUGGUGGUCGUGAUGCACUCACAAGGUACAAUUUUAUUUUAUAAUUUCAAAUUUGUAUUUUAAAAUGCAGGUACAUUAUGUAUACAUAAUUAUUGAUUUUCAUAUGUGGGUGUUUUGAAAUAUUGCUAAAAGACCAAACUUUAAUAAACUAUUUUUUAUCUUUUUUUUUCCUAAAGUUUGAGUGAUAUCCGCAUUUUAAAUUCAUGUGGAACAAAAGCUAAUGUAUGCUCAAAAUUCUUUUAUUUUUUCCGAGAAGAAUGGGUAAGAGAAGAAGAUUUUUCUGUUGAAAAAGAAAAACUAAUACGAUGCAAGCAUAGGAAAGAGGUCAGUGUUUUGGAUUAGAAUUUAGUAUUGAGCUGAAUUUUAUACUAAACUCUUUUAUAGUACUGCGAUUAAUAAACUCAUGAUUUGCUUUUGCUUUUACUUCAAGUGAAAGAAAGAGGAAACCGUUUGAUUUUUGUUUGAUUCUUGACUAUAGAUGUUACCUAUAUAGAGAGUUGAGGUAGCUGCCUUAAGUGAUGGUUAUAAAAAGAUUAAGCAGCGCACACAAUCUUACUGUCGUCCAGACCAUCCAGCUAUGAUGACUCUAGUUUUUUGGUUACAUUAACUUUAGUGGAAAGGAGGGCCAAUUUAACAAAGACUAGAUUUGGUGGCUUACUAUAAUGCUUAUUCUCAGGGAAUCUAAUGUUAUAAGAUGAUUUAAUGAUCUUCUAUGAUUGUGAGUAGUAUAGUAUAAUUGAAAAGAGCUUGGGCUCCUAUGAUGAAUAUUUAAUAGUAACACAGUACUGUUAUUGAAAAAAACACAGUUACAAUAAACUCUUCAUUUAUUCAUUGUGGAGAUUGAAUGGCAAACAGAGAAUAAAAUGAAGCAGAGGAAUCUCAUUGCCAGUAAAAUUGACCCUCUUUAAUGUUAUAUGGCACAGGUGUGUGUACAGCAAGAUCAAGUUACUUGCAGUUUUUAUUGUAAAAUAUAUAGGUUAUGACCAUGAUCAUUGUAGUUAGGUUUUGAUGAUUUUAGAUGCUUUUUUUAUUUUUUUUAAAAUUGUGACACCUUUGAUUUAUGGUAGCUUUGCAGAAGAAAAAUAUAUAUAUAUAAAUUAGGAGGGAUGAGUUAACUAACGAUUGCAAUCAUUACAGUAAUGUUGAUGAGUGAUACAUCAUUUGAAAUUUACUUGUCAGUUACUGAAAUGAUGAAAAAAAACAAUAAACAAUAGCAGUAAUAUUUUUAUGGAAAAUCUUGGUUUUUAUGGAAAUACUCUUGCUGAAAUUCUAAUUUUGACUUUCAACUCUUGGUUUUUAUGGAAAGUAAAAUGACUUGUUUGUUAUAUUCAUACAAUCCACUCUACAUAAUGAUUUCAUUUUAAUAAAUGCUUGAUGAUCUCCACUGAAAAACUACUUCAAUUCUUUUGUUUUAUUUAACUUUUUGGUUGUUGAAAAUAGCCUUAAUUUUCAAAUAAUUGGAGAAAGAGUAAAGAACAUUUAACAAAUUUAUGUGCCAAAAAUAAAGGAGAAAUUGAAGAGAAAGGGUGCUUGCAGAAGUGGGUGCAAAGAUAAAUCAGUCCAUAAGAAUUAUUGUGGUUAUUAAGUUUUUGGCAAUAUAAAAAUUUUUCAGCAAAUAAAAAUUGAUUUUUUCCGAUUUACUAAAAAAUUAAUUAAAAACUUCGGUGAUAGCAUUUUUUAUGGGUGCAUGUACCCUCCCUUUAAAAAAAAUAUAAUAAUUAAUACUUAAUAUAGUAUUAAAUACGAAAAUAUCAAUAUUUGACUACACAAAUUUAUAUCAUUAGGUCCUUAAAAUUUAAAAUUGAAGACACAAAAUGAAAUAUAUAUAAAUUUCAUUCUCACAGGAAAGGAUCCUCUUAUAAUCUUAAAAUAUUUGAGCUUUGAAAGAUUUUUUAAAACAAAUGUACUUUUAUUUUUGUACAAUCAAUAUUUACUUAUUUAUUAUAUUUUUAUUCAUUAACUAUCAAUCAUGUGAGUAUAUUUACUCAGAAAUAUCAUAUCAAGGAAGAAUCUUGAUCCCACGCACACACAAAUAUGUUAAUUUCUAUACGCUUCACUUACCUGUAGAAUCAAUUAUCUAAAAUGCAAGUUUGUGGCCACAAAAAAAGCCAAAGAAAGAAGAUAAUAACAAUUGACUUGUAUAUUAUACUCAUACAAUCCACUCGACAUAAUGAUAUCAUUUUAAUAAGGCAAUGGCUGAUGAUCUCCAUUGAAAAACCAAUUCAAUUUUUUUGCUUCAUUUAACUUUUUGGUUGUUGAAAAUAACCUUAAUUAUCAAAUAAUUGGAGAAAGAGUAAAGAACAUUUAACAAAUUUAUGUGCAAAAAAAAAAAAAAAAAAAGGAGAAGUUGAAGGGAAAGGGUGCUUGCAGAAGUGGGUGUCAAAGAAAAAUCUGUCCAUAAGAAUUAUUGCGGUUAUUUUUUGGCAAUAUAAAAUUUUUAUAGCAAGUAAAAAUUAAUUUUUUCCAAUUUACUAAAAAAUUAACUAAAAACUUCUGCGACAACAUUUUUUAUGGGUGCAUAUACCCGCCCUUUAAAAAAAAAAAUAAUUAAUGCUUAAGUUAGUAUUAAAUACGAAAAUAUCAAUAUUUGACUACUCAAAUUUAUAUCAUUAGGUCCUUAAAAUUUAAAAUUGAAGAUACUAAAGGAAAUAUAUAUAAAUUUCAUUCUCAUGGAAAGGAUUCUCUUAUAAUCUUAUAAUAUUUGAGUUUUGAAAUUUUUUUGAAACAAAUGUAAUUUUAUUUGUGUACAAUCAAUAUUUACUUAUUUAUUAUAUUUUAAUUUAUUAACUAUCAAUCAUGUAAGUAUAUUUAGUCAGAAAAAUUAUAUCGAGAGAGAAUCCUAAUUUCACGCAAACACAAAUACAAGACAAAUAUGUUAAUUUCUAUACUAUUCACUUUCCUGUAGAAUCAAUUAUCUAAAAUGCAAGUUUGUGGCUAUAGAAAACUCGCCAAAGAAAGAAGAUAAUAACAAUUGAGCAUUGAUAGCAAAACUAAUGCAUCAUUUUCUUCUUGACUUGAUGAGAUGGUGCCAUUACAAAACAAUAAUUACCUUAAUUGACGGGCACUGAGUGAUGUGAAUACUACCAGCCAGUUCAUCUCUUCCAGUCUUGCUUAAUCACAAUCACAAACACCACGAGAUUGACAUUUGCAUUAUAUAUAUCUUCAGCAAUCGAAACACCUUGCAUUACCAAAUUAACCGGUAACAAACAAAGCAACCUUUCAUGGAGAGAAACUUUAGUCUCAGUAUGAUCACUGUGUCAUUAACCCACUUCCUGCUUCUUUGCUUGGUUGUUGCAGCAGCAGCAGCAGCAGCAAGCAACAAUAUUACCACAGACCAACAAGCUCUUCUUGCCCUGAAAGAUCAUAUAACUUAUGAUCCAACCAAACUUUUUGCCCAUAAUUGGACCUCGAAUACCUCUGUUUGCACCUGGAUUGGCCUCAGUUGUGAUGUCAAUAGCCAUAGAGUCACAGCCUUAGAUAUUUCUCAAUUCAAUAUACAAGGCACCAUCCCUCCUCAACUUGGAAACCUCUCUUCACUCACAACACUUAAUCUUAGUCGUAAUAAGCUUUCUGGAAGCAUUCCCCCCUCCAUCUACACCAUGCAUACGCUAAAAUUUCUAGACUUCACUGAUAACCUGCUCUCUGGUUCAGUGUCUUCCUCCGUCUUCAACAUGUCUUCAAUAUUAGACAUUCGUUUGACCAAUAACAGACUUUCUGGUGAGCUUCCGAAAAAUAUUUGCAACUAUCUUCCUUACUUGAAAGCCCUUUUUCUGGACAAAAACAAGUUGCAUGGCAAAAUUCCUUCAGCUUUAUCAAAUUGCAAACAACUGCAACAAUUGCAUUUGCAGUUCAAUAAUUUAUCCGGUGCAAUACCGAAAGAAAUCGGCAACUUGACUAUGCUCAAAUGGAUAGAUCUCGGCUACAACAAACUCCACGGUAUGUUUCAUAAUGCUAUCUAAAUAUUUUAAUUUAUCACUUGUUUAUUUUAAUUUCUCACUUGUUAUUUUUCUUGAAUACUUUAGAUAAGAUCUAGUAAGUGAGAUUUUUUGCAUCUAUGUUAAUUUACCAGGUGAGAUACCCCCCGAAAUCGCUAAUCUUCGAAAUCUAGAGGCUUUGGUGCUUGGAAUGAACAACCUAGUGGGUGUGUUACCAGCUACAAUCUUCAACAUGUCAACACUGAAGGUAGUUAUCCUCAUUAAUAACUCUCUCUUCGGAAGUCUCCCAUCAAGAAUAGACCUUUCACUUCCAACUAUUGAGCACCUUAACUUGGCACUUAAUAGAUUUUCUGGAACCAUUCCUAGUUCCAUCACCAAUGCUUCUAAGCUCACCUUUCUAGAGUUGGGAGGAAACACAUUUUCGGGCUUUAUUCCGAACACAAUUGGUAAUUUAAGAAACCUUGAGUGGCUCAGCUUGGGUAAUAACUACUUGACAUCUUCAACCUCAAAAUUGAGCUUUCUUUCCUCUUUGGCAAAUUGCAAGAAAUUAAGAGACAUAGGCUUAACAGGCAAUCCACUCGACGGUAUCCUUCCAAGUUCAAUAGGUAAUCUUUCCAUGUCUUUGAAAACACUUUACAUCGGCAAUUGCAGUAUUAGUGGCAACAUUCCUCAAUCAAUUGGCAAUUUAAGCAACUUAUUGGCCUUAGUAUUAGAAGGCAAUAAAUUGACCGGACCAAUCCCAACUACAUUCGGCCAACUGCAGAAACUCCAAGGCUUAUUUCUUACAUUCAAUAAGUUGGUAGGUUCAUUCCCAGAUGAGCUUUUCCAUCUAGCUAGGCUGGAUAAAUUGGUAUUAUUGGGAAAUAAGCUUUCAGGAUCUAUGCCUUCAUGCUUAAGUAACCUCACUUCUCUGAGAUCUCUCUACUUAGGGUCCAAUAGGUUUACUUCUGUUAUUCCCUCAACUUUCUGGAGCCUAAAAGACAUCUUGUUCUUUGACUUUUCAUCAAAUUUCUUGGUUGGUACUCUUUCUUUCGACAUAGGUAAUUUGAAGGUGCUUCUAGGAAUAAGUUUAUCAGAAAAUAACUUAUCGGGUGAUAUGCCAGCCACAAUUGGAGGGAUAAAAAAACCUUCAAAUUAUGGACCUAGCAUAUAAUAGAUUGGAAGGGCAAAUUCCUGAAUCAUUUGGUGACUUGACAAGUUUGGAGGUUUUGAAUUUGUCAAAUAAUAAAAUCUCUGGGUCUAUUCCAAAAUCCAUGGAGAAACUCUUUUACCUCCGAGAGUUAAAUCUCUCUUUCAAUGAACUAGAAGGUGAGAUUCCUAGUGGAGGAAUUUUUGCCAACUUCACAGCUGAGUCAUUUAUGGGAAAUGAGUUAUUGUGUGGUUUACCAAAUCUUCAAGUCCAACCAUGCAAAGUUAGCAAGCCGAGGACAGAACAUAAAUCAAGGAAAAAGAUACUUCUCAUUGUGAUUGUUUUGCCAUUGAGUAUUGCUCUAACAAUAGCAAUCACUCUACCUCUCAAAUCUAAGCUGAUCGAAUGUGGAAAAAGAAGCACAGUGUUGUCAAAUGAUAGUGUCUUGUCAUCACAAGCAACACUAAGAAGAUUUUCAUACUUAGAACUUUUACAAGCAACAGAUAAUUUUGCUGAAAACAACGUAAUUGGCAUAGGAGGUUUUGGUUCUGUUUACGGUGGAAGACUUGAAGAUGGGAUGAAGAUUGCAAUAAAAGUGUUUCACCAGCAAUGUGCAAGCGCAUUGAAGAGUUUUGAGGCUGAAUGUGAAGUGUUAAAAAAUAUUCGCCAUCGAAACCUUAUUAAAGUUAUCAGCAGUUAUUCAAACAAUGACUUCAAAGCAUUAGUUCUAGAAUACAUGUCCAACGGGAGCUUAGGGGACUGGCUGCAUUCUAGCAAUUAUGUGCUGAAUAUAUUUCAGAGGUUGAACAUAAUGAUUGAUGUUGCAUCAGCUUUAGAACAUCUCCACUUCGAUCAUUCGACUCCUAUUAUUCAUUGUGACUUAAAGCCUAGUAAUGUAUUGUUGGACGGAAAUAUGGUUGCUCAUUUGAGUGAUUUUGGCAUAGCAAAGCUUUUAAGUGGAGAGGAUGAGUCUAUGAUGCGAACAAAAACCCUUGCCACUAUAGGUUAUAUGGCACCAGGUUUGCUUCAAACAACUUUUUUUUUUUAGUUCAUUUUAAAUUUUGCAACUUAUUGAUUUUUACGAUCCUCACAUCAAAAUGUUAUUGAUUAUUUAUCUAAUUUUGAAAUUAAUUUGAUUCAUAGAGUACGGCAUAGAAGGAGAAGUAUCUACAAAAAGUGAUGUUUACAGCUAUGGGAUUAUGUUGAUGGAAACUUUUACCAAGAAAAAACCCACAGAUGAAAUUUUUGUUGGAGAAUUGAGCUUGAAGCGUUGGGUUAAUGACUUGCUUCCUACUUCAUUAGUGGAAGUUGUGGACAAAACUCUGCUAAGUGGAGAGGAAAAACAUUCUGCAGCAAAGGAGCAAUGUCUGUUGUCUAUCUUUAGUUUGGCUCUGGAGUGUACAAUGGAAUCACCGGAAAAGAGGAUUAAUGCAAAAGAUAUUGUUACAAGAUUACUCAAGAUAAGAGACACAUUGAGUAAAAGGAUAGGAAAUUUAAGUUAAUUUCGUUUGCUUUCAUUGAUAGUUAAUUCGAAUUCAUGUAAUAAGUCUAAGAAUCUUAUAUCUUCAAAUUCGCAUUUUAAAAUGCACAAAUGUUUGUGUAUACAUAAUUAGUAAUCGAUUCUCAAGCUUUGGACAUUUAAAAGCACUGCUAAAAGACAAAAUUUUAAUUCACUAUUUUUUUGUCUUUUAAUUUUCUUUAAGUUUUAAUGAUUCCGCAUUUUAAAAUCCUGUGGAACGUGCAUGUAAAAUUCUUUUAUCUUUUAGAGGAAAAUGGGCAAGAGAAGAAGAUUUGGCAAAGGAAUUGCAACCGCAUUUGGAGCUAGUUUUAAUUUUGUCUUUUAAUUCUUUUACACUUGGCUUUUGUUAUUGAUGUUAACUUCGAUGUGUGUGCGUGUGCGACUGAAUUCAACUUACAUGCUAUUGAUGCAGCCACCAAAAAGGGGUGGUCCAUCAUCAAUCAACAAGGUUUAUUAUUAUUAAUUUCCAUAUUGAUUUUCUUAAUUAUAAAUAAUACUAAUGCUAUUUCAUAGUUAUAAAUAUAUUAGAAUUAAUCGAAAUCAUUUUUUAGUGUGGCAUGGCUAAAACUACCUUUUUUUUAUUAUAAGUAAUUACUACUUUCACAUUAAGAAAAAUACUCCUAUUUUUAAGGAAAAGUCAAGUACCUGUAGUUGUGAAGACUCGAGCUCACUCCCUUAUGAUAAAUCUUCAUAUUAAUUACGUAAAUAUCCUCUAAAAUUUUAAAUUAGCUAUUCAAAAUUUGAUGUUAUACGGGUAUUUCAUUUAUUUGAGUAGGGGUUAGGGGUCAAUUGGAUACAAAUUCAAAAUUAUCCUUACUUGAGAAGGUGAUAAAAAUUGGGGAUUUAGUUUGGAUGUCAUUAGCUACAAAUAUUAAACUCAUACAUUUAAUUCAAAAUUAGAGGGCUGAUAUAUGCGCAUCAUCGUCCACGUUAUAGUGACACUGCGUCACCAUUCCACAACCUCUCCAAUGAAAAAUUGACAUGCUUCUUGUGCGCAUCUAAUCAGAAUCUUGAAAAUUAAUCACAAAAUUGUACUUUUAUUAUAAAAAGAAUAAAGAAACUCCAAGAAAAAAAAAAGACUUACAUAAAUAGAUUGAAAAAUCUAGAUUUCAAGUUGUCUAUAUUAGCUUGAUAUUUUUAUUAAUAGUCAUCCUCCCAAAAAAAUUCCAUCAAAAUAUAUUUUAAUUUUAUGUUAAUUCAUAAACUUGAAAAAAUCAUUUUAGAAUUAAUUAAAACAUAAUUUAUUGUUGCUCAAAAAAGGUAGAACUUAGUUAUCAGAAAAAAGUGUCUAAAAUAUAUGUUAAAAAAAAAUCAUGGUUGGUUGGACUGAUUGAAUUUUUUUUUCUUUUUUAAGAAUUAAGACAAUUGGAUGGAUUGAGUAAUAAUAAUACAUAUUUAUUUGGCAAAUGGCAGGGAGGCUUUCGUCUGAUGCAGAUUGAUUAGAGAGAAAAUAUAACAAUUUUAAGCUCGUCAGAUUCGAAGCUGCUUACCUGUCGUGUGGGGAUCACUUCCGUGUCUUAUUUUUCUAGAAAAAUCUGGACCAUUGGAUUUACCAUUAGUCAAUAGAGAAAUGUUGAUCUUGAUUCUUGAUCAAGAUCGAAGUUUGAUUCUAACUAACACGAUAUCAGAUUGCGAAGCAAGCAAAUUGAAAGUCACUUGUUCUAUGGAAGAAACACAAGUUCUAAUAAAACAUUCUCAUAGUAAAGUGAAUUACCAUCCAACGAUCCAACUCAUGUUUUCAAAUUGUAAAUUGCAAAUCGUGUGUUUGCUCCAUUACAGAGUUUCUUCAAUCUGAAAUAGCGAAUCAUUUGUGUUCUAGAUUAAUCGUGGGUCUAUAUCCAAAUCUAAAAAUUGACUAACUUGAUUUCUAUUAAAUUCUUAAUCCUAACAAGAAAAAUUGAAGAUUAAAAACGACUAAUUUGGUACCAUACCACUAUUGUAACAUAGGUAGAUCCUCUAUUAAUUGGAGUAAAGAUUGAAUUAUCUCAUUUAUUAAGGUUUAUCAAAAUCUUGUGUCAAAAUCUAUUAAUGAUAUAGGUUCAAGGAUGAAAAAGUCACUGCAUUACUUUUGAGUUCCCAAAUAGAUGAAUGGAUGUUAUUUUUAGAUUCCGGAGAGUCGAAAAUAUUAAGAUAGGUGCUAAAUCGAAUUAAGUUGUAGAUACGAUAGAAAUGGAUUUGGAGAGAUUGGAAUCCUAGGUAAUCCGGUGCACGUUGUCGUGUUAAAUUCUCGUUGACUUCACGUUGACUGAAGCAUUAUUGGAAGAAACAAGUUUAUUGAUGUGAGGCCUUUGAGGUUGUAAGUGUUAAAUAUGAGAAGAAUACCCACACACCCAUUAUCCUAUUACUCUUAUAUCACAUGAAGAGAAUUCAACAUUUGAUUCACACGGAAAAAAUUUGUGAGGAUUGUGAGGGUUGAUGGAAUAUAAUUUAGAUACAAAGUGUUUUACCAGUGCGAUGCUUCGCAAGUGUUCUUGAAUCAAUAUAAACUCACGUUAUUUUCAUAGUGAUUGUUUCAUGUGCACGUGGAUAUAAUCACAUGUCGAGAUUUUUUUCCUUAAAUUAUGGUCUUAUUUAGUAUUAAGGUGUUAUAUCUUUUAAGGUACAAUUAUUGUUGGAAAAAAGUUGCAUCUAUCAAAUAAAAUUAGUACUAUGUGCUAAAUAUAAUUGUUAAAUAAUAAUUUUGACAAAAUUAGUGAAGUUAUAUAGAUUUUUUUUCAUCAUACAAGCAUAAAAUCAAAUCAACUUAACUUCUAAGUUAUAUAUCGGCUACUUAGGGAUGGCAAUGGAUUGGAUCUGACCCAAGAUCCACGUGAUCCAAAUCUAAUCGGAUCGGAUUUGGGUCAGUUUAAAAUGAAUUUGGAUCGGAUUUGGAUAUUGAUGUGCGGAUCUAAGACGGAUCUGGAGCAGGUCUGGAUCUAUCUUAGUAUCUAAAUCCAUAUCCAUAUCCACCCAUCUUUUAAUUUAAUUUUAUUUUAAAAGUUUCUUAACAAUUGUGGAAUUAUAAUGAUAAUGAAUUUUAUUCAUAGCAUAUUAGUGGUAUUUACCAUGCAUUUAAACUCUUUAAAAUUAAAGGUUAGUUUUGUAAAUUUAAAGACUAGCCAGGCCCAAAGCAUGUACAUGCAAUAUUCAAAUUGCAAGCCAAGUAAUACAACCUGGCAAUUUAUUUUAUUAUAUUGGCCAAAUAAUUUUUAAGGAAUAUAGGUAUUCAUAUAUUUUGUCAAAUAUGGUCAUAAUAAAAAUAAUAAAGGACUGAAUAUAAAUCAUAUUUUAUUUAUAUGUCAUUAUCUAAUAUUAUAAGAAUGAGGGUGGGUGUGUUGUAGAUAUUAGAAUGAUGAAUGAGACAAUAGAAUAUUAGAUUGAUCUUACUCCUGCAAUUACUUUUAAAGGAUAUUUUAUUAUCUUAUUUGUUGUUUUGGUGUAAAAGUAUAAGUUACAAUAUUUAUUAUAUUUUUGAGAAAAAUUAUAUAAUUUAUUUGUUAUCAAUACAUUUUAACCUUCAAUUUUCAUUCUAAAAAAUUAUUACUUUUUAAUUGAUGAGUUUUAGAAUUCAUGACAGAUCUAGAGCAGAUUUGGAUUUUAAUUUUUUUUUUCAGAUUUGGAGCAGAUAUAAAUAUUUAUUUCUUUUAUGGAUAUGGAUAUGGAGCGAAAAAUAUAGAUUCAUGAUGGAUCUGGAGCAGAUACGGAUCUUGAUUUUUAUUAUGGAUUUGGAUCUGGAGCAGAGUAGAUCCAACCCAUAUCUGCCCCAUUGCCAUCCCUACGGCUACUGUUAAUCAUAUGUUUUAGUUCUGUAACUUUUAAGUUAUAGUUACCCAAUCUCAAUUCUAAACCAGACCUAUAAAGAUCAAAGAUUUCCUCAUUAAAUUAUAUGUCUUGUGAUUGCUUAUUUAAUUUAUAUUUUUUUUUAUUUAUCUUUAUUAAUUAUAAUCAUCUUUUUAUAAAUUAAAAUUGAAGGAAGUUGAUUGAUGUUGUUGACACACGCACACACGCACACACUCACAAAGAUAUAUUGGAAGUGCUUACGUCGACUCGAAGUUGUUGGGAAUUAAUGCAUGUAUUGAUUUAUUGGGAGUGUUUAAAUGAUUUUUUGAUUUACUUGAUUUAUUGAUUGAAUAUUGUUUGAUUGCUUCAUAUCCAUUCUAGAAAGUUUAUUUCUUUGUGAAAUUUCAACGAAAUAUGUUUUUUUUUUUAAAUAAGGGUGUUCUAAAUAAUUUAAAAAUAUAUAUGGACUAAUUAGAAUUAAUUAUUAGGUAAUUAACUCAAUCUGUAUAGGGUGAAACAACAUUUAUCCUAAUUAUAUCAUGAUAAAUACUUUUCCUAUUAGAAUUAGGAAAUCAUAGGUUUAUUGAAUUGUUUUUUUUUUUCCUUUGCGGAAACGGAUUAGAGAAUUAGAAAACAAUCAUGUUGAUGUCAAAAUCUGAUCUAGUCGGUUAGCGACUUAAUAUCAUAUUACUGCACCAACAUUAAAUUUAUUGGGUGGAGAAUCGACUGGUCAAUUGUCAAGAUGUCCUGCAAUCACUAGCGAUUAACCUACGAAUACCUAAAAUCACAGAAGACGGUAAGAGGCACCGGAAGUUUUUUCGGCGUGAACCUUCCGACGCUCAAGUCAGUUUAUAGGUUUACCAUAAUAAAAAUAAAUAAUUUCUAUUUAAAAAAAAAUAGAGUUCAAAAGCUCAAAAAUAAAACCCAAUCCCAAUAUGAAAAUGAAUUUUUUUUUUUUUUUUUCUAGCUUGGCCGAAUCCUUCUGCCUCCUAAAGAAACAUAACAGAGAAGCAGGUAGCCAUGUUCCCUAGGUAACGCCCCACUCCCCUCUUUUAUUCCUCCCCCUCUCUUCCGUUUCCUUCUUUUGCUCACUAUCCUUCAUAAUUUUUUAUGCUUGUCUUCCCAAAAUAGCCUUUUAAUACACAAGUAAAUGUCUAGGCUUUGGUGAGGAUAGUUUGGUCAUUGCAUUUUACAAGUAAGAUGAGUGGUGGAGAAAAAUGAGGAGUGCACAUAUAACGCUUCAGCAAAUCCCACCAGCAAUUCCAUUUUCUUAAUUAAUUAAUCUCUUCAGCAAAUCCCACCAACUCUUCAGCAAAUCCUAAUGAUAUUAUUAUCAGGUUUAAAACAGUACACAAAUAGUGAAAAGCUAACUAGUCUGUAGAGUAAUUUGCUAAUUGCUAUCUCCUCUCUCCGCGCGCUGAAUAAUUUGUUGCAUGCAAACUUUUUAUUUUAUGCAAAUCGUACGUACUGUAACAUUGGAAUUGAUGUAAAAGCAAAAAUACAAGAAUAUUUAUGUCAAUAAAAAUAGUUUUUUUGGCCUUUUUAAAUAAACACAACGCGAUAUUGCUCUGCUCUACAUUUUUGCUAUCUCUUUAUUCUUCUUUUUUUUUUUGGGCUUCUUAAAGCCUCAAACUUUGAUAACCAAAACUUCAUCGACCUAUGAAAAAAUCUGCAGAUUAGUUUUUAUUAUCGGAAUAAUCAUUUGAGAAUACUAAAACAAAAUAUAAAUAAGAAAAUAGGAGGUUAAAUUAGAGGGGGGAAAAAAGGUAUGUUGGAUAGAUUACUAUAGUUUAAGAAAAAAAAAUCCAAUUGGGAAUUUUUUUCUUUAAUUUUUGUUUUACUUGAUUGAGAUUUCUCCUUGGUCCUUACAGUUUUAAGUUUGGAUGCCGUAGGGUUAGUAAUUUAGUACUUCCUUUGCAAGCUGAGUGCAAGAAUGAAAAUCUUUAAAGAAAUAAAAAAAAAAAAAAAAAGCAUACCAAUAGGUAAUUAUAAAUAACCAUACAUAAACAUAAACAAAAUGAGGUAAUUAUUAAUAUUAUUUUUUGUUUUAUUUCUUACUUGUCUAUUUUAUUUGCUGCUUGAUAACCCGUAAAUACUAAUCUAGUACUGCUAAUUUCAGACACAAAAUUUUUAACUCUAGGCUGCAGUUUUACUCAAAAUGAUGACCACUGGCUUCGCACCAUUUAACCGGCAUACAUUUCUACAAAUUGAACAAGGCUAUUGAUUUUCAUUAUUAUUUUUUAUUUUUUUAUAAAUUACUAUUUUAAUUUUCACUUUUCAUUGGGUUGUUUAACGGAUUAGUGAAGUUGGUGGUCGUGAUGCACUCACAAGGUACAAUUUUAUUUUAUAAUUUCAAAUUUGUAUUUUAAAAUGCAGGUACAUUAUGUAUACAUAAUUAUUGAUUUUCGUAUGUGGGUGUUUUGAAAUAUUGCUAAAAGACCAAACUUUAAUAAACUAUUUUUCAUCUUUUUUUUUUCCUAAAGUUUAAGUGAUAUCCGCAUUUUAAAUUCAUGUGGAACAAAAGCUAAUGUAUGCACAAAAUCCUUUUAUUUUUUCCGAGAAAAAUGGUUAAGAGAAGAAGAUUUUUCUCUUGAAAAAGAAAAACUAAUACGAUGCAAGCAUAGGAAAGAGGUCAGUGUUUUGGAUUAGAAUUUAGUAUUGAGCUGAAUUUUAUACUAAACUCUUUUAUAGUACUGCGAUUAAUAAACUCAUGAUUUGCUUUUGCUUUUACCUCAAGUGAAAGAAAGAGGAAACCUUUUGUUUUUUGUUUGAUUCUUGACUAUAGGUGUUACCUAUAUAGAGAGUUGAGGUAGCUGCCUUAAGUGAUGGUGAUAAAAAGAUUAAGCAGCGCACACAAUCUUACUGUCGUCCAGACCAUCCAGCUGUGAUGACUCUUGUUUUUUGGUUACAUUAGCUUUAGUGGAACGGAGGGCCAAUUUAACAAAGACUAGAUUUGGUGGCUUACUAUAAUGCUUAUUCUCAGGGAAUCUAAUGUUAUAAGAUGAUUUAAUGAUCUUCUAUGAUUGUGAGUAGUAUAGUAUAAUUGAAAAGAGCUUGGGCUCCUAUGAUGAAUAUUUAAUAGUAACACAGUACUGUUAUUGAAAAAAACACAGUUACAAUAAACUCUUCAUUUAUUCAUUGUGGAGAUUGAAUGGCAAACAGAGAAUAAAAUGAAGCAGAGGAAUCUCAUUGCCAGUAAAAUUGACCCUCUUUAAUGUUAUAUGGCACAGGUGUGUGUACAGCAAGAUCAAGUUACUUGCAGUUUUUAUUGUAAAAUAUAUAGGUUAUGACCAUGAUCAUUGUAGUUAGGUUUUGAUGAUUUUAGAUGCUUUUUUUAUUUUUUUUAAAAUUGUGACACCUUUGAUUUAUGGUAGUUUUGCAGAAGAAAAAAAUAUAUAUAAAAAUUAGGAGGGAUGAGUUAACUAACGAUUGCAAUCAUUACAGUAAUGUUGAUGAGUGAUACAUCAUUUGAAAUUUACUUGUCAGUUGCUGAAAUGAUGAAAAAAAACAGUAAACAAUAGCAGUAAUAUUUUUUGGCAAUAUAAAAAAUUAUUGCGGUUAUUUUUUGGCAAUAUAAAAAAAUUUUAGCAAAUAAAAAUUAAUUUUUUUCCGAUUAACUAAAAAAUUAAUUAAAAACUUCUGCGAUGGCAUUUUUUAUGGGUGCAUAUACCCUCCCUUUAAAAGAAAAAAUAAUAAUUAAUACUUAAUAUAGUAUUAAAUACGAAAAUAUCAAUAUUUGACUACACAAAUUUAAUAGUCUUGUGUAAUUAGUGAGUGAGAGAUUGGGUGUAUUGGAGUUUUGGGUAGUGAGCCAAAAUAUUACAAUACUUGUAAUCUUUAUUUCACUAGUGAAAUAUUUUCCUUCUGUUUUUGCCCGUGGACGUAGGCUAAAAGCCGAACCACGUAAUUUCUGGUGUCCUCUAUUGUACUUGUUCUUUAUUUGCUUCCAAUUUUAUUUUAACUGCGCGUCUGCUUCACCCAUCAAUUUCCUAACAAAUCUUGAUCCCAUGCACACGCAAAUAUGUUAAUUUCUAUACGCUUCACUUACCUGUAGAAUCAAUUAUCUAAAAUGCAAGUUUGUGGCCACAAAAAAAGCCAAAGAAAGAAGAUAAUAACAAUUGACUUGUAUAUUAUACUCAUACAAUCCACUCGACAUAAUGAUAUCAUUUUAAUAAGGCAAUGGCUGAUGAUCUCCAUUGAAAAACUAAUUCAAUUUUUUUGCUUCAUUUAACUUUUUGGUUGUUGAAAAUAACCUUAAUUAUCAAAUAAUUGGAGAAAGAGUAAAGAACAUUUAACAAAUUUAUGUGCAAAAAAAAAAAAAAAGAAGUUGAAGAGAAAGGGUGCUUGCAGAAGUGGGUGUCAAAGAAACAUCGGUCCAUAAGAAUUAUUGCGGUUAUUUUUUGGCAAUAUAAAAUAUUUAUAGCAAGUAAAAAUUAAAUUUUUUCCGAUUUACUAAAAAAUUAACUAAAAACUUCUGCCACAACAUUUUUUAUGGGUACAUAUACCCUCCCUUUAAAAAAAAAAUAAUAAUUAAUGCUUAAUAUAGUAUUAAAUACCAAAAUAUCAAUAUUUGGCUACUCAAAUUUAUAUCAUUAGGUCCUUAAAAUUAAAAAUUGAUGAUACAAAAGGAAAUAUAUAUAAAUUUCAUUCUCAUGGAAAGGAUUCUCUUAUAAUCUUAUAAUAUUUGAGUUUUGAAAUUUUUUGAAGCAAAUGUAAUUUUAUUUGUGUACAAUCAAUAUUUACUUAUUUAUUAUAUUUUAAUUUGUUAACUAUCAAUCAUUUAAGUAUAUUUAGUCAGAAAAAUUAUAUCAAGAGAGAAUCCUAAUUUCACGCAAACACAAAUACAAGAUAAAUAUGUCAAUUUCUAUACUAUCCACUUUCCUGUAGAAUCAAUUAUCUAAAAUGCAAGUUUGUGGCUACCGAAAACUCGCCAAAGAAAGAAGAUAAUAACAAUUGAGCAUUGAUAGCAAAACUAAUGCAUCAUUUUCUUCUUGACUUGAUGAGAUGGUGCCAUUACAAAAAAAAAAGUACCUUAAUUGACGGGCACUGAGUGAUGUGAAUACUACCAGCCAGUUCAUCUCUUCCAGUCUUGCUUAAUCACAAUCACAAACACCACGAGAUUGACAUUUGCAUUAUAUAUAUCUUCAGCAAUCGAAACACCUUGCAUUACCAAAUUAACCGGUAACAAACAAAGCAAUCUUUCAUGGAGAGAAACUUUAGUCUCAGUAUGAUCACUUUGUCAUUAACCCACUACCUGCUUCUUUGCUUGGUUGUUGCAGCAGCAGCAGCCGCAAGCAACAAUAUUACCACAGACCAACAAGCUCUUCUUGCCCUGAAAGAUCAUAUAACUUAUGAUCCAACCAACCUUUUUGCCCAUAAUUGGACCUCGAAUACCUCUGUUUGUACCUGGAUUGGCAUCACUUGUGAUGUCAAUAGCCAUAGAGUCACAGCCUUAGAUAUUUCUCAAUUCAAUCUACAAGGCACCAUCCCUCCUCAACUUGGAAACCUUUCUUCACUUACAACGCUUAAUCUUAGUCAUAACAAGCUUUCUGGAGACGUUCCAUCCUCCAUCUACACCAUGCAUUCGCUAAAAUUUCUUGACUUCACUGAUAACCAGCUCUCUGGUUCAGUGUCUUCCUUCGUCUUCAACAUGUCUUCAAUAUUAGAAAUUCUUUUGACCAAUAACAGAUUUUCUGGUGAGCUUCCGAAAAAUAUUUGCAACUAUCUUCCUUAUUUGAAAGCCCUUUUCUUAAACAAAAACAUGUUUCAUGGCAAAAUUCCUUCUGCUUUAUCAAAGUGCAAACAACUGCAAAAAUUAAAUUUGCAGUUCAAUAAUUUAUCCGGUGCAAUACCGAAAGAAAUCGGCAACUUGACUAUGCUCAAAGGCAUAUAUCUCGAAUACAACAAACUCCACGGUAUGUUCAUAAUACUAUGUAAAUGUUUUAAUUUCUCAAUUGUUAUUUUCUUGAAUACUUUAGACAAGAUCUUGUAAGGGAGAUAUUUUUGGAUCUGUGUUAAUUUGCCAGGUGAGAUACCCCACGAAAUCGCUAAUCUUCGAAAUCUAGAGGAUUUAUUGCUUGGAAUGAACAACCUAGUUGGUGUGUUACCAGCUCCAAUCUUCAACAUGUCAACACUGAAAUUAUUUGACCUCAUAAAUAACUCUCUCUCCGGAAGUCUUCCAUCAAGAAUAGACCUUUCACUUCCAACUGUUGAGUUUUUUGGCUUGGCACUUAAUAGAUUUUCUGGAACCAUUCCUAGUUCCAUCACCAAUGCUUCUAAGCUCACCGUUCUAGCGUUGGGAGAGAACACAUUUUCGGGCUUCAUUCCAAACACAAUUGGUAAUUUAAGAAACCUUGAGUGGCUCAGCUUGGAGAAUAAUUACUUGAAAUCUUCAACCUCAAAAUUGAGCUUUCUUUCCUCUUUGGCAAAUUGCAAGAAAUUAAGAUUCUUAAACUUAGCAGGCAAUCCACUUGACGGCUUCCUUCCAAGUUCAAUAGGUAAUCUUUCUGUGUCUUUGGAAACACUUUUCAUCGGCAAUUGCAGUAUUAGUGGCAACAUUCCUCAAGCAAUUAGCAAUUUAAGCAACUUGUUGACCUUAGUAUUAGAAGGCAAUAAAUUGACUGGACCAAUUCCAAUUACAUUUGGCCGACUACAGAAACUCCAAGGCUUAGAUCUUGCAUUCAAUAAGUUGGUAGGUUCAUUCCCAGAUGAGCUUUGCCAUCUAGCAAGGCUGGAUCAAUUGGUCUUAUUUGGCAAUAAGCUUUCAGGAUCUAUACCUUCAUGCCUAAGUAAUCUCACUUCUCUAAGAUCUCUCUACUUAGGGUCCAAUAGGUUAACUUCUGUUAUUCCCUCAACUUUCUGGAGCCUAAAAUACAUCUUGUUCUUUGACUUUUCAUCAAAUUUCUUGGUUGGUACUCUUUCUUUCGACAUAGGUAAUUUGAAGGUGCUUCUAGGAAUAAAUUUAUCAGAAAAUAACUUAUCGGGUGAUAUGCCAGCCACAAUUGGAGGACUGAAAGAUCUUCAAUUUAUGGACCUAGCAUUUAAUAGAUUGGAAGGCCCAAUUCCUGAAUCAUUUGGUGACUUGACAAGUUUGGAGGUUUUGAAUUUGUCAAAAAAUAAAAUCUCUGGGUCUAUUCCAACAUCCAUGGAGAAACUCAUUUACCUUCGAGAGUUAAAUCUCUCUUUCAAUAAACUUGAAGGUGAGAUUCCUAGUGGAGGAAUUUUUACCAACUUCACAGCUGAGUCAUUUAUGGGAAAUGAGUUAUUGUGUGGUUUACCAAAUCUUCAAGUCCAACCAUGCAAACUUAGCAAGCCUAGGACAGAACAUAAAUCAAGGAAAAAGAUACUUCUCAUUGUGAUUGUUUUGCCAUUGAGUAUUGCUCUAACGAUAGCAAUCACUCUAGCUCUCAAAUCUAAGCUGAUCGAAUGUAGAAAAAGAGGCACAGAGUUAUCAAAUGAUAGUAUCUUGUCAUCAGAAGCAACACUAAGAAGAUUUUUAUACUUAGAACUUUUACAAGCAACAGAUAAUUUUGCUGAAAACAACAUAAUUGGCAGAGGAGGUUUUGGUUCCGUUUAUGGAGCAAGACUUGAAGAUGGGAUGAAGAUUGCAAUAAAAGUGUUUCACCAGCAAUGUGCAAGCGCAUUGAAGAGUUUUGAGGCUGAAUGUGAAGUGUUAAAAAAUAUUCACCAUCGAAACCUUAUCAAAGUUAUCAGCAGUUGCUCGAACGAUGACUUCAAAGCAUUAGUCCUAGAAUACAUGUCCAACGGGAGCUUGGAGGAUUGGCUGCAUUCUAGCAAUUAUGUGCUGAAUAUAUUUCAGAGGUUGAACAUAAUGAUUGACGUUGCAUCAGCUUUAGAAUAUCUCCACUUCGAUCAUUCAACUGCUAUUAUUCAUUGUGACUUAAAGCCUAGUAAUGUAUUGUUGGACGAAAAUAUGGUUGCUCAUUUGAGUGAUUUUGGCAUAGCAAAGCUUUUAAGUGGAGAGGAUGAGUCUACGAUACGAACAAAAACCCUUGCCACUCUAGGUUAUAUGGCACCAGGUUUGCUUCAAACAACUUUCGUUUUUAGUUCAUUUUAAAUUUUCCAACUUAUUGAUUUUUACAAUCCUCACAUCAAAAUGUUAUUGAUUAUUUAUCUAAUUGUGAAAUUAAUUUGAUUCAUAGAGUAUGGCAUAGGAGGAGAAGUAUCUACAAAAAGUGAUGUUUAUAGCUAUGGGAUUAUGUUGAUGGAAACUUUUACCAAGAAAAAACCCACAGAUGAAAUUUUUGUUGGAGAAUUGAGCUUAAAGCGUUGGGUUAAUGACUUGCUUCCUAAUUCAUUAGUGGAAGUUGUGGACAAAACUCUGCUAAGUGGAGAGGAAAAACAUUCUGCAGCAAAGGAGCAAUGUCUGUUGUCUAUCUUUAGUUUGGCUCUGGAGUGUACAAUGGAAUCACCGGAAAAGAGGAUUAAUGCAAAAGAUAUUGUUACCGGAUUACUCAAGAUAAGAGACACAUUGAGUAAAAGGAUAGGAAAUUUAAGUUAAUUUCGUUUGCUUUCAUUGAUAGUUAAUUCGAAUUCAUGUAAUAAGUGUAAGAACCUUAUAUCUUUUACUUUGAUUUUUUUUUUCUUGAGAAAACUGUUGUAGUCAUCUUGUUUCCAUGGGCGGAGUUGAUUUAGUUCUUCCAAGAAAUGCUACUGAUGACAUUUGUUUUAUACUUUCUCUUUUUUUUUGCAUGUGUUUAGGUAGAAUAGUGGUUUGGUUGCACUCUAAGAAGUCUAACUACACUAAAAGAAUAUGAUUUAAUUUAUUAAACAAAACUUCAAGUUCAAGAAAAGUAUCUCAUUGCCCCCAAUGCUUUGGACACCUAUUGGUAGGUUUGUACGUGUCCUCAACUUUUUUUUGGAGCACAAAAUUCGAGUCCCAUAAAGGCUCAAACAUUCCUUUCCUUCAUCCCGAGGGCGCCUUCUGUCCUCUGUUUUCUGUUUCCACACACAAAUAGCAAAAAGAAAUUAGAAUGACAACUGGGACAUAUAUAAGAGUGAAAUAAUUAAAAAAAUUAUGCUUUUUUGUCUGUCGUGUUAAAAUCGUAAGUACCGAAGUACUGUGAAAGAGAUUAAUUUACAGAAACUGAAGCCAAGGGUUCAAAAAAAACUAUUGAUGUAGGUAGAAUGCAAUGUCAUAUUCAUACAGAGAUGAAGUAUAUUAUUUACGGCUGGUAAGGACUAAGAAUUGAUGUAGCUAGAAUGCAAAGAUGAUGAGGUAUGUUGUACACUAUUGUUUUUAUUCUACAAUCAAUCUUGACCCCUGAUGCUUGGCUCUCAAUCUUGUCCAUUGAUCUUCUCUGAUUUUGGAGACUUGAAGACCUUUCAGUAUCAUGCCUUGUUGUUGGUGUCUUCCGUGCUGUAGAAUUCAUAUACAAGUUUUCCCGCCGACUUGCCAAGUAUUUGUUCAUUGAUGCAUUUUAUCAAACAGUUGGCCUGCUCAGAGCAAACAGCUCCUGUUUUAACUCCCCCUCCGUAGCUCAACUAUCUGGGAAGACAAUUAAUUGAGCUUGUUUCACAAUUAUAUGAAUCUGAAAGUUCAAUUAUAUCCUCUAAUGGAGAGAACUCAUUGCCUCAGUAUGAUCACUGUGUCAUCAACCCACUCCCCGCUUCUUUGCUUGGUUGUUGCAGCAAGCAACAAUUUUACCACAGAUCAACAAUAGUUUGUCCAUUUGUUCCAGUGAGGUCGUCAUUAAAAAUUAAUUUUCAUAUUGAUUUUCUUAAUUAUAAAUAAUACUAAUGAUAUUUCAUAGUUAUAAAUAUAUUAGAAUUAAUCGAAAUCAUUUUUUAGUGCGGCAUGGCUAAAACUACCUUUUUUUUUUUUAAGUAAUUACUACUUCAAGGAAAAUACUCCUAUUUUCAAGGAAAAGUCAAGUACCCGUAGUUGUGAAGACUCGAGCUCACCCUCUUAUGAUAAAUCUUCUUAUCAAUUACAUAAAUAUCCUCUAAAUUUUUAGUUAACUAUUCAAAAUUCGAUGUUAUACGGGUAUUUCAUUUAUUUGAGUAGGGGUUCGGGGUCAAUUGGAUACAAAUUCAAAAUUAUCCUUACUUGAGAAGGUGAUAAAAAUUGGGGAUUUAGUUUGGAUGCAUUAGCUACAAAUAUUAAACUCAUACAUCUAAUUCAAAAUUAGAGGGCUGAUAUAUGUGCAUCCUCGUGCACAUUAUAGUGACACGUGUCACCAUCCUACAACCUAUCCAAUGAAAAAUUGACAUGCAUCUUGUGCGCUUCUGAUCAAAAUCCUGAAAAUUAAUCACAAAGUUAUACUUUUAUUAUAAAAAGAAUAAAGAAACUCCAAAAAAAAAAAAAGACUUACAUAUAUAAAUAGUUUGAAUAAUCUAGAUUCCAAGUUGUCUAUAUUAGCUUGAUCUUUUUAUAAAUAGUCAUCUUCGAAAAAAAAUUCCACCAACAUAUAUUUUAAUUUUAUGUUAAUUAAUAAAUAGAAAAAAAUCAUUUUAGAAUUAAUUAAAACAUUAUUUAUUGUUGCCAAAAAAAGGAAGAAUUUAGUGAUAAGAAAAAAGUGUCUCAAAUAUACGUUAAAAAAAUUAAUCAUGGUGGGUUCGAUUGAUUGAAUUUUUUUUUUUAAUCUUUUUCUUUUUUAAGAAUUAAGACAAUUGGAUUGAUUGAGUAAUAAUAAAAUAUAUUUAUUUGGCAAAUGGCAGGUAGGCUUUCUUCUGAUGCAGAUUGAUUAUAGAGAAUAUACAACAAUUUUAAGCUCGUCAGAUUCGGAACCUGCUUAUCUGUCGUGUGGGGAUCACUUCCGUGUCUUAUUUUUCUAGAAAAAUCUGGACCAUUAGGCAGUAGAGAAAUGUUGAUCUUGAUUCCUGAUCAGGAUCGAAGUUUGAUUCUAUCUAACAUGAUAUCAGAUUGCGAAGCAGGCUAGUAUGUAAAUUUCUUUUAUCUUUUAGAGGAAAAUGGGCAAGAGAAGAAGAUUUGGCAAAGGAAUUGCAACCGCAUUUCUAGUAUGUUCUGAUCAGAGAAGCGAAAUCCAUCACGGUCUUUUAUCUUUACCCAUGUGGAGAAAUCAAGGGAUUUCGAAUCAGAGAAGCGAUGGGAUUUAGUUCUGAUCUGGGAUUUUGGAGACUUAGGGAGUGUGCGGUCUUGGACCAACAUUGAUGACGAUGACGCUUCAAAUUCAAUGACUUGAAAGCAGAAAACAAAGACAGACAAAAACAGACAUGCACUACAGCAAGAAAGAUUGACUGAAUCUUGGGUUACUGUGUCUGUGGUCUCAAAUGAAACACAAGUGGGAAGCCUUGCUGCAGUUUCAGCUUUGGUUUGUGUUUGAAGUUUUGAAUGUAAAAAGAGAACCGAGCAUGUGGUUGCCGACAAGAAUGGCCUGAGGUUUCUUAAGCUUCAUUGUAAUGUUACAACUGCUACUAAUUUGGUGGGGUGGGAGGUCGCUGGGUCGCUGUCAGUCCAUUUGCUUCUUUUCUUUCUUUUUGUUAUUUGUUGAGUUUUUUCCAUUUCUACUUUUCUUAAUAUAUAAAUUAUCAUUUUUUUAACAUGCAAAAUAUAUAGAACAUUUUAUGAGUUUAUAAAUAAAAAUUAUAUUAUGGGAUAAUAGUGAAUGAGUUCCUGGUGCUUUGGAGUUCUUUAAAUUAAGGGCCCAGUUUGUCCAUUUGUUUUAGUUAGGUCCUUCUUAAAAAUUGAUUUUCUUAAUUAUAACUAAUACUAAUGAUAUUUCAUAGUUAUAAAUAUAUUAGAAUUAAUCCAAAAUAUUUUUUAGCGUGGCAUGGCUAAAACUACCUUUUUCUAUAAGUAAUCACUACUUUUGCAUUAAGGAAAAUAUUCCUAUUUAAAAAAAAAUUGAAUAUCUAUAGUUGUGAGGACUCGAACUCACUCGCUUAUGAUAAAUCUUUGUUGAUGCGAGAUUCUGGUUACCCACUCGACCACGUCCAGGAUCUCUGCUCAAUCAACUAACUCGACCACGAUCAGGAUCUCUCCUCGUAUGCUUUCUUCUUCAAAAAUUCCUGCGUACACAGAAACAAGUCAGAGCACGCCAGUUGUUUUCCCGGCGUAAACCCUCCGACGCUCAAGUCAGAUAUGAAGGUUUUGUGUUCCUGGGAACGUUAGCCACUAGUCUUAAGCUUUGCUUUUGGUAUCGAUUGCUGAAUGCUCUCUUUAUCUCAAUUUCCGUAUUAAAAGUUAACCCUUUUACCUUCGUUGGCUGCCUUUUUAUAGGCUCCACCUGAGUCCAGAUCCUCCCCUCCAUUCACGCCCGUUACCUUCCCACCUCUCGAAAGUGGAUGCUUUGUUUCCGUAAUCGUGGGUGAUUGCAUGGCCUUCGUGCCUCGAUUCUCAGGCUGGAGAGUACGUCUCGCCAACUGUCGUUGACUGGGUCUCCUCGCCUCAAACCUUAGCAGGAAUGGCUUUAUGCUUCUAACAAGAGACCGGCUUCGCGGAUGGCGUAUUCAUGGACGAGCAGAUAUUCCUGCUUAUGUUCCAAUGCUACCAGACCUCUGCUCAUCACGGCUGGUCUCGUCGAAGUACAUCCCCCAAACACCGGUCCCCCAGUUUCUGGUGUUGGGUAACAUAGUGAGCCAACAGUAGAAACUCGACAGUUCUUGCUCGCGCGAGAUAGGAAAAGACUGCCAAGAGUCGUGUCGCAUUUAAUGGCGGAUGAGGUGAUGUGGCAGAAAUCUACCCCUCCAUUUGAAUUUCAAACCGACGGUUACGAAACCCUAGGGAUUUGUGCCGUUAAAUGCCGGCAGCCCAAGAGUUUGUUCUUCAUUAGGAAAACCCAAAACCCCCAAAAGAGGAACUCGUCUUUUACUCCGUUUCUGUCUCUCCUGCGAAUGAGUCCUUCCUCUCCCUCGGCGUAAAAGCUUCCUUCCUUGUCUCUCUCCGACUAAGUCACAACUUCAGGUACUAUUUCUUUUUUCCUCGGUCGUGGAUAGUUGUAAACAAUUUCUUUUACAUUUUGCUUGGGUAGUGUUUGGUGGUGCAGUUCUGGUUAUAGUUUAGGGAAUGUCGAAAGGUAAGGAGAAAGUCAUUGAGAUUGAUGACGACGAGUUAGACUUCUUGCCUAGUCUGCUCGCCGAUUCUGCUUUCGACACCGGGAUCCCCUUAGAACCCGUUAGACCUAAUGUUGCGACUAGUGCUAGGAGGAUGUCCCCCCAAGUAACCUCCUCAACUGGAAAUAGCGACGACGAGGGUUCUUCUGGUUCGGAAGACACUUUGAGUGAAGAUCAGGGAAAUGAUUCUGGUGAGAUGUCCUCACCAGGAACAUCGUGACCAGAUAGGAGGGGCAUAGUAGGAGGUAGAGCUCUAUCACAGAAUUACACUAUUGAUUUUAUGACGUGCACGACCACAGUAGAUGAGCUAGUUAGUCUCCGGGCUAGAUACGGCAUCCCUGAUGAAAUUUCCCUUAGGAUCCCAGGAAAAAAAGAUACCCCCAGCCGGCCUCCUAGGGGAUAUAUUACUCUGUUUCUAGAGAGUUUUAAACUUGGGCUAAGGUACCCCAUACAACCCUACUUUGCCCGAAUACUCAAUGGGUUGAAUUUAGCUCCUGGUCAACUGAACCCCAAUGGGUGGUGAGUACUUUCUGGUCUGUUCAUAUUGUGAGACAGAUGUUGCCAAAGCGAGCCAACAAUUGACGAGGUGAAGCACCUGUACCAGCUAAAGAGCAGCCCCAAAGAUGUCGGCUGGUAUUACUUCCAGUCUAGUACCAAGACCAGGAAACCCAUAACCGAUCUUCCAACUGGUGGUGGUAGGACUUGGAAGAAAAAAUUCUUUUUUGCUGGGGGUCCCUGGGGUCAAGUUGCACAGAUUGACGAGAAGGAUUACCGUGUCCCACCUCAUUUCGUGGUCCCAGGUUGCCUACUCGCUUAAGAUGUUUUGUCUCCAUAGUCGUUCUCAUUUUGCUGAUUUGUUUCUAAUCCAAAAUCUGUUCGCAUUGCAGGUUCCUGGGGUGUGCACUACCAGCUUAAACCCGAGCCGCUCAAGCGAGUCGAAGCUGUACUGGCCAAUUUCUACACGAACCGAGAGCUGCUAACUACUUUCAAUUUGGUCGAAUCUCGUUUGGUGUCUACCGGCCAUAAAAUGGAGGAUGCUGUGAUCGGGGCUCUGACUCGGAAACGUCCCCAACCUCAUGCUACCAAGCAGGACCAGAAUAAAUAUGCUCCCACUGCGAAGCGGGUGAACAUUGUGCAGCAGGUUCCUCCCUUGAAGACCCUACCACCUCCUUCUGCCAAAGUCGGAGAAACUAGCGGAGCAGCCACCGAUCCCGCUUCCUCUUAUCCUCCAGUCGGGCCGAGAUCUCGUUUAUCUGACAAUCGAGCAAAACAUUUGGUCCCCUAUAUCAACGAGUUCUCUAAACUCGUGAGCAAGAGGGACCUAGAGGACUUUGACGACAGCACCUUGGGUGAGCUGGUGGGGGCCAUGCAAUAUAGCGCUUUCCAUCUCGACUGUAUGGCCACUUACUACAAGGCCAAGGUUGGUCGUUAUGACCGAAAGAUGAAGGAGGACAUUCAAUCGGCCAUGAUCAAAGCUGAUGCUGCCGAGAAGAAAGCAGGGGACUUGAAUCUCGAGAAUUUGAAGUUGAUAGAGCGAGAAUCUCUUGCUCAAGCAAAAGCCAUUACUCUCGAGGAUGAGCUAGCUAAGGUCAAGGAGGAUCUGCAAAGACAGCAGGCUAUGUACGAGGCCCAGCUCGAAUCUCUUCGGGAUUCCCACAAGGUUUAGGUCGAGAACCUGGAGAAGGAAGCUGAUAAUCAAUAUGACCAGGGGCUUCAGCACUCCUAUCAUUGCAUCAUGGCCGUCCUUGGGAAGCAGCAUCCGGAUAUGAAAAUGGACGAGCUUGCUACUGGUGUUGCUCAGCAUAUGGAUGAGGAGGCAGCAAAAGAGGACGCCGAAGAGGUGGAGCCAACUGAGGUUGAGGAGGGAAACACUCCUCCUCGUGCAAUCCUUGCUGAUGUCGCUGAGGCGAGUACCCCCCGAAUGCAACUGGUGAUACCCCCUGCCCCUGAGGUGGACCAGCCAACCAAGGCUGCUCGGCUUACUGACCCGCCGUCCUCUUGAUUGUAUUUUGUGUUGUAGUUGCUUUCUUGAAACGCUAUAUGUUAUGACUAGCAGUUUUUUCUGGUUGUUGAUUAAUAAAUAAGAAUGUUCUCAUUUGCUUUCUCGUCGUAAAUCAUUUUAAGUUUGAGGGUCUACUUGCCUUCUCUUGUACUAGCAGUUCUUGACACGCUUGGCUUCUGGUCUCGCCAUAGAACAUGCUUGUGACUUGGUGAGCCUUUGCAUGCCUUAGAAAUUUUUUCAAUGUUGGGAUUCUGCUCGCCUUCGCUUGGUCGAGCAGAUCUUGGCACGCUUGGCUUUUGGUCUCGCCAUAAAAACAGGCUUUGAAAAUUGGUGAGCCUUUGCAUGCCUUAGAAAUUUUUUCAAUGCUUGGGAUUUUGCUCGCCGUCGCUUGGUCGAGCAGAUCCUGGCACGCUUAGCUUUUGGUCUCGCCAUAAAAUAGGCUUUGAGACUUGGUGAGCCUUUGUAUGCCUUCGAAAUUUUUUCAAUGAUAGGGAUUCUGCUCGUCGUCGCUUGGUCGAGCAGAUCCUGGCACACUUGGCUUCUAGUCUCGCCAUAAAACAGGCUUUGAGACUUGGUGAGCCUUUGCAUGCCUUAGAAAUUUUUUCAAUGCUUGGGAUUCUGCUCGCCGUUGCUUGGUUGAGCAGAUCCUGGCACGCUUGGUUUCUGGUCUCGCCAUAAAACAGGUUUUGAGACUUGGUGAGCCUUUGCAUGCCUUAGAAAUUUUUUGCACAGUUACAAGUGAAUGAAAUUCCUCGACGUUUCAUUAAUUACAGAAUUCAACUUACAUAGGAAUGCAUAGCAACGAGAACAAAUUAAAGUAAUUUUUGAACAUGAGCAAGUCUUACUGGAAAUAUUUCCUGAGGUGCGCUGCGUUCCAUAGGCGUUUCACCUCGUGGCCAUCCGUGCGAACAAGCUUGUAAGCUCCGAGUCCCACUAUCUGCUUGACCCUGUAUAGCCCCUGCCAAUUCGGUCCAAGCACUCCUUGAGUCGAGUCUUUGGUGUUCUGAUUCACUCUCCUUAGCACCCAAUCUCCGACCCUAAACUGCCGUACAUUCACCUUCUGGUUAUAAUACCGAGCAACCCUCUGCUGGUAAAUGGCUAAUCGCUUCGAUGCUUGCUCCCUCUUCUCUACAAGCAAAUUCAGAUUCAAGCACAUCUGCUCGUUGUUAUCUUGCUCAUUGAAAUGAUCUGUCCGGUGCGUGGUCGUUCCUAUCUCGGCUGGUACGACCGCUUCAUGUCCGAAGGCCAAGGCGAACGGUGUUUCUCCAGUUGCUGUUUUGUAGGUUGUCCUGUAUGCCCAUAAAACACAUGAUAGCUCAUCAACCCAUGCUCCAUUUUUUGCUCCAAGCCUGGUUUUCAAAAGCCUCUUGAUCGUCUUGUUGGCUGCUUCUACUUGUCCAUUGGAUUGAGGGUGAGCAAGCGAGCAGUACUUCAACUCUAUCCCGAGGUUCUGGCAGAAAUCCCUGAAACUGUGAUUAUCGAACUGCCUGCCAUUAUCCAUUACCAAGGCAUAGGGGAUCCCGUACCGACAGACCAGGUUUCUCCAUACGAAGUCUGUUGUCUUCUUCUCUGUGAUCUUGCUGAGGGCUUCUACUUCUAUCCACUUCAUGAAGUAGUCUAUUGCUACUAUUCCAUGUGUUGUUGCUCCUCGUCCCCUUGGCAACGGCCCGAUCAGAUCAAUUCCCCACUGAGCAAAUGGCCAAGGGGAGGCUAUAGAGGUGAGCUUCUCUGGUGUUUGGCUGGAGAAACUUGCAAAACUCUGGCAGCUUAAGCAGCUCCUGGUCUUCUCCUGCGCAUCCUGGUGCAUUGUCGGCCAGAAAUAUCCCUGCCUUAGAACCUUAUGGGCAAGGGACCUCCCACCAGAAUGGUUUCCGCAAAUUCCUUCAUGUACUUCUCUCAGUACGUAGUCUGCGUUGUCCUCAUCUAAGCACCGAAGGAACGUGAGUGUAUAUCCUCGCCGAUAUAGCACCCCAUCAAUCAUUGUGUACCUUGAGUCUUGGGCUCUAAUCUUCCGAGCUCGUAGCUUAUCUGGUGGUAACACCCCGUCUCUGAUAUAUGAAAUUAUCGGAUCCAUCCACGAGCCUUUUUGUUCUAUCUGCAUCACCUUCAAAUUCUGCUCGAUGCUAGGGUUGGUUUUCACUUCCAAAGGGACCGUCUUAGGCAUUUUAGGGUCUGCUACAACUGUCAUCCUGGCCAGAAUAUCGGCUCGACUAUUUUGUUCCCUUGGGAUUUGUAUCAACUUAACCGCUUCGAACUUCCUCAUCAUCUGCCUGACUUUCUUCAAGUACUGCUCCAUCUUCUCAUCUCUCGGUUGAAAACUUUCACUGACAUGAUUUGCGACCAGCUGAGAAUAAGUUCUGAUCUUCACCCUAUCUGCUUUCAUUGCCUUAGCCAAUUCCAAACCUGCUAUCAAGGCUUCGUAUUCUGCCUGGUUAUUUGUGGCUGUGAACUCUAACUUUACAGCAUAAGAAAUCUCCUCCCCCUCUGGGUCUUUUAAGACAAUUUCUGCUCCUGAUCCUUGCUCACCUGAUGACCCAUCUACAGACAUCUGCCAUACUCGAGCUUUGCUGCUAUCUGUAGCGGUGUCCAGUUGGUCCAAACAUACUUCAAGCUCCGCGAAUUCUGCUAUGAAAUCGGCCGUUGCCUGAGCCUUUAUUGCUGCUCGGGGUUUGUAAUCUAUGUCGAACUCGCUAAGCUCUAUAGCCCACUUCACGAGCCGACCAGAAGCAUCUGGCUUGUGCAGAGUUUGACGCAAUGGCUGGUUUGUUAUUACCGUGACGGGGAAUGCUUGAAAGUACGGCCUCAGCUUCCGAGCAGCAACCACAAGGGCGAGUGUCCAUUUCUCCACCAAUGGGUAUCUGGUCUCGGCAUCGAGCAGGGUCUUGUUGGUGAAGUAUAUCGGGUACUGAACCCCUUCUUCUUCUCUUACUAGAACAGAACUUGCAGCAUGAUUUGAUACCGCCAAAUAUAAGAACAACCUAUCGUCAUCCCUUAGUGUGGACAGCAAAGGUGCUUGUUGCAAGUACUGCUUCAAGUUCUGGAAGGCUUCUUCACAUUCUGGGGUCCAUUCUGUAUUCUUUCCUCUCCUUAUCACUUGGAAAAAUGGCUGACACUUAUCUGUAGCCUUGGAUAUGAAUCGGCUUAAUGCCGCCAACCUCCCCGUAAGGCUCUGUGUCUCCUUCAGGUUACGAGGUGACCUCAUCUGCACGAUCGCCUGGAUCUUCUCAAGAUUUGCCUCGAUCCUGCUCGAACAUGGGGAUUUGGUUGUAUCCCGAGAAUGCGUCCAUGAAGCUGAGCAAGCCAUGUCCGGCUUUUAAGUCUACAAGCUGGUCAAUCUUUGGUAAUGGAAAGCUGUCUUUCGGGCACGCCUUGUUGAGGCCCGUGAAAUCCACACACAUCCUCCACUUGCCAUUAGCCUUUUUUACUAACACCACAUUCGAUAUCCACUCGGGAUAAUUGACUUCCCGAAUGAACCCUGCUUUCAAGAGCUUCUCCACCUCGCCGUUUAUAGCCUCAUACCUCUCCUGGUUGAAGCACCUCCUUUUCUGCCUUACUGCCCGAGCACCUUUCUUUAUUGCCAGUUUAUGACAUGCGACCUAAGGGUCGAUUCUUGGCAUGUCUUCAUGUGUCCAAGCAAACACAUCUGCAUGAGCCCGCAAGCAUUGCACCAACUCCUGCUUCUGCUAUUCUUUAAGCCUCAACCCAAUUCGGAUCGUUUUUCCCAGAUCCUUUGGUCCUAGGCUCACUGUCUUCAACUCCUCUACAGGUUCUUGUCUACCAGUCUUGGUUCCCACUCGGGUAUCAAGGGAUGUUAUCUGCAUUGCUUCCCUUGCUGACGAGGAGUAAUAGCUUCGUGCGAUUCUCUGGUCUCCUCAUACCACUCCAACUACCCCAUUCACCCGGUACUUGAGAGCUAGAUAAUGGUUGGAUGACACCGCUUUACUCAUCCUCAGAAAUGGUCGACCUAGGAUCAUCUGGUAAGGACCCUCUUCAUCGACUACCAAAAAAUCCAGCAUCAUAGUCCUUUCUGUCGGGGAGCUUCCAAUCGUGAUAGGCAGCUCAACCACGCCCAGGGGGACCAGCUUUCCUCCUCCAAAUCCCUUCAAGGAGGUAUUGGUGUGCUCCAACCUCAGGUCUGUUAUUCUCAUCUCCUCCAGAGUUGACUUAAACAACACAUCAACUGAGCUCCCUGUGUCAACCAGUAUCCGGUCAAACUUCUUGCUGGCGACGGUGGCCUUGAUGACUAAGGCAUCCUUGUGUGGGUAUAGAAUCCCUUAUUCAUCCUCAUCUGUCCACAUGAUUGGCACUUGUCAGACUCUUGCUCGUUUGGCUGCUGGGGUGUUGAAGAACACAUCUUUACUAGUCAUGGCAAAUUUAGCAUAAUUUUUCCUCGAUCUGUUGGAAUCUCCGGCCAACGUUGGACCCCCUAACAAUCACUCUUACUAUAGGCUGCCUGUGGCUCAAGUUCCUGUUACCCUGCUCCUCUUCACAUAUCGGGGCCACCGUCGGAAAAGUCCCAUCGAUAAACUCGUCCAGGUAUCGAUUUCUCACCAAAUCUUUAACCUGGGUCUUAAGGUCUCUUCAUUCUAUUGUGGUAUGGCCAUGAGUACCAUGGAACUUGCAAUAGUGCCCCUAUCCCUUCUGCUGGGUAGCUUUGUUAUUGGGGCUGGGAGGUACAGUAAUCCCCAGUCCUUUAUGGCCUCACAGACUUCGUCCAGUGGGAUAUUCAAGGAAGUAUACUGCCCAUAGUCCUGGUUCUGGUCGAUCAUAUGCACUGCCCUUUCUCUGUUUGUGCCAUUCUGAGUUGGAGGUGGUGGCAGCGCUUCUGGUCUGCUCCCCCUACUACCAUGGGGGUGUGGGUGAAGGUGACCGUAUGUCGCGUCAUGCCUUCUCCUAGGCUCCCUAGCUGGUGAGCGAGAAGGUUGCGCCCUGCUGUGCUGAUACUGUGGUGGCCUCUAAUGAGGUUGGUAAGCGGUUACCCGACCUCUUGUACCACUACCUAAGGCAUGGUGGUCCCUCCUCUUAAUCGGCCCAUUUCCUGGUACGGCUCUCUUCUCUUUCCUCUUUAAUCCUUCCAGCUGGUCUGUCUUAAUCCGUGCCGCCUUUUCCUCCUCUAUUUCUAUGUCUCUCUUAGCCUGCUCGUAAGCAACUGAAUAUGUCUGAAUAACUGGGCUUCUCAAGUUAUAUCACAUCCGUCUUAUCUUCACUCCUUCUUUCAAUCCCCUUAAUGCCUGAGGAUGGUUGAAGGCUCCCAAGUCGAGGACAGCACGGUGGAACCUUUUGAUGAAUUCCCGAAGGGUUUCCUCCUCUCUCUGCUUCAUGCUCGUUAACUCCAUCAUAUCAUCUUCCGGUGCCAUUACCCCACGAAACUGCUCUGCAAAUUCCUGGCACAUCUGCUCGAAGGCUUUAAUGCUCCCUCGAGGAAGUUUCCUGUACCACUCGCGUGCUCGUCCCUCUAGAGAUAGUGGGAACACCCUGCAUCUUUGGGCUUGAGAUAGUCCUUGCACCCCGGUCAUGUUGUUGAAGCGCUCUAUGUGCACCAACGGAUCAGUUCGCCCCAAAUAUCUGAGGUCUGGGAGGCGAAAAUCUCUUGAAAUGACUGCCCUCAUGAUCUCUGCCGAGAGCGGGGUUUCUCCGUCCAGCAUUAUCCUCCAACCAGGUGCUCUACUCCUUCCUUGCAUAUCAUCAAUUACUUGCGCUAGUUUGCGCACUUCCUUCUCUAGCUGCAUUGCACGACCAGGGUCACGUGCUGUAACUUGAUCCCGCUCUUUCUCUACAUCAUGUAAGUAUUGCCUGAGCUCUGUUUCCUCUGCAUUCACCACCCCAUCAUCCUCAUCAAAAAUCUAUCUUCUUGGGGAUUGCUCUUCUUCUCUAUGAAUUCCUCCCCGUAAAGAUAAGUUACCUCUCUCACCACCAAAUCUCCUGGUGGUCUGACUUCUCAUCAUACCAUCGUGCCCUGGUGCCACUCUGCCACCUCUCACCCUUUUCUCAUGGGUUCCCCUUCGUUCACUCCUUAGUUCAUGUAGGAUGGUUGUCAGGGUCUCCAUCUGCUUUUCCAUCCGUUCCAUUCGGUCAUGCAUGGCUUUUUCCCGUGCUUCAAUGGCUAUCUCCCUUAACGUCAUGGAUUCGUUAAGCCUCAUAUCACCUCCUUGUGCACUACUUCCUCCUACAUCCAUUGUUUCUUCUCUUGCUUUGUUUUUCCUUUCUCUGUCAACAGAAGUUUUUUUAUCAGCUCCCUACAGACGGCGCCAAAAUGUUGAUGCGAGAUUCUGGUUACCCACUCGACCACGACCAGGAUCUCUGCUCAAUCAACUAACUCGACCACGAUCAGGAUCUCUCCUCGUAUGCUUUCUUCUUCAAAAAUUCCUGCGUACACAGAAACAAGUCAGAGCACGCUGGUUGUUUUCUCGGCGUAAACCCUCCGAUGCUCAAGUCAAAUAUGAAGGUUUUGUGUUCCUGGGAACAUUAGCCACUAGUCUUAAGCUUUGCUUUUAGUAUCGACUGUUGAAUGCUCUCUUUAUCUCAAUUUCUGUAUUAAAAGUUCUAACCCUUUUACCUUCGUUGGCUGCCUUUUUAUAGGCUCCUCCUGAGUCCAGAUCCUCCCCUCCAUUCACGUCCGUUACCUUCCCACCUCUCGAAAGUGGAUGCUCCGUUUCCGUAAUCGUGGGUGGUUGCAUGGCCUUCGUGCCUCGAUUCUCGGGCUGGAGAGUACGUCUUGCCAACUGUCGUUGAUUGGGUCUCCUCGCUUCAAACCUUAGCAGGACCAUUAUGCUUCUAACAGGAGAUCGGCUUCGCGGAUGGUGUAUUCGUGGACGAGCAGAUAUUCCUGCUUCUGUUCCCAUGCUACCAGACCUCAGCUCAUCACGGCUGGUCUCGUCGAAGUACAUCCCCCAAACAAUCUUCAUAUUAAUUACGAAAAUAUCCUCUAAAUUUUAACUUAACUAUUCAUAAUUCAAUGUCAUUCGGAUAUUUCGUUUAUUUGAGUAGGGAUUAGGGGUCAAUUUGAUACAAAUUCAAAAUUAUCCUCAUUUGCGAAGGUGAUAAAAGUUAGGGAUUUAGUUUGGAUGUCACUAGCCACAAAUAUUAAACGCAUGCAUCUAAUUCAAAAUUAGAGGCAUUAUCGUUAUAUUGACAUGUGUCACCAUCCCACAACCUCUCCAAUGAAAAAUUGACAUGCAUCUUGUGUGCUUCUUAUCAAAAUCCUGAAAAUUAAUCACAAAAGUUAUAUUUUUAUUAUAAAAAGAAGAAAGAAACUCCAUGAGUGAAGAAAAAAAAAAAAGACUUACAUUAAUAGUUUGGAUAAUCUAGAUUUCAAGUUGUCUAUAUUAGCUUGAUAUUUUUAUAAAUAUCAAGAUUUCAAGUUGUCUAUAGUAGCUUGAUAUCUUCUAAAAAAAACUCCAUCAACAUAUAUUUUAAUUUUACGUUAAUUAAUAAAUAGAAAAUCCAUUUUAGAAUUAAUUAAAGCAUUAUUUAUUGUUGCCAAAGAAGGAAGUAUUUAGCGAUAAGAAAAAAGUGUCUCAAAUAUAUGUUUAAAAAAAAAUAAUCAUGGUUGGUUGGACUGAUUGAAUUUUUCUUUUCUUUUUUCUUUUUUAAGAACUAAGACAAUUGGAUUGAUUGAGUAAUAAUAAAAUAUAUUUAUUUGGCAAAUGGCAGGUAGGCUUUCUUCUGGUGCAGAUUGAUUAGAGAGAAUAUAUAACAAUUUUAAGCUCGUAAGAUUCGGAACCUGCUUAUCUGUCGUGUGGGAAUCACUUCCGUGUCUUAUUUUUCUAGAAAAAUCUAGACCAUUGGAUUUACCAUUGGGCAGUAGAGAAAUGUUGAUCUUGAUUCCUGAUCAGGAUCGAAGUUUGAUUCUAUCUAACAUGAUAUCAGAUUGCGAAGCAAGCUAGUUGUGAGUAACUUGUUCUAUUUUGAUGGAAGAAACACAAGUUCUAAUAAAAAAUUCUAAGUAUACAUUUUUUUUUUUAAUUUUUUUAUUGUGAUCAAUAUAACUAGUCAAAUCUAUUUUUAAACAUUUUUUUUAAAUAUUUUGUUAACAAUGAUAUGAAAAUAUUCGAACCCCUCCUCAUAUAGUAAAGUGAAUUACUAUCCAACGAUCCAACUAACGUCUUCAAAUUGUAAAUUGCAAAUCGUGUGUUUGCUCCAUUACAGAGUUUCUUCAAUUUAAAAUAGAGAAUCGUUUGUGUUCUAGAUUAAUCGUGGGUCUAUAUCCAAAUCUAAAAAUUGACUAACUUGAUUUCUAUUAAAUUCUUAACCCUAACAAGAAAAAUAGAAGAUUAAAAAUGACUAAUUUGGUUUCUAUUAAUUUGAGUAACGAUUAAUAUUUAUCAUUCAAUAGUCACUUAUAUUAUCAAAAUCUUGGGUCGAAAAUAUUAGGAUAGGUGAUAAUUGGAAUUAAGUUGUAGAUAAGAUAGAAAUGGAUUUGGAGAGAGAUUGGAAUCCUGGGUAAAUCCGGUACACGUUGGUGUGUUAAAUUCUCGUUGACUUCACGUUGACCGAGGCAUUAUUGGAAGAAACAAGCAAGCUUAUUUUCUUCUCUCAUUUUUAACCUUUGUCUAAAUUUAUUGGUGUGAGGCCUUUGAGAUGGUAAAGUGUUAAAUCUGAGAAGAGUACCCACACUAUUACUCUUAUUUUAUCACGUUUUAUCACAAUAUUACUCUUAUAGUCAAUGUUUGAUUCGCACGAAAAAAAAUUUGCGAGGAUUGUGAGGGUUGAUGCAAUAUAAUUUAGAUGCAAAGUGUUUACAAGUGCGAUGCUUCGUAAGUGUACUCGAAUCAUUAUAAACUCACGUUAUUUUCAUAGUGAUUAUUUCAUUUGCACGUGAAUAUAAUCAUAUAUGUGGAGAAUUUUUUUUCCUAAAUUAUGGUCUUAUUUAGUAUUGAGAUGUUAUAUCUUUUAAAUUAUAAUUAAUAUUAGUAAAAAAACUGCAACUAUAAAAUAAAAGUUAAUAUUAUGUCCUGAAUAUAAUUGUUAAAUAAUAAUUUUGACAAAAUUAGUGAAGACAUACAGAUUUUUUUAUCAUAUAAGUGUAAAAUUCUAUCAACUUAGCUUUUAAGUUAUACAGCAUCUAUUGUUUACCAAAUACUUUAGUGUUGUAACUUUUAAGUUAUAACUGUCUAACCUUUAACCUCAAUCUCAAACGAGGCUUAUAAAGAUCAAGGAUUUCCUCAUAAAAAUUAUUACGUCAUGUGAUUGCUUAUUUAAUUUAUAUUUUCGUCAUUUAUCUUUAUUAAUUAAACAUGCACAUAUUAUUUCCUUUUAUUUUCUGCUUGGUAACCCGUAAAUACUAAUCCAGUACUACUAAUUUCAGACAGAAAAUUUUGAACUCUAGGCUGCAGUUUGACUCAAAAUGAUGGUCACUGGCUUCGCACCAUUUUACCGGUAUACAUUUCUACAAACUGAACAAGGCUAUUGAUUAUUAUUAUUAUUAUUUUAAUUUGUUUAUAAAUUACUAUUUUAAUUUUCACUUUUUAUUGGGUUGUUUAACGGAUUGGUGAAGCUGGUGGUCGUUGAUGCACUCACAAGGUACAAUUUUAUUUUAUAAUUUCAAAUUCGUAUUUUAAAACGCAGGUACAUUAUGUAUAUACAUAAUUAUUGAUUUUCGUAUGAGGGUGUUUUGAAAUAUUGCUAAAAGACCAAACUUUAAUAAACUAUUUUUGAUCUUUUUUUUUUUUCCUAAAGUUUGGGUGAUAUGCGCAUUUUAAAUUCACGUGGAACAAAAGUUAAUGUAUGUAUAAAAAUUCUUUUAUUUUACUGAGCAAAAUAGGCAAGCGAAAAAGUUUUGGCAAAUGAGUUGCAACUGAAUUCAAAACCAAUACAAUGCGAGCAUAGGAAAGAGGCCAGUGUUUAGGAUUUGAAUUUAGGUAGCGUUUACUUUUUGGAUUGGAUUGGGAAUCCUGGGGAGUGGGAAUCCUAGGAUUGAGAGUGUGGAGUGGGAGUGGGAGUAGGUUGUUUACUUACACUGGAAUGGAAGCAUGGAAUGGAGAUCAGAAUCCAAUUUAUGUGUUUACUUUGUCUUGGAUUGGGAGUAAAUAGUUUCAAAUUACAAUUUUAUCCUUAUUUAAAGAAUUAUAAUUUUAAUUACAAAACUAAUAAAAUAUAUAUUUAAUGAAUAAUAUUUAUUUUAUUAUAUUUGUAAAUUUAUUAUAAUUAUUAAUAUUCUUAAUUAUGAACAAUAAAUUAUUAAUUGUAAUUUUAAUAUAAAAUGAAAUGUUAUUUUAUUUAAUAUAAUUAUAUUAAAUUUAUUAUUAUAUAAAAUAAUAAUAUAAUAUUAUUUAGUACAAAAUUAAUAUUUUCUUAGAAUAAAGUAUUUAUUAUUAUUAUUAAAUAAAAUAUAGUACUAUUAUUUUUAAAAUAAAUAUAAUAAUAUUAUAUUUAUUAAUUCUCUAUUAAUAUAAUAAUAUUAUUUUAAAAUAAUUUUAACUUAGAAUCAAUGUAAAUUAUUAUUUAGUUAAAUAUAAUAUUAUUAUUUAAAUAAAUAUAAUAUUAUUAUUUAAAUAAAUAUAAUAUUAUUUAUUUUAUUUUAUUAAUUAUAAAACAUAAAAUAAAAAAAAAAAGGGUAGAAAUGGGAGAGGUGGGAGUGGAUUCCCACUCCCACCUCCCCCAAUGGGAGUCCCACUCCCACUCCCCACUCCAAAAAUGGGUGGGGCCCACGGAGUGGGACUCCCAAUUCCUUCUCAUUUUAAGUAAGUAAACGCUGGAGUGGGAGGAAUCCACACUCCUCACUCCCACUCCAGCAAGUAAACACAACAUUAGUAUUAAGCUGAAUUUUAUGGUAAGCUCUUUUAUAGUACUGUGAUUGAUAAGCUCAGCCCCGGAUUUGCUUUUGCUUUUGCUUUUACUUCAAGUGAAAGAGAGAGGAAACCUUUUGUUUUUUUCUUUGGUUUUCAACUAUGUUACCUAUACAAAGAGUCAAGAUACCUGCCAUAAGUGAUGGUGUUAAAAAGAUUAAGCAGCGCACACAAUCUUACUGUCGUCUAGACCAUCCAGUGAUGACUCUAGUCUUUUGGUUACGUUAGCUUUAGUUGAAAGAAGGGCCAAUUUAACAAAGACUAGAUUUGAUGGCUUACUAUGUUUAAUGUAAUGCUAAUUCUCAGGGAAUCUAAUGUUAUAACUUAUAAGACGAUCUCCUAUGAUGAAUAACAGUAACACAUUACUGUGAUUGAGAAAACUCAGUUACAAUAAACUAUUCAUUUACUCAUUGCGGAGAUUGAAUAGCAAAUAGAGAAUAGAAUGAAGCAGAGGAAUCUCAUUGCCAAUAAAAUUGACCCUCUUUAAUGUUAUAUGGCACAGGUGUGGAGGAAGAACAAGUUACUUGCAGUUUUUAUUGUAAAAUAUACAGGUAUGACCAUGAUCAUUACAGUUGGGUUUUGAUAAUUUCAGAUGCUUUUUAAAAAAAAAAAAAAUUAUGACAUCUUUGAUUUACGGUAGUUUUGCAGAAAAAAAAAUAUAAAAAUUAAGAGGGAUGAGUUAAACUGACGAUUACAAUCAUUCCAGCAAUGCUGAUGAGUGAUACAUCACUUGAAAUUUACUUGUCAGUUGCUGAAAUGAUGAAAAAAAAACAAUAAACGAUAACAGUAAUAAUGUUCCGUUGCUGAAAUUCAAUUUUGACUUUCUACUCUUGGCUUUUAUGGAAAGUAAAAUGACUUGUAUAUUAUCCUCAUACAAUCCACUCUACAUAAUGAUAUCAUUUUAAUAAGGCAAUGGCUGAUGAUCUCCAUUUAAAAACUACAUCAUUUUUUUUGCUUCAUUUAACUUUUUGGUUGUUGAAAAUAACCUUAAUUAUCAAAUAAUUGGAGAAAGAGUAAAGAACAUUUAACAAAUUUAUGUGCAAAAAAAAAAAAGGAGAAGUUGAAGAGAAAGGGUGCUUGCAGAAGUGGGUGUCAAAGAUAAAUCGGUCCAUAAGAAUUAUUGUGGUUAUUUUUUUGGCAAUAUAAGAACUUAUGCGAUAGCAUUUUUUAUGGGUGCAUAUAACCUCCCUUUAAAAAUAUAUAUAAUAAUUACUGCUUAAUAUAGUAUUAAAUACAAAAAUAUCAAUAUUUGACUACUUAAAUUUAUAUCAUUAGGUCCUUAAAAUUUAAAAUGGAAGAUAUGAAAGGAAAUAUAUAUAAAUUUCAUUGUCCUGGUAAAGGGCCCUCUUAUAAUCUUAUAAUAUUUGAACUUUGAUAGAUUUUUUGAAACAAAUGUACUUUUAUUUGUGUACAAUCAAUAUUUACUCAUUUAUUAUAUUUUAAUUUAUUAACUAUUAAUCAUGUAAGUAUACUUAGUCAGAAAAAUUAUAUCAAGAGAAAAUUCUAAUUUCACGCAAAAACAAAUACCAAAACAAAUAUCUCAAUUUCUAUACUAUUCACUUUCCUGUAGAAUCAAUUAUUUAAAAUGCAAGUUUGUGGCUACAGAAAACUCGCCAAAGAAAAAAGAUAAUAACAAUUGAGCAUUGAUAGCAAAACUAAUGCAUCCAAUUCUUCUUGACUUGAUGAGAUGGCGCCAUAACGUAGACACAAGUACCUAAAUUGACCGGCACUGAGUGAUGUGAAUACUACCAGCCAGUUCAUCUCUUCCAGUCUUGCUUAAUCACAAUCACAAACACCACGAGAUCGACAUUUGCAUUAUAUAUAUCUUCUGCAAUCGAAACACCUUGCAUUACCAAAUAAGCCCGUAACAGACAAAGCAAUCUUUCAUGGAGAGAAACCUUAGUCUCAGUAUGAUCACUGUGUCAUUAACCUACUGCCUGCUUCUUUGCUUGGUUGCUGCAGCAGCAGCAGCGGCAAGCAACAAUAUUACCACAGACCAACAAGCUCUUCUUGCCCUGAAAGAUCAUAUAAUUUAUGAUCCUACCAGCCUUUUAGCUCACAAUUGGACCUCGAAUACCUCUGUUUGUACCUGGAUUGGCAUCACUUGUGAUGCCAAUAGCCAUAGAGUCAAAACCUUAGAUAUUUCUCAAUUCAAUCUACAAGGCACCAUCCCUCCUCAACUUGGAAAUCUCUCUUCACUCACAACACUUAAUCUUAGUCAUAACAGGCUUUCUGGAAGUGUUCCCUCCUCCAUCUACACCAUGCAUACGCUAAAAUUUCUUGACUUCACUGAUAACCAGCUCUCUGGUUCAGUGUCUUCCUUCGUCUUCAACAUGUCUUCAAUAUUAGUAAUUCGUUUGACCAAUAACAUAUUUUCUGGUGAGCUUCCGAAAAAUAUUUGCAACUAUCUUCCUUAUUUGAAGGCCCUUUUCUUAAACAAAAACAUGUUUCAUGGCAAAAUUCCUUCUGCUUUAUCAAAGUGCAAACAACUGCAACAAUUAAAUUUGCAGUUCAAUAAUUUAUCCGGUGCAAUACCAAAAGAAAUCGGCAACUUGACUAUGCUCAAAGGGAUAUAUCUCCUCUACAACAAACUCCACGGUAUGUUCACAAUACUAUAUAAAUAUUUUAAUUUAUCACUUAUUAUCUUUCUUGAAUAAUUUAGUUAAGAUCUUGUAAGAGAGAUUUUUUGCAUCUACGUUAAUUUACCAGGUGAGAUACCCCACGAAAUCGCUAAUCUUCCAAAUCUAGAGGCUUUAGCGCUUGGAAUCAACAACGUAGUUGGUGUGUUACCAGCUCCCAUCUUCAACAUGUCAACACUGAAGGUACUUAUCCUCAUAAAUAACUCUCUCUCCGGAAGCCUUCCAUCAAGAGUAGACCUUUCACUUCCAACUGUUGAGCAACUUAACUUGGCACUUAAUAGAUUUUCUGGAACCAUUCCUAGUUCCAUCACCAAUGCUUCUAAGCUCACCUUUCUAGAGUUGGGAGCAAACACAUUUUCGGGGUUUAUUCCAAACACAAUUGGUAAUUUAAGAAACCUUAAGUGGCUCGGCUUGGCUAAUAACUCCUUGACAUCUUCAACCUCAAAAUUGAGCUUUCUUUCCUCUUUGGCAAAUUGCAAGAAAUUAAGAUUCGUAAACGUAAUAGGCAAUCCACUGGACGGCUUCCUUCCAAGUUCAAUAGGUAAUCUUUCUGUGUCUUUGGAAACACUUGGCAUCGGCAAUUGCAGUAUUAGUGGCAACAUUCCUCCAGCAAUUAGCAAUUUAAGCAACUUGUUGACCUUAGUAUUAGACGGCAAUAAAUUGACUGGACCAAUCCCAACUACAUUCGGCCAACUGCAGAAACUCCAAGGCUUAGAUCUUGCAUUCAAUAAGUUGGUAGGUUCAUUCCCAGAUGAGCUUUGCCAUCUGGCAAGGCUGGAUCAAUUGGUCUUAUUUGGCAAUAAGCUUUCAGGAUCUAUACCUUCAUGCUUAAGUAACCUCACUUCUCUAAGAUCUCUCUAUUUAGGGUCCAAUAAGUUUACUUCUGUUUUUCCCUCAACCUUCUGGAGCCUAAAAGACAUCUUGUUCUUUGACUUUUCAUCAAAUUUCUUGGUUGGUCCUCUUUCUUUAGAUAUAGGAAAUUUGAAGGUGCUUCUAGGAAUAAGUUUAUCAAAAAAUAAUUUAUCCGGUGAUAUCCCAGCCACAAUUGGAGGACUGAAAGAUCUUCAAUUUAUGGACCUAGCAUAUAAUAGAUUGGAAGGCCCAAUUCCUAAAUCAUUUGGUGACUUGAUAAGUUUAGAAGUUCUGAAUUUAUCAAAUAAUAAAAUCUCUGGGUCUAUUCCAACAUCCAUGGAGAAACUCUUUUACCUCGGAGAGUUAAAUCUCUCUUUCAAUAAACUAGAAGGUGAGAUUCCUAGUGGAGGAACUUUUGCCAACUUCACAGCUGAGUCAUUUAUGGGAAAUGAGUUUUUGUGUGGUUUACCAAAUCUUCAAGUCCAACCAUGCAAAGUUAGCAAGCCGAGGACAGAACAUAAAUCAAGGAAAAAGAUACUUCUCAUUGUGAUUGUUUUGCCAUUGAGUAUUGCUCUAACAAUAGCAAUCACUCUAGCUCUCAAAUCUAAGCCGAUCGAAUGUGGAGAAAGAAGCACAGUGUUGUCAAAUGAUAGUAUCUUGUCAUCACAAGCAACACUAAGAAGAUUUUCAUACUUAGAACUUUUACAAGCAACAGAUAAUUUUGCUGAAAACAGCAUAAUUGGCAGAGGAGGUUUCGGUUCCGUUUAUGGAGCAAGACUUGAAGAUGGGAUGAAGAUUGCAAUAAAAGUGUUUCACCGGCAAUGUGCAAGCGCAUUGAAGAGUUUUGAGGCUGAAUGUGAAGUGUUAAAAAAAAUUCGCCAUCGAAACCUUAUCAAAGUUAUCAGCAGUUGCUCGAACGAUGACUUCAAAGCAUUAGUCCUAGAAUACAUGUCCAACGGGAGCUUAGGGGAUUGGCUGCAUUCGAGCAAUUACGUGCUGAAUAUUUUUCAAAGGUUGAACAUAAUGAUUGACGUUGCAUCAGCUUUAGAAUACCUCCACUUCGAUCAUUCAACUCCUAUUAUUCAUUGUGACUUAAAGCCUAGUAAUGUAUUGUUGGACGAAAAUAUGGUUGCUCAUUUGAGUGAUUUUGGCAUAGCAAAGCUUUUAAGUGGAGAAGAUGAGUCUACGAUGCGAACAAAAACCCUUGCCACUAUAGGUUAUAUGGCACCAGGUUUGCUUCAAACAACUUUUUUUUUUAAGUUCAUUUUAAAUUUUCUAAAUCAUUGAUUUUUACGAUCCUCAUAUCAAAUUGUUAUUGAUUAUUUAUCUAAUUGUGAAAUUAAUUUGAUUCAUAGAGUAUGGCAUAGGAGGAGAAGUAUCUACAAAAAGCGAUGUUUACAGCUACGGGAUUAUGUUGAUGGAAACUUUUACCAAGAAAAAACCCACAGAUGAAAUUUUUGUUGGAGAAUUGAGCUUAAAGCAUUGGGUUAAUGACUUGCUUCCUAAUUCAUUAGUGGAAGUUGUGGACAAAACUCUGCUAAGUGGAGAGGAAAAACAUUUUGCAUCAAAGGGGCAAUGUCUGUUGUCUAUCUUUAGUUUGGCUCUGGAGUGUACAAUGGAAUCACCGGAAAAGAGGAUUAAUGCAAAAGAUAUUGUUACCGGAUUACUCAAGAUAAGAGACACAUUGAGUAAAAGGAUAGGAAAUUUAAGUUAAUUUCGUUUGCUUUCAUUGAUAGUUAAUUCGAAUUCAUGUAAUAAGUGCAAGAAUCUUAUAUCUUUUCCUUUGAUAUAUUCUUUUUCUUGAGAAAACUGUUGUAGUCAUCUUGUUUCCAUGGGAAGAGUUGAUUUAGUUCUUCCAAAAAAUGCUACUGAUGACCUUUGUUUAAUACUUUCUCUUUUUUUGCACGUGUUUAGGUAGAACAGUGGUUUGGCUGCAGGCUAAUAAGUCAAGCUACGCCAAAAGCGUAUGAUUUAAUUUAUUAAACAUAACUUCAAGUUCAAGAAGUGUUUCUCAUUGCCACCAAUGCUUUGGACACCUGUUGGAAGGUUUGUUGUCCUCAGCUUUUGUUUAGAGCAAAAGUUCGAGUCCCAUAAAGGCUCAAACAUUCCUUUCCUUCAUCCCGAGGGCGCCUUCUGUCCUCUGUUUUCUGUUUCCACACACAAAUAGCAAAAAGAAAUUAGAAUGACAACUGGGACAUAUAUAAGAGUGAAAUAAUUAAAAAAAUUAUGCUUUUUUGUCUGUCGUGUUAAAAUCGUAAGUACCGAAGUACUGUGAAAGAGAUUAAUUUACAGAAACUGAAGCCAAGGGUUCAAAAAAAAACUAUUGAUGUAGCUAGGAUGCAAUGUCAUAUUCAUACAGAGAUGAAGUAUAUUAUUUACGGCUGGUAAAGACUAGGAAUUGAUGUAGCUAGAAUCCAAAGAUGAUAAGGUAUGUUGUGCACUAUUGUUUUAUUCUACGGUCAAUCUUGACCCUUGGUGCUUGGCUCUCAAUCUUGUCCAUUGAUCUUCUCUGAUCUUGGAAACUUCAAGACCUUUCACUCUCAUGCCUUAUUAUUGGUGUCUUCCAUGCUGUAGCUUUCAAAUACAAGCUUUCCCGCCAACUUGCCAAUUAUUUGUCCGUUGGUGCAUUUUAUCAAACAGUUUGGAUACUUAUACCAAACGCCUUCUGUUUUAACUCCCCCCCUCAAGCUCAAGCAUCUGGGAAGACAUUAAUAAGCUUGUUUCUCAAGUAUAUAUAUCUGAAAAUUAAAUUUUAUAAAUUAUAUUCGGACUCUACAUUUUCUAAUGAACAUUGGUUUGGCUUAUAAGCUUAUUAUACUCAGGUUUGGUAGGAGCCAUAUCACAAUGUUAACGCUAACCAGCAGUACUGCCAAAGCUGGCCAACUCAGCCUGCAAGUUCAUAGCAACCAUAGUUACAGUCCUAGUCCGGUACAAAAAUCGUAAAUAUCAUUUACAUUACAAUGGUGUGGGGGGGGGGGGGGGGGUUUGUUGGGUGGCUGGAGAGGGAAUCAACAAAGAUCUAGAACGAAGGGUAGGCUUGUAUCCGUAACCCAUGUCACAGUGUUAAUGCUAACCGUGGACCUUAUUAUAUUAGUUGCUGGACUAUUAUUACUUUUGAAUUGCCAUCUUUGAAUUUACGUUCAUUUCUGCCUCGACAAGAUGUUUGUAAAAAUAUGCUAAUUAUUAAUGUGCCGUGUACAAAUAAGCAUGUUACUGUGCAAGGAUUGUAGUCAUGAUACAGUGGUGCAAAAUGUACAUGCUACUUCUUCUUUUCCUCAGUUAGGAUCACCGUCGUCACCAUUUAAUUCUAAGUCCACCCAUGCGGCCUAUGCAAUUGAAAUCAUGUGACCAUGUAAUUUUAGGUUCUGAUCUUCCUUGUGGGGUUAAACCUCAAAACUGUGACCAUUUUGGGACUUUUAAUCAGUUCCAAUCAUUUUCUGGUUCCCAUUCGUCCACCCAAGCCUUGAUUCCCCCGAUAUAGCAUUGCAAUAUAUAUAGGAAUAUUAAGGUUGUGUACAGUUUUUUUCUUUUCUGUUUUUAAUUUGAUAUAAAUUAUCAAUCAUGAAUCUACAUAAAGUUUCAACUAGGCUACUACCACAAUAAACAUUUGGAUGAACUAUUAUUGAAACCUUAUUGAGAAGUAGGACAUGUCGCAUACCAAUGCACUGACAUAUCUUCAAAUAGUGGUAACUCCACACAACAUGGCACAAUAAAUUAAGAGUUAUAUAGAUAAAAUCUUUCACUCUUUGGUAAUCAUCAAUGUCGGCAUGACAAUGCGUCCCACAAAUAUGGCUCCUUAUCAAAAUUCAUAAAUCAAAACAAAAAUAGAGAAUCAUAUUUGUUCUAGAUUGUAGUGAUGGUUGUUGAUGCACUCACAAUUUACAAUUUUAUUUAAUAUCUUCAAAUUCGCAUUUUAAAAUGCCCAAAUGUUUGUGUAUACAUAAUUAGUAAUCGAUUCUCAAGCAUGGCCAUUUAAAAGCAUUGCUGAAAGACAAAAUUUUAAUUUACUAUUUUUUGUCUUUUAAUUUUCUUUAAGUUUUUAAUGAUUCCGCAUUUUAAAAUCCUGUGGAACGUGUAUGUAAAAUUCUUUUAUCUUUUAGAGGAAAAUGGGCAAGAGAAGAAGAUUUGGCAAAGGAAUUGCAACCGCAUUUGGAGCUAGUUUUAAUUUUGUCUUUUAAUUCUUUUACACUUGGCUUUUGUUAUUGAUGUCAACUUCGAUGUGUGUGAAGACUCGAGCUCACUCCCUUAUGAGCUAGUUUUAUUUUUCUACUUUCACAUUAAGAAAAAUACUCCUAUUUUUAAGGAAAAGUCAAGUACCUGUAGUUGUGAAGACUCGAGCUCACUCCCUUAUGAUAAAUCUUCAUAUUAAUUACGUAAAUAUCCUCUAAAAUUUUAAAUUAGCUAUUCAAAAUUUGAUGUUAUACGGGUAUUUCAUUUAUUUGAGUAGGGGUUGGGGGUCAAUUGGAUACAAAUUCAAAAUUAUCCUUACUUGAGAUGGUGAUAAAAAUUGGGGAUUUAAUUUGGAUGUCAUUAGCUACAAAUAUUAAACUCAUACAUUUAAUUCAAAAUUGGAAAGCUGAUAUAUGCGCAUCAUCCCACAACCUCUCCAAUGAAAAAUUAACACGUUUCUUGUGUGCAUUUGAUCAGAAUCCUGAAAAUUAAUCACAAAAUUGUCCUGGAAAAAAAAAUGCUUACAUAAAUGGUUUGAAAAAUCUAGAUUUCAAGUUGUCUAUAUUAGCUUGAUAUUUUUAUAAAUAGUCAUCCUCUCAAAAAAAUUCCAUCAAAAUAUAUUUUAAUUUUAUGUUAAUUCAUAAACAUGAAAAAAUCAUUUCAGAAUUAAUUAAAACAUAAUUUAUUGUUUCUCAAAAAAGGUAGAACUUAGUGAUAAGAAAAAAGUAUCUCAAAUAUAUGUAAAAAAAAAAAAAUCUUGGUUAGUUGGAAUGAUUGAAUUUGUUUUUUUUUUCUUUUUUAAGAAUUAAGACAAUCGGAUUGAUUGAGUAAUAAUAAUAUAUAUUUAUUUGGCAAAUGGCAGGUAGGCUUUCGUCUCAUGCAGAUUGAUUAGAGAGAAAAUAUAACAAUUUUAAGCUCGUCAGAUUCGAAGCUGCUUUCCUGUCGUGUGGGGAUCACUUCCGUGUCUUAUUUUUCUAGAAAAAUCAGGACCAUUGGAUUUAUGCGAAUCGUACUGAACAUUGGAAUUGAUGUAUAAGAAAAAAAUUCUGUAGUUUAAGAAGAACAAAAAGGCAUGUUGAAUAGAUUACAAUAGUUUAAGGAAAAAAAUUAUUCAAUUGGGAAUUUUUUUUUCUUUAAUUUUUGUUGUACUUGAUUGAGAUUUCUCCUUAGUCCUUAGAGUUUUAAGUUUGGAAACCGUAGGAUCAGUAAUUUCGUACUUCCUUUGCAAGCUGAGUAUAAGGAUGAAAUUCUUUUAAGAAAUUAAAAAAGAUAAAAAAAAAGCAUACCAAUAGGUAAUUAUAAAUAACCACAAAUAAAUAUAAACAAAAUGUUUAUGAAGUAAAUUAAACAUGCUCAUAUUAUUUUCUUUUAUUUUCUGCUUGGAAACCCAUAAAUACACUAAUCCAGUAUUACUAAUUUCAGACAGAAAAUUUUGAAUUUAACCAGUAUACACUAAUCCAGUAUUAUUUUUAUUAUUAUUUUAAUUUGUUUAUAAAUUACUAUUUUAAUUUGUUUAUAAAUUACUAUUUUAAUUUUCACUUUUUAUUGGGUUGUUUAACGGAUUAGUGAAGCUGGUGGUCGUUGAUGCACUCACAAGGUACAAUUUUAUUUUAGAAUUUCAAAUUCGUAAUUUAAAAUGCAGGCACAUUAUGUAUACAUAAUUAUUGAUUUUCAUAUGUGGGUGUUUUGAAAUAUUGCCAAAAGACCAAACUUUAAUAAACUAUUUUUGAUCUUUUUUUUUCCUUUGUACCUAAAGUUUGAGUGAUAUCCGCAUUUUAAAUUCAUGUGGACCAAAAGCUAAUGUAUGCACAAAAUUCUUUUAAUUUUUUCCGAGAAAAAUGGGUAAGAGAAGAAGAUUUUUCUCUUGAAAAAGAAAAAAUAAUACGUUGCAAGCAUAGGAAAGAGGCCAGUGUUUUGGAUUUGAAUUUAGUAUUGGGUUGAAUUUUAUGCUAAGCUCUUUUAUAAUACUUUAUAGAAUAAAAAUGUAAGGGAUAUUUGGCUAGGCAUGUACUUUAUAGAAUAAAAAUGUAAUAAUGUAAGUCAGUGCAAUGAUCUGCUGUCAUAGUAGUUAUAAAUAUUUAUGUGUAAUACAGUAACAUGAUGCUUAAUCAGUUAAAAAAAAAUUGUAUAUCUUUUUUUAUUUUUUUUAUUGUGAUCAAUAUAACUAGUCAAAUUUAUUUUUAAAUAUUUUUUUAAAAAUAUUUUUAUCGUGUGUUUGCUCCAUUACAGGGUUUCUUCAAUUUAAAAUAGAGAAUCAUUUGUGUUCUAGAUUAAUCGUGGGUCUAUAUCCAAAUCCAAAAAUUGACUAACUUGAUUUCUAUUAAGUUCUCAACCCUAACAAGAAAAAUAAAAGAGUAAAAAUGACUAUUUUGGUUUCUAUUAAUUUGAGUAACGCUUAAUAUUUAUCAUACAAUAGUCACUUAUAUUAUCAAAAUCUUGGGUCGAAAAUAUUAGGAUAGGUGAUAAUUGGAAUUAAGUUGUAGAUAAGAUAGCCUUUCAAAAAAAAGAAAAGAAAAAAAGUUGUAGAUAAGAUAGAAAUGGAUUUGGAGAGAGAUUGGAAUCCUGGCUAAUCCGGUGCACGUUGUUGCGUUAAAUUCUCGUUGACUUCACGUUGACCGAAGCAUUAUUGGAAGAAACAAGCAAGCUUAUUUUCUUCUCUCAUUUUUUACUUUUGUCUAAAUUUAUUGAUGUGAGCCCUCUGAGAUGGUAAAGUGUUAAAUCUGAGAAGAGUACCCACACACCCAUUUGUUGGAGGAUUAACAAUUAAAACACACUAUUUUAUUUCUUCAACAACACUCCUCACCAAUUACAACUCUUAUUUUUCACUCUCUACACCUUAGAGAUUUUGCUGCUUCACUUGAUGUUUAAACCAAAAGGGAGAGGGGGUAUUUAUAUAUGAAACAAACUAAUCACAACCAUUCAUUUAUUCAACUAAUAAACACAUCCUCACCAUCCAUUAAAACCUACCACUCACCUACUUCACCAACCACACCUAACACACCUAACACAAAUAAUUCAAACCUCACCAACCAUACCUACUCAUGGAACCUUCCAUGAGUUGGGCUUGAUUUAUUCAUCUUGGAUCAAGUUUAUGAUCCAACACCUCUCCUUAAACUUGAUCCUGUGACACCAAGCAAACUUCUGAAUCUUACAAAGUCUUCUUGUUUGAGUGGUUUAGUGAAGAUAUCAGCUGCUUGAUCUUGUGAUUUUACAUACUUGAUUUGCACUUCUUUUCUUGCAAUACACUCUCUUAUGAAAUGAUAGCGAGUGGCUAUGUGUUUACUUCGAUCAUGAAAGACUGGAUUCUUGGAUAGGGCAAUUGCUGAUUUGUUAUCAACACAAAUCUCAGUUGGCUCUUCUUGUGCCAAACUCAACUCCUUUAGCAAAUUUCUGAGCCAAAUUGCAUGACAAACACUUGAUGUGGCAGCUACAUAUUCAGCUUCACAGGUGGAUAGCGUGACAAUUGGUUGCUUCUUUGACAUCCAUGUGAAAGCAGUAUCUCCUAUGAAGAACACAAAUCCUGUGGUGUUAUUUCGAUCAUCUACAUCUCCACCCCAAUCGCUAUCGCUAUAUCCAACAAGCUUGUAGUCAUUAGAAAAUGAGUAUAGCAAGCCGAAAUUAGUUGUACCUUUGAUGUAGCGAAGGAUUCUUUUUGCAGCUUUAAAAUGGGUGGUCUUUGGAUUCUCCAUGUAUCGGCUCACAAGUCCAACAACAUAAAGGAUAUCUGGUCUUGUGCAUGUCAAAUAACGUAGGCUUCCAACCAAACUUUUAAAGAAUGUUGGAUCUAUAUCUUCGCCUUCAUCAUGUUUGGAUAACUUGACUCCGCAUUCCACUGGCGUGCUUAUAGGCUUACAAUCAUUCAUCUUGAACUUCUUGAGAAUCUCCUCUGCAUAGCUUUCUUGGGAGAUAAAUAUGCUUUCUUCCUUUUGCUUGACUUCAAUGCCGAGGUAAUAUGCCAUCAGUCCGAUGUCAGUCAUCUCGAACUCUUUGAUCAUCACUCUCUUGAACUCUUCAAACAAGCCUGGAUUACUUCCAGUGAAAAUGAGAUCAUCCACAUACAGGCACACAAUCAAAAUAUCUCCAUAUUUUUCUUUGACGUAGAGAGCAUGUUCAUAUGGGCAUUUGGUGAAGCCUUUCUCUUGAAAAUACUUGUCAAUUCUGCUAUUCCAUGCCCUUGGUGCUUGCUUUAACCCAUAAAGAGCUUUCUUCAAUCUCAAAACUUUGUCCUCGUGUCCUUUCACCACAUAGCCUAAUGGUUGUUCGAUGUAAACUUCUUCUUCAAGGAAUCCAUUCAAGAAAGCAGACUUCACAUCCAUUUGAAAAAUCUUCCAUUUGUUCUGAGCAGCCAAAGAAAUAAUAAGUCUAAUAGUUUUAAGUCGAGCUACAGGAGCAAAUACCUCGUCAUAGUCUAUGCCAGCCUUUUGACUAUAGCCUUUUGCAACUAGCCUCGCCUUGUGCCUUUCAAUUUCUCCCUUCGCAUUUCUUUUUGUUUUAUACACCCAUUUGACACCGAUCGCCUUGUGACCUUUUGGAAGAGUAGUAAGCUCCCAAGUAUCAUUCUUCACAAUGGCUUUGAUUUCUUCAUCCAUUGCAAUUCUCCACUUCUCAUCUAGUGCAGCUUCUUGGAAGUUGACUGGCUCACAAUCAGCAAAGAGGCAAAAGAGAGUGAGAUUAUCAUGUCUCUCAGUUACCUCAUAGAGAUCUUGAAGACUCCUUGCACGUUCUUCGGUUCUUUCAUUUAAGAAAGACGGCGGUGAAUCUCCGCAUGUGGUUGGUGCUGGUGAGAUAGGUGGAGUGGCAGGCUCUUGUUGUUCGUCUACUUGUUUUACCUGUGUAUGAUCAUCUUCUUCAAUGGGAAAGAAGUUGAAGUCAUCCACACCAGAGCCAAAAUCUCAUUCUCCUUCUUCAUCAAAAAUUACAUCUCGACUGAUCACAAUCUUUCCGUUGUUUGGAUUGUAAAGCUUGUAUCCUUUGGAGUUGUUGUCGUAGCCGAUGAAGAUGAACAACUCACUUUUGUCAUCCAGCUUGGCUCUACUUUCGUCUGGUACAUGUACAUGGGCAAUGCUUCCGAAAACUCUUAGAUGGGUGAUGCCAGGUUUUCUUCCACUCCAAGCUUCUUGUGGCGUCUUGCCCCACACGCUUCUUGUUGGAGAUCGAUUGGAUAAGUAGAUUGCACAUGCAACUGCUUCAGCCCAAAAUUCUUUAGGUAGCCUCUUACUCUUAAGCAUGCUUCUUGCCAUGUCGAGGAUGGUUCUGUUCUUCCUUUCUGCAACACCAUUUUGUUGGGGGGAUCUUGGAACUGUCAAAGGGCGUCGAAUUCCAUUUGCUUCACAAAACUCUAAAAAUUCUUUGGAAGUGAACUCUCCACCUCGAUCAGAUCUCAUGGCUUUAAUCUGGUAUCCACUUUCUUUUUCAACUGCAGCUUUAAACUUCUUGAAAGCUUCAAAGACUUCUGAUUUUUGCUUCAAAAAAUACACCCAAGUUUUUCUUGAAAAAUCAUCUAUAAAAAGAAUGAAGUAGUUACUUUUACCAAGGGAGUUUGGCUUGAAUGGACCGCACACAUCAGUAUGAAUGAGCUCGAGUGGCUUCUGAGCUCUUGAGUUUGACUCCUUUGGAAAGCUCUUUCUGAACUGCUUGCCAAGUAAACAUCCUUCACAAAGUUGAUCAGGGUGAUUGAUGUAUGGUAAGCCUUUCACCAUGUUCUUCUUAGAGAGUAGCUCCAGUCCUCUAAAGUUGAGAUGCUCAUAUCGAAGAUGCCAAGUCCAGGAUUGAUCUUUGUGACAGGCUUUGAGACAUUUUGCAACAUCAUUUUGAAUAUUUAAAGGAAACAUUCUAUUCUUUGACAUUCUCACUUUUGUAUUUAGAUUUCCUUUUUCAUCUCUUAGAAAAAGACUAUAAUCUUUUAAGUGAAUAUCAUAGCCCUUUUUCUAAAAGUUGACCUAAACUAAGAAUGUUGCUUUUCAUAUUGGACACAUAGUAAACAUUCGAAAUUAUUUGGUGGCUACCAUCUUUUGCACGAAAAAGAAUGUUACCUCUACCCUUCACUGGUACUUUUGAAUCAUCUCCAAAAGUGACACUGCCAUUCACAAAUUCACUUAGUUGCACGAACAUGCUUCUGUUUCCACUCAUAUGAUUGCUAGCACCUGUGUCAAGAUACCAUGUAUUUUCUUGACCUCCAUUUGUGUCAUUGCGUGCUAGUAAAAGUGUGUCAUCUUCACCAUUUUUCUCUUCAGCAUAGUUCACUCUCUCUUUAAUUCUGGUGCUUGGAGCUCUGCAUUCUGAAGCAUAAUGCCCAAACUUUUGACAAUUAUAGCACUGUACUUGGGAUUUGUCAUACCUCGAUCUUGAAUUGCCUCUGCCUUGUUCUCUGGUUGAGCUUUCUCCUUUGGCAUAAUUGGAGUUGUUGUUGUUGAAAUUCCAACCUCGUCCAUGACCACGACCUCUACCUCGUCCUCGACCUCUACCUCGGACAUAGUGCCUUCUCUCAUUGUCGGAGCUUUCUUCUCUUUUCUUUGGAUUGACUUCCAUCUUGAGAAGUUGUUCUUCGAUUCCUUGCUUCUUUUUUUGUUUUUCUUCAUAGGCUUGCAACCUUCCUUGAAGUUGCUCGAUCGUCAUAUCCUCCAGAUCUCUUGUUUCUUCAAUUGUCAUAACAAUAUGAUCAAACUUCGAGUCUACUGAUCGAAGUAUCUUUUCAAUGAUCCUUACCUCUUUUAACUCCUCGCCAUUUCUUUUUAAUUCAUUGGAAACGGUCACAACUCGAGUAAAGUAGUCAGAAAUUGACUCCGACACCUUCAUGUGUAAGGACUCAAAUUCUCCUCGUAAUGUUUGGAGACGAACCUUCUUAACUUGCUCUGCUCCUUUGUAAGAGGUCUUUAGUUUCUCCCAUGCUUCUUUUGAGGAGGUUGUACCAGCAAUCUUUUCAAAAGCAUCUUCAUCUAAUGAUUGAAAGAUGAGAUACUUUGCUUUAUUCUCUUUCUUCUUCAAGUCUUUUAAAUUCUCCUUCUGCGCCGCAGUUAAAGUGGCUUCAUUUUCUGGCACAAUAAAGCCUUUCUCCACGACAUCCCAUACGUCAUGUGCACUCAAUAGAGCCUUCAUUUUAAUACUCCAAUUGUCAAACUUACUUCCUUUUAAUUGUGGAACUUGAAAUGACAUCAUCAUACCACCGUUUGCCAUAACUCACAAAUUGAGUGAGAAUUUGGAGAUUCUGAAUGCACAGAUGGAUCCGGCACGUCGAAAAACCUUGGGAAGGACUCGAGUCAACUUUCGGUCAACGGUCAACGUCGGUCAACGGUCAACACCGGCUUGGUAGUCUCGGUUCGGUCCGGAUUGGUUCAGCUCGAGUUGGCUCGGUUCGACUUGAUUCGGUUCAGCUCGGCUCGGCUUGGUUCAGUUCGGCUCAGCUUGGUUCAACUCGGUGAGUCGACUCAGCUUCAGGACAUAAAACUUCCGGCGGCAGGUGUGGGCGCGUACGGUCUCGGAUCGGGAUGAUUUUUGCGGCGUCACGUUCCUCUCGUCGAGAUCUUCGAUUUGAUAUGCUAUAUGACUAUAUAUAGCAUCAAACACUAGCUCUGAUACCACUUUGUUGGAGGAUUAACAAUUAAAACACACAAAAAACACACUAUUUUAUUUCUUCAACAACACUCCUCACCAAUUACAACUCUUAUUUUUCACUCUCUACACCUUAGAGAUUUUGCUGCUUCACUUGAUGUUUAAACCAAAGGGGAGAGGGGGUAUUUAUACAUGAAACAAACUAAUCACAACCAUUAAUUUAUUCAACUAAUAAACACAUCCUCACCAUCCAUUAAAACCUACUACUCACCUACUUCACCAACCACACCUAACACACCUAACACAAAUAAUUCAAACCUCACCAACCAUACCUACUCAUGGAACCUUCCAUGAGUUGGGCUUGAUUUAUUCAUCUUGGAUCAAGUUUAUGAUCCAACACCAUUAUCCUAUUACUCUUAUUUUAUCACAUGCAGAGACGUCAACGUUUGAUUCGCACGGAAAAAAAUUUGCGAGGAUUGUGAGGGUUGAUUCAAUAUAAUUUAGAUGCAAAGUGUUUACAAGUGCGAUGCUUCGUAAGUGCACCCGAAUCAUUAUAAACUCACCUUAUUUUCAUAGUGAUUAUUUCAUCUGCAUGUGAAUAUAAUCAUAUGUGGAGAUUUUUUUUUUCCCUAAACGAUGAUCUUCUCUAGUAUUGAGGUGUUAUAUCUUUUAAAUUAUAAUUAUUAUUAGUAAAAAACUGCAACUAUGAAAAAUAAAUUUAAUAUUAUGUCCUGAAUAUAAUUGUUAAAUAAUAAUUUUGACAAAAUUAAUGAAUAUAUACAGAUUUUUUUAUCAUAUAAAUGUAAAAUUAUAUCAACUUAGCUUCUAAGCUAUACAACGGUUACUAUUUACUAAAUACUUUAGUGUCGUAGUUUUUAAGAUAUAUUUAUCCACCCUCAAUCCCAAACAUAACCUGUAAGGAUAAAAAAUUUCAUCCUAAAAAUUAUACGUCUUGUGACUUAUUUAAUUUAUAUUUUUGUUAUUUAUAUUUAUUAAUUAUAGUCAUCUUUUAAUAAAUUACAAUUGAAGGAAGGUGGUUGAUGUUGUCGAGACACACACACAAAGAUAUAUUGGAAGUGCUUAUGUCCACUCGAAGUUGUGGGGAGUUAAUGCAUGUAUUGAUUUAUUGGGAGUGUUAAUGCAUGUAUUGAUUGAUUGAGUGAUUGAAUACUGUUUGAUUGCUUCAUAUCAAUUCUAGAAAGUUUAUUUCUUUGUGAAAUUUCAACGAAACGUGUUUUUUAGAAUAAUAAGGGUGUUUUAAGUAAUUUUAAAAAAUGAAUGGACUAAUUAGAAUUAAUUAUUAGGUAAUUAACUCGAAUUGUAGAGGGUAAGCAAACAUUUAUCCUAAUUAUAUUAUGAUAAAUCCUUUUCCAAUUAGAAUUAGGAAACCAUAGAUAUACUGAAUUUUUUUUUAUUUCCCUUCGCGAAAACGGAUCAGAGAAUUAGAAAACAAUCCUAGUGAUACUAUUGUUAGGUUUAAAACACUGCAUAGAUGGUAAAAACAUUGGAAUUGAUGUAGAUUAAUUUGUUAAUUGCUAUCGUACUGAACAUUGUUUUAUGCAAAUUAAUUUGAGAAUUAGAAAAAAGUUUGUUGCAUGCAAACUUUUUGUUUUAUGCAAAUCGUACUGAACAUUGGGACUGAUGUUUAAGAAAAAAAUUCUGUAGUUAAAGAAAAACAAAAAGGCAUGUUGAAUAGAUUACGAUAGUUUAUUCAAUUGGGAAUUUUUUUUCUUUAAUUUUUGUUGUACUUGAUUGAGAUUUCUCUUUAGUCCUUUCGUACUUCCUUUGUAAGCUGAGUAUAAGGAUGAAAUUCUUUUAAGAAAUUAAAAAAGAAAAAAAAGCAUGCCACUACGCAAUUAUAAAUAACCACAAAUAAAUAUAAACAAAAUGUUUAUGAAGUAAAUUAAACAUGCACAUAUUAUUUUCUUUUAUUUGCUGCUUGGAAACCCAUAAAUGCACUAAUCCAAUAUUACAAUUAAUUUCAAACAGAAAAAAUUGAACUCUAGGCUGCAGUUUGACUCAAAAUGAUGACCACUGGCUUCGCACCAUUCAACCGGUAUACAUUUCUACAAACCGAACAACGCUAUUGAUUUUUAUUUUUUUUUUUAAUUUGUCUAUAAAUUACUAUUUUAAUUUUCACUUUUUAUUGGGUUGUUUAACGGAUUAGUGAAGCUGGUGGUCGUUGAUGCACUCAUAAGGUACAAUUUUAUUUUAGAAUUUCAAAUUCGUAUUUUAAAAUGCAGGCACAUUAUGUAUACAUAAUUAUUGAUUUUCAUAUGUGGGUGUUUUGAAAUAUUGCCAAAAGACCAAACUUUAAUAAACUAUUUUUGAUUUUUUUUUUCCUUUUUACCUAAAGUUGGAGUGAUAUCCGCAUUUUAAAUUCAUGUGGAACAAAGCUAAUGUAAGCACAAAAUUCUUUUAUUUUUUCCGAGAAAAAUGGGUAAGAGAAGAAGAUUUUUCUCUUGAAAAAUGAAAAAAAAUACAAUGCAAGCAUAGGAAAGAGGUCAGUGUUUUGGAUUUGAAUUUAGUAUUGAGCUGAAUUUUAUGCUAAGCUCUUUUAUAGUACUGCGAUUAAUAAGCUAGCUCAGGAUUUGCUUUUGCUUUUACUUCAAGUAAAAGAAAGAGGAAGCCUUUUGUUUUUUUGUUUGAUUUUUGACUAUAUAUGUUACCUAUAUAGAGAGUUGAGGUAGCAGCCUUAAGUGAUGGUGAUAAAAAGAUUAAGCAGUGCACACAAUCUUACUGUCAUCCAGACCAUCCAGUGAUGGCUCUAGUUUUUUUGUUACGUUAGCUUUAGUGGAAAGAAGGGCCAAUUUAACAAAGACUAGAUUUGGUGGCUUACUAUGUUUAAUGUAAUGCUUAUUCUCAGCGCACACAAUCUUACUAUGUUUAAUGUAAUGGUUAUGUUGAAUGAUCUUCUAUGAUUGUGAGUAGUAUAGUAUAAUUGAAAAGGGCCUGGGCUCCUAUGAUGAAUAACAGUAACACAUUACUGUGAUUGAGAAAACUCAGUUCCAAUAAACUCUUCAUUUACUCAUUGCGGAGAUCGAAUGGCAAACAGAGAAUAGAAUGAAGCAGAAGAAUCUCAUUGUUAGGUUUUGAUGAUUUCAGAUGCUUUUUUUUUAAAAAAAAAUUGUGACAUCUUUGAUUUACGGCAGUUUUGCAGAAAAAAAAAACAUAUAAAAAUUAAGAGGGAUGAGUUAACUGACGAUUACAAUCAUUACAGCAAUGCUGAUGAGUGAUAUAUCACUUGAAAUUUACUUGUCAGUUGCUGAAAUGAUGAAAAAAAACCAACAAACGAUAACAGUAAUAAUGUUCCCUUGCUGAAAUUCAAUUUUGACUUUCGACUCUUGGCUUUUAUGGAGAGUAAAAUGACUUGUAUAUUAUACUCAUACAAUCCACUCUACAUAAUGAUAUCGUUUUAAUAAGGCAAUGGCUGAUGAUCUCCAUUUAAAAACUACAUCAAUUUUUUUGCUUCAUUUAACUUUUUGGUUGUUGAAAAUAACCUUAAUUAUCAAAUAAUUGGAGAAAGAGUUAAGAACAUUUAACAAAUUUAUGUGCAAAAAAAAAAAAAAAAGGAAGAAGUUGAAGAGAAAGGGUGCUUGCAGAAGUGGGUGUCAAAGAUAAAUCGGUCCAUAAGAAUUAUUGUGGUUAUUUUUUGGCAAUAUAAAAAUUUUUUAGCAAGUAAAAAUAAUUUUUUUUCCGAUUUACUAAAAAAUUAACUAAAAACUUCUGCGAUGUCAUUUUUUAUGGGUGCAUAUACCCUCCCUUUAAAAAAUUUAUAAUAAUUACUGCUUAAUAUAGUAUUAAAUACGAAAAAUAUCAAUAUUUGACUACUCAAAUUUAUAUCAUUAGGUCCUUAAAAUUUAAAAUGGAAGAUAUGAAAGGAAAUAUAUAUAAAUUUCAUUGUCCUGGGAAAGGACCCUCUUAUUAUCUUAUAAUAUUUGAAAUUUGAUAGAUUUUUUGAAACAAAUGUACUUUUAUUUGUGUACAAUCAAUAUUUACUCAUUUAUUAUAUUUUAAUUUAUUAACUAUCAAUCAUGUAAGUAUACUUAGUCAAAAAAAUUAUAUCAAGAGAGAAUUCUAAUUUCACGCAAAAACAAAUACCAAAACAAAUAUCUCAAUUUCUAUACUAUUCACUUUCCUGUAGAAUCAAUUAUUUAAAAUGCAAGUUUGUGGCUACAGAAAACUCGCCAAAGAAAGAAGAUAAUAACAAUUGAGCAUUGAUGGCAAAACUAAUGCAUCCAAUUCUUCUUGACUUGAUGAGAUGGCGCCAUAACGUAGAAACAAGUACCUAAAUUGACCGGCACUGAGUGGUGUGAAUACUACCAGCCAGUUCAUCUCUUCCAGUCUUGCUUAAUCACAAUCACAAACACCACGAGAUCGACAUUUGCAUUAUAUAUAUCUUCUGCAAUCGAAACACCUUGCAUUACCAAAUAAGCCCGUAACAGACAAAGCAAUCUUUCAUGGAGAGAAACCUUAGUCUCAGUAUGAUCACUGUGUCAUUAACGUACUGCCUGCUUCUUUGCUUGGUUGCUGCAGCAGCAGCAGCGGCAAGCAACAAUAUUACCACAGACCAACAAGCUCUUCUUGCCCUGAAAGAUCAUAUAAUUUAUGAUCCGACCAGCCUUUUAGCUCACAAUUGGACCUCGAAUACCUCUGUUUGUACCUGGAUUGGCAUCACUUGUGAUGCCAAUAGCCAUAGAGUCACAACCUUAGAUAUUUCUCAAUUCAAUCUACAAGGCACCAUCCCUCCUCAACUUGGGAACCUCUCUUCACUCACAACACUUAAUCUUAGUCAUAACAAGCUUUCUGGAAACGUUCCCUCCUCCAUCUACACCAUGCAUACGCUAGAAUUUCUUGACUUCACUGAUAACCAGCUCUCUGGUUCAGUGACUUCCUUCGUCUUGAACAUGUCUUCAAUAUUAGACAUUCGUUUGACCAAUAACAGACUUUCUGGUGAGCUUCCGAAAAAUAUUUAGAGCUAUCUUCCUCAUUUGAAAGCCCUUUUUUUGGACAAAAACAUGUUUCAUAGCAAACUUCCUUCUGCUUUAUCAAAGUGCAAACAACUGCAACAAUUAAAUUUGAAGUUCAAUAAUUUAUCCGGUGCAAUACCAAAAGAAAUCGGCAACUUGACUAUGCUCAAAGGGAUAGACCUCGGCUACAACAAACUCCACGGUAUGUUCAUAAUACUAUACAAAUAUUAUCUUUCUUGAAUACUUUAGAUAAGAUCUUGUAUGUGAGAUUUUUUUGCAUCUAUAUUAAUUUUCCAGGUGAGAUACCGCACGAAAUCGCUAAUCUUCCAAAUCUAGAGGCUUUAGCGCUUGGAAUGAACAACCUAGUUGGUGUGUUACCAGCUCCAAUCUUCAACAUGUCAACACUGAAUGUACUUAUCCUCAUAAAUAACUCUCUCUCCGGUAGUCUUCCAUCAAGAAUGGACCUUUCACUUCCAACUAUUGAGCAUCUUAACUUUGCACUUAAUAGAUUUUCUGGAACAAUUCCUAGUUCCAUAACCAAUGCUUCUAAGCUCACAUUUCUAGAGUUGGGAGGAAACACAUUUUCGGGCUUUAUUCCAAACACAAUUGGUAAUUUAAGAAACCUUGAGUUGUUCGGCUUGGUUUUUAACUACUUGACAUCUUCGAGCUCAAAAUUGAGCUUUCUUUCCUCUUUGGCAAAUUGCAAGAAAUUAAGAGUCAUAGGCUUAACAGGCAAUCCACUCAACGGCAUCCUUCCAAGUUCAGUAGGUAAUCUUUCUAUGUCUUUGAAAACACUUCACAUCGCCAAUUGCAGUAUUAGUGGCAACAUUCCUCCAGCAAUUAGCAAUUUAAGCAACUUGUUGGCCUUAGUAUUAGAAGGCAAUAAAUUGACUGGACCAAUCCCAACUACAUUCGGCCAACUACAGAAACUCCAAGGCUUAGAUCUCGCAUUCAAUAAGUUGGUAGGUUCAUUCCCAGAUGAGCUUUGCCAUCUAGCUAGGCUGGAUGAAUUGGUCUUAUUUGGCAAUAAGCUUUCAGGAUCUAUACCUUCAUGCUUAAGUAACCUCACUUCUCUGAGAUCUCUCCACUUAGGGUCCAAUAGGUUUACUUAUGUCAUUCCCUCAACUUUCUGGAGCCUAAAAGACAUCUUGUUCUUUGACUUUUCAUCAAAUUUCUUGGUUGGUCCUCUUUCUUUAGACAUAGGAAAUUUGAAGGUGCUUCUAGGAAUAAAUUUAUCAGAAAAUAACUUAUCGGGUGAUAUGCCAGCCACAAUUGGAGGACUAAAAAACCUUCAAAUUAUGGACCUAACAUAUAAUAGACUGGAAGGGCAAAUUCCUGAAUCAUUUGGUGACUUGACAAGUUUGGAGGUUUUGAAUUUGUCAAAUAAUAAAAUCUCUGGGUCUAUUCCAAAAUCCAUGGAGAAACUCUUUUACCUUCGAGAGUUAAAUCUCUCUUUCAAUGAACUAGAAGGUGAGAUUCCUAGUGGAGAAAUUUUUACCAACUUCACAGUUGAGUCAUUUAUGGGAAAUGAGUUAUUGUGUGGUUUACCAAAUCUUCAAGUCCAACCAUGCAAACUUAGCAAGCCAAGGACAGAACAUAAAUCAAGGAAAAAGAUACUUCUCAUUGUGAUUGUUUUGCCAUUGAGUAUUGCUCUAACAAUAGCAAUCACUCUACCUCUCAAAUCUAAGCUGACCAAAUGUGGAAAAAGAUGCACAGUGUUGUCAAAUGAUAGUGUCUUGUCAUCACAAGCAACACUAAGAAGAUUUUCAUACUUAGAACUUUUACAAGCAACAGAUAAUUUUGCUGAAAACAACGUAAUUGGCAUAGGUGGUUUUGGUUCUGUUUAUAGAGCAAGACUUGAAGAUGGGAUGAAGAUUGCAAUAAAAGUGUUUCACCAGCAAUGUGCAAGCGCAUUGAAGAGUUUUGAGGCUGAAUGUGAAGUGUUAAAAAAUAUUCGCCAUCGAAAUCUUAUCAAAGUUAUCAGCAGUUAUUCAAACAAUGACUUCAAAGCAUUAGUCCUAGAAUACAUGUCCAACAGGAGCUUGGGGGAUUGGUUGCAUUCCAGCAAUUAUAUGCUGAAUAUAUUUCAAAGGUUGAACAUAAUGAUUGACGUUGCAUCAGCUUUGGAAUAUCUCCACUUCGAUCAUUUACCUCCUAUUAUUCAUUGUGACUUAAAGCCUAGUAAUGUAUUGUUGGAUGAAAAUAUGGUUGCUCAUUUGAGUGAUUUUGGCAUAGCAAAGCUUUUAAUUGGGGAGGAUGUGUAUGUCAUGCGAACAAAAACCCUUGCCACUAUAGGUUACAUCGCACCAGGUUUGCUUCAAACAACUUUUUUUUAGUUCAUUUUAAAUUUUCUAAAUCAUUGAUUUUUACGAUCCUCAUAUCAAAUUGUUAUUGAUUAUUUAUCUAAUUGUGAAAUUAAUUUGAUUCAUAGAGUAUGGCAUAGAAGGAGAAAUAUCUACAAAAAGUGAUGUUUACAGCUAUGGGAUUAUGUCGAUGGAAACUUUUACCAAGAAAAAACCCACAGAUGAAAUUUUUGUUGGAGAAUUGAGCUUAAAGCGUUGGGUUGAUGACUUGCUUCCUGAUUCAUUAGUGGAAGUUGUGGACAAAACUCUAGUAAGUGGAGAGGAAAAACAUUUUGCCGCAAAGGAGCAAUGUCUGUUGUCUAUCUUUAGUUUGGCUCUGGAGUGUACAAUGGAAUCACUGAAAAAGAGGAUCAAUGCAAAAGAUAUUGUUACCAGAUUACUCAAGAUAAGAGACACAUUGAGUAAAAGGAUAGGAAAUUUAAGUUAAUAUCGUUUGCUUUCAUUGAUAGUUAUUUUGAAUUCAUGUAAUAAGUGUACGAACCUUAUAUCUUUUCCUUUGAUAUUUUUUUCCUUGAGAAAACUAUUGUAGUCAUCUUAUUUCCAUGGGCAGAGUUGAUUUAGUUCUUCCAAGAAAUGCUACUGAUGACCUUUGUUUUAUACUUUCUCUUUUUUUGCAUGUGUUUAGGUAGAACAGUGGUUUGGCUGCAGGCUAAGAAGACUAACUACACUAAAAGAAUAUGAUUUAAUUUAUUAAACAAAACUUCAAGAAAAGUAUUUCACUGCCCCCAAUGCUUUGGACACCUACUGGUGGGUUUGUACGUGUCCUCAACUUUUUUUUGGAGCACAAAAUUCGAGUCCCAUGGAGACUCAAACAUUCCUUUCCCACAUCUCGAGCACGCUAAAUUUAUCAGACUGACAACUGGGACAUAUACAAGAGUGAAAUGUUUAGAGCACUCUAAGUUCGAGUGAAAGAGAUUAAUUUACAGAAAAUAAAGCCAAGGGUUCAGAAAAAAGUGCAAAGAGAAUAAAGGAACGUCUGAGCUAUUUAAAGCUUCAUGGAAAGUUGAAGGCUCUCCAUAUUUUGUUAGAAGAUAGUAUGCAACAUUGAUCUCUGUGACAUACUCCGAGUGCCACGUUGGCGGUCGUCUCUCACGAGUUGACCGACGAAUUUCUUGAGCCUCGGACUCGACUAGUUCUUGUUCCUCGUGCUCUGGUGCUGCUUCAGAAGAAUUUGAAUCUUUUGAAUUAUUUUUCACAUAUACCGGUACAGUCUCUGACUUUUCUUUUACAGUGCUAUCAUCCUCAUCUUUCCUUUGCAAUUGAUCUUCUAUAAAAAUAACAUCUCUGCUGAUGACGAUCUUGUGGGCAGUGGGAUCCCACAGACGAUACCCUUUUACUCCAUCAGCAUAUCCCAAGAAGAUACAUCUUCUAGAUUUUGCAUCCAGUUUUGUUUUUUCUUGAGCAUUGUACAUCACGUACACAGGACAUCCAAAUGUAUGUAGGUAGGAAUAAUCAGCUGGCUUUCCAGUCUAUAUCUCCAUCGCUGUCUUCAGCCCAAUUACUGUAGAUGGUGAUCGAUUUACUAUAUAACAGGCAGUUUUGGCUGCUUCUACCCAAAAUGAAUUGGGUAGACCAGCAGUCCUCAACAUAGCUCUUAUCCGUUCUGUAAUAGUUCUAUUCAUCCGCUCUGCCACUCUAUUUUGUUGAGGAGUGUAUGCCACCGUGAACUGUCUCUGAAUACCUUCUUGCUUACAGAAAACAAGAAACUCGCCGUCUAUAUACUCUCCACCAUUAUCUGUCCUCAAGCACUUGAUCUUUUUACCAGAUUCAAGUUCUACCGUGCUUUUAAACACUGGAAAUACAUCUGACUUUUUCUUAAUUGGAUACACCCAACAUCUUCUGGAAUAAUCAUUAAUGAAAGUCACCAUGUACUUUGCACCUCCCAUGGAUAUAUCCGGUGAUUCCCAAAUAUCAAAAUGAAUCAAGUCUAUAAUGCAUUUACUUCUAGCAAUAGAUCUACUGAAUUUUAAUUUAUGCUGCUUACUUGUAACACAAUGCUCGCAAAAUGGUAAACUUACCGAUUUGAGCCCCGGAAGCAAUUUUCGCUCAAAGAGAAUCUUCAAUCCUUGUUCUGACAUGUGGCCAAGUUUGAGAUGCCACAUCAUCGUUGACUCUUCUCCAUUUGACGCGACACAUGCAUCAGCCUCUUGUAGUGUUUCUCCUUUAAGCAUGAAUAAAUUAGCACCGAUCUUUUCUGCCUUCAUCAAUACAAACGCACCUUUAACGAUCUUCAUAAUUCCAUUCUCCACAUGAGUUUUGUACCCAUGACUAUCCAUUUGUCCCAAAGGUAAAAGAUUUUUCUUCAGGCCGUUGACAUGUCGUACCUCCCUAAUUGUGCGAAUUGUACCAUCAAACAUUUUUAUUUUGAUAGUACCAAUACCAACGAUCUCCAAGGCAUGAUCAUUACCCAUAUAUACAGAUCCUCCUGAGAUAGGUUCAUAUGUGUGGAACCAUUCUCUCCGAGAGGUCAUGUGUCAGGUAGCUCCUGAGUCUAUAAGUCAGACAUCAGAUAGUCGUUUUCUGCCUUCUAAAACAGUUGUUGCCUCGCUGUAGAGAAUUUCGCCAUCAUCCGAGGUACUUACGACACAACCCUGAGCAUUUGAUGACUUAGGUUCUUUGCCCACUCUUGUCUUCUAAUUACUCCAACACUCUUUCUUGACGUGCCCUUUCUUGCCACAGUUGUAGCAUUUAACAUUCUUCUUACUUCUAGAUUUUGAUCUACCAUGAUUUUGACUCCCAUUGGGGCCACGUUCCGUUGAUCUCCCUCUCGUCACCGAUAGCGCCUCCGCUUGCUGCGAACUUGCUUGUCUGUUUUUCUUAUUUUUUCGUCUGCUUUCCUCAUUUAAUACAGAGGCUGCAACAUCGUCGAAAACUAGACUGUCCACUGGAUUGCUGUUCGUUAGGUUGAUGAUGAGUUGAUCAUACGAAUCUGGUAGACUUUGAAGUAGAAGCUCUGCACGUUCAUUCUCCUCUAUAUUAUGACCCAACGUUGUAAGUUGUGAAAAUAGAGUCUUCAAGGUGUUGAUGUGAUCGGUUACCAUUAUAGAUUCCGCCAUUUGAAGAGUAUAAAGUUUCCUCUUCAAGAAGAUUUUGUUGUGUAGUGACUUGGCCUCGUACAAUUUUGUGAGAGUAUCCUAAAUUUCCUUCGCUGUAUUUUUCUUUGCCACACUGGAUAAUACUCCGUCUGCAAGUGCCAAGUGUAGAUCAGAAAUGGCAUUGCCAUCUAUCUCGUUCCACUUGUCAUCAGUUAUCUCCAUGGGCCUUUCUCCAAUUGCUUCCAAGUAAUUAUUUUUCCUCAAUACAACUUUCAUCUUAAUUUUCCACAACGAAAAAUUAUUUUCGUUAAAUUUCUCAAUUUCAUACUUUGCUGUCAUUUUGUUGAUAAAUAUUGUACACAAACUAGUGUAUCACCUUGAAUAGUUGUGAGUAUGUGUAAGAAUGCACACCAGAAAAGUUCCUAGGAAAGACUGGAGGGGUCACAAUAGUCCCACUUAAAACUCAGACUCCUUAAGCUCUUAUCGCCUUUGUGACAGAACUUUCCUAGACAUGUAUAAAACCACACAAUUGCUUUACUCACACCACUAUUCCCUGCUUUGUACCGCCAAAUUCUUCGAUCGCUCCCACCGUUUCACGUGAAUAGUACUGUAUACGUGAACAGUACCGUGUACGUGAAUAGUAUCCCUUACGUGAACAGUACCCAACUCUAAAAAAUACAAUAAAUAGCUCUGAUACCACUGUUAGGAAAUUGGUGGGUGAAGCAGGACCGCAGCUAAUAUGAAAUUGGAAGAAAAUAAAGAACAAGGACAAAAAGAGGAUACCAGAAAUUACGUGGUUCGGCUUUUAACCUACGUCCACGGGCGAAAACAGAAGGAAAUAUUUUACUCGUAAAAAGGAGUUACAAGUAUUGUAGUAUUUUAGCUCACUUUCCAAAAUCCCAAUACACCCAAACUCUCAAAACACUAAAACAAGAGCUUAUAAUUUCAAGCUCUCUAAACUCUCUCUAAAUACAAGAAAACUCUUCUCAAAAUUGGAUAAGCAAAUGAGGGAAUGAGCCCCUCUAUUUAUAGCCAAAAUCUUGGCUACUAUUCACUUUUUUUUAAAAAUUAUUUAUUAUUGUUCAAAAUUUCAACAUUCAAAGUUUGAUAUUCAAACUUUGAAUAUCUAGAAUUUUGAAUUUGAUAUUCAAAGUUUGAAUAUCUAGAAGUUUGAAUUUGAUAUUCAAAGUUUGAAUAUCAAGACACCCAAUCUUGACACUAAAUUCACCAGACUGACAACUGGGGCAUAUAGAAGAGCGAAAUAACUGGGACAUAUACAAGAGUGAAAUGUUUAGAGCACGCUAAGUUCGAGUGAAAGAGAUUAAUUUACGGAAACUGAAGCCAAGAGAAUAAAGGACAACACUUACGUGAAGCGACAUAAUUGUAUUGAAAGCACAAUGUCAAAUUCAUACGGAGAUCUAGUAUAUUAUUUACAGCUGGUGAGGGCUAAGAAUUGAUGUAGCUAGAAUACAAAGACGAUAAGGUAUGUUGUGCACUAUUGUUUUAUUCUACGAUCAAUCUUGACCCUUGAUGCUUGGCUCUCAAUCUUGUCCAUUGAUCUUCUUUGAUUUUGGACACUUCAAGACCUUUCAGUAUCAUUCCUUGUUGUUGGUGUCUUCCGUGCUGUAGAAUUCAUAUACAAGCCUUCCCGCCGACUUGCCAAGUAUUCGUUCAUUGAUGCAUUUUUAUCAAACAGCUGGGCUACUUAUGCCAAACACCGCCUGGUUUAACUCCCCCUCUCUAGCUCAACUAUCUGGGAAGACAAUUAAUUGAGAUAUGAAUCAGAAAAUUAAAUUUUAAAAAUUGUAUUCGGACUCUACAUUUUGUAAUGAACAUUGGUUUGACUUGUUAUACAUUUAUGCGUACAUAAUUAAUAACCGAUUCUCAAGUGCGGACAUUCAAGAGCACUGCUUAAAGACCAAAUAUUUUGAUUUACUAUUUUUUGUCUUUCAAUUUUCUUUUAAGUUCUGAUGACGUCCGCAUUUUAAAAUCCUGUGGAACAAAGGCCUGACGUGCAUAUAAAAUUCUUUUAUUUUUUCAGAGGAAAAUGGGUUAGAGAAGAAGAUUUGGCAAAAGAAUUGCAACGGCAUUUGAAACUAGUCUUCGUCUUUUAAUUCUUUUAUAUUUGUUUUUGUUAUUGAUGUUAGCUUGGAUGUGAACCCGUGUGACUGAAUUCAACUUAUAUUUGUUUUUGUUAUUGUUAUUAAUUUUAUUUGUUUUUGUUAAAUUGGACCACCAACAAGGGCGGUCCAUUAUCAAAUCAACACGGUUUAAUUAUUAUUAUUUCUACACUUUUUUUAUGAACAAAUAUAAAAUAAAAGGACAUUUACACCCUCAAUUUUAGUGAAAUAGUCAUUAACACCCCUAAAUUUUUAAAAGUAGACAUCAAGAUCAUUUUUUUACCUUAAUACUCUUAUACGGUACCUCUAUUAUUCCCAAAAAUUGAUUCUAAUGUUUUAUAAUAAAUAAAAAUAAAACAUUAAAAUAAAUGUAAUAACAUAUAUAUUUUAAAAUAAUUUCAAUAUUUAAAAAAUAUUUUUAACAUUUUACAAUCUAUUAACUAUAUUUUAUUAUAUUGAAGUAAAUUUUAUAAUAAAUAGAAUCAUAUUAUUAAAAUAAAUGUAUUAAAAUUUAAAUGAUUUUGAAUAUCAUGUACAAUAAUAAUUUUAACAUUACUAAUAUGUCAGAUUUUUUUUUAAGAAUGUAUUUAGUGCAAAUAUUUCUUUCAAAUCUCCACAAUAAAUAAAAGAUUAAAAUAAAUAUAAUAAUUUACAUAUCUAAAUUUAUUAAAAUAUUUUAAUAUUGUUAGUCUACUGCAUAGAUCACAAUAUUUAUAUAAUAUUUGUAUUUAUUAAAAACUUUAAAAUCAAUUCUUUUGAGAAUAAUAGAGGUAAAGGGUAUAAUGGUCAAAAUGGGGACUUUGUACUCCUUUUUGAAAACUUGAAGGUGUUGGUGGCUAUUUUUCCAAACCUUCAGGGUGUAGAUGUCAUUUUUCCACAAAUAUAUGAGAAAAUUAUCAAGAAAUACAGUAUCUGAACUCUGAAGUAACAAGGAUCACCUUUUAUGAAAUCGAUUGCUUUUCAUGAUAGACUGUUACUAUUUUUCUACAAUAGAUUGAAUUUAGUAAAAAAUUGAUUAAGAUGUCUACUCAUGGAGAGUGAAAUUUAUGUUCAAUACUAAUUUCAACAUGCAUGCACCACCGAACGUGUUUCUCACGGAAAAGUUGCUUGGAUUUUUGGGACUUCCUGUUCAAAUAUUCAACACGGCAUGCACCACGCGAUUGAACAUGCAAAAGUAGGGGUCUAUUAUCAUUUCCAGCAUUAUAGAAAUCUUAAUUUUGUUCAUUAUUUAUUUUGAUCAGCACUGUUGAAUCUCCAUGUAUUGCCAAUCACUGGGAAACAACAUAUUCUUAUUAAUUAUAUCCUCUAAUGGAGAGAACUCAUUGUCUCAGUGUAAGAUCACUGUGUCAUUAACCCACAGCCUGCUGAUUUGCUUGGUUGCUGCAGCAAGCAAAAAUAUUACCACAGAUCAAAAAGCUCUUCUUGCCCCAAAAGAUCACAUAACUUAUGCUCCAACCAAUCUUUUGACCGAAAAUUGGACCUCAAAUACCUCUGUUUGUACGGGGAUUAGCAUCACUUGUGAUGUCAAUAGCCGCAGCCUUGGAUAUUUCUCAAUUCAAUCUACAAGGCACCAUUAUUCCAAACACAACUGGUAAUUUAAGAAACCUUAAGUGGCUCGGCUUGGCUUAUAAACUACUUGACAUCUUCAACUUCAAAAUUGAGCUUUCUUUCCUCUUUGGCAAAUUGCAAAAAAUUAAGAAUCUUAGGCUUACUGGAAAUCCACUUGACCGUAUCCUCUCACGUUCAAUAGGUAAUCUUUCUAUGUCUUAGGAAAGAUUUCACGUCGCCAAUUGCAGCAUUAGUGGCAGAAUUCCUCAAGUAAUCAGCAAUUUAAGCAACUUGUUGGCAGUUGUGCAAAAUUUUAAUAUACUCGCAAGUGCACGAAUCUAGAAAUAGAAUAAUGGUAAUGAGGUCAAACCCAUAGGGAUUGUUUUAAAAUGACAAAAGAAUAGCUGCUGGUCUAGAGGUGGCUUACUACAUUCAUACAAGAUCGUUUCUUGUUCUCUAAGAUGUGCAUUAUACUAAUAAUGCUAUACAAACUUAUCCAAAGGUCUAUUAAUUAAUUCAUUAAUCCAACGGCUUGUUAGGUUGUCCUUUCAUCCAUACAGCUGCAUGCUUGUCUUCAUAUACACUGAUCUUAUCCUCUAGAUCUGUUCAGGCUGAGUGAUCUCUCACAUUUGCCAUAUCAGAAGAUUACAUGCCAGUAAUGUCAUGUGAUGACCUGUUGCUUGGUGAUGUCGAAUGCCUGGCCUUUACUUCUCUGAGCAAAUUGAUCAAACAAUUUGUUCAUUUUAUCGAACACCUUCACCAACUAACAUUUUAUUUACUUUGGAUGGUUUUUAAGUGCAUUUAAUGAUUAUUUUUGCUCCAACUUCAGAUAAACCAAACGCCAGUAUAUUAGAAGAAGAAGUUAACUGGCAGCUAACCAGGUCAAAAUAGCGACUCUAUAUAAAAAAAAUAUAUAAAAUAAAAAAAUGGGACUUUAUUUAAUUAAUUGUUGGUCUAAAGCUGUUGGUAUCCGUUGGCCACGUUUCUGAAGAGUCAUCUCAAAUCGAAAUUUUUAACGAACAAAGGACAUUGCUGCUGGCUGCCGCCCGUGAGAUAAAAGUGCUAAAAUCCAAAAUGUUCCACCAUCAUUUAUUCUAAUUUUAAUUUUCCAAUGGAAAAAAUUACAUAAUUAAAAUGGCUUCUAAUAUCAUUUCCACACCUCAAUAUGUGUCACUAUCAUAAAGUUGUUCUCAUGAUUCAUGGAAAAUUUGGAUUACAGCACCUGUACUUUCUGAUGGUUCAUUAUUUAUUCUCAGGAAUCGAGUCUCCUUACAUUACCAAACUAAUAACAAACAGGAAUCUUUUAUCCUUUCACGGUGAGAAAUUACAGUCUUCGUAUGAUCGCAGUGCCAUUAACCCACUGCCUGCUUCUUUACUUGGUUGUUGCAGUAGCAGCAGCAAGCUACAUUACCACAGACCAACAAGCUCUUCUUGCCCUGAAAGCUCAUAUAAGUUAUGAUCCAACUAAUCUUUUGGCUCAAAAUUGGACCUCAAAUACCUCUGUUUGUAACUGGAUAGGCAUUACUUGUAAUGUCAAUAGCCAUAGAGUUACAGCAUUUGGAUGAAUUUUUAUUGAAACCUUUCUGAGAAGUAGGACAUGUCAGACAUCAAAGCACUGAGAUAUCUUCAAAUAGUGGUAACCCCACUCAUCAAGGCACAAUAAAUUAUACAGAUAAAAUCCUCCACUCUUUCGUAAUCAUCGGUGUAGGCACGGUGAUGCGUCGGACAGAUAUGGGUCGGAUCCACUCCAGCUCCAUAUCAAGAUUCAUAAACCAUGACAAAAAUAGAGAAUCAUAGGUGUUGCAGAUAGUGAUGGUUGUUGAUGCACUCGUAAUUUAAAAUUUUAUUUUAUAUCUUCAAGUUCGCAUUUUAAGUGUACAUUUUUUUUUUAUUUUGUGAUCAAUAUAACUUGUCAAAUCUAUUUUUAAAUAAUUUUUUAAAACAUUUUAUUAACAAUGAUAUGAAAAUAUUCGACCCCUUUUCAUAGUAAAGUGAAUUAUUAUCCGACAAUCCAACUCAUGUUUUCAAAUUGUAAAUUGCAAAUCGUGUGUUUGCUCCUGUUAGAGUGCAAUUUAUGCACUAGUUUUGCAUUGUUUACUUCCCUUAAUAUCGAUGUUUUGCACUUAAUAAUAAUGAUUUACUUGUGUUUUACUUUUGUAGGUGCAAUUCUAUUGAUUUGUGAUAAAAUUGAGCUAUAAGAUGAUGUUUAAAGAUGAUUGUUCUCUUGGAGAAAUGAUGAGCGUCAGAAGAACUUUGUUGAUAAGGCGUGAGCGCGUGCUGUCAACUACGGGCCUGCUGUUUUUAGUUUAACGUGUUUUGUAUUUUUGGUUAUUUUUGUAAUUACGAAUUUAAUAUUUCAGAUAUUAGUAUUUUAUUUUAAAUAGAAUUCUAGAGGAGAAGAGAGAGAGAGUAUUUAAGGGAGGAAUCUAUUGUGAAAAAAGGGGAUUUUGGAUUGGAGGAAAAGAAAAGAAACCCUAGAUCUAAUUUUUCUCUUCUCUCUAUGAAGAACUAAACUUAUUUUUCUGGUUGAAGGAUAAUGAAGCUUUGAUUCAUCACUACUGUGAGAUCUUUCUUGUGCUUUAAUUGUUUUAUUGCUUUUUGGGUAUUUGUUUAUUCUCUGAAUUAUUUUCAUGAUUAUGUUUGUUAAUUAGAUAAUUGGCCACUAUUUAAUUAUCAACUUAAUCUAUUGUUAAUUAAAGGAUUUAUCGUAUGAAGAAUUUAAUGUUUGUGACAAAUAACAUAGCAGAGAGUUGUGUUGUGAGAAUAAACAAUCUAAUUUAAAUGAAUCAUCAUAUGUGUUGAUUAGGAUUUAGGUCUCUCUGGUUUUUCAGGCUGUCAAUUGAUUAAAUCCUAUGAUCGUAUCUAGGGUUGUCCAUUGAUUAGGGAAAUAUCCAACGGUCGUACCUUGGUUAUCGACUAAUUAAGGAGAGAUUGGCUAUUAGAGGGUCUCAGUAGCUAUAACCGGUCUAUUCAUAAGUAAUAAUAAUUUAUAUUUGAAUCAAUGAUCAGUAGUCGAAUCAAGCUGAGUUAAUUCCUUCAACCGGAGCUUUCUCCAAUUUGAAUUACAACUUUAAUUUGCAUUCUUGUUAUUUUAAUUUGAUUUUUAUUAUUGUCAACAAUUCCCCCAUUUUACGUUUUACGUUUCAAAAGGAUUUAAAUAAUUACCGAUCUCUGUGGACACGACCCUGCUCAAUCACUAUACACAAUUUAUUUAGAGUAGGAAUUUAUUUUUGUUGGCUUCGACAACCAUCAAAUUUUGGCACUGUUGCCGGGGAUUGGUGUCAUUUAUUUAAUCCUUUUUACGUUUUACUUGGUGUAUGAUUCGUUCUUCUCGUACAGGUACACUUUCGUUUGAUCCUGAAAUUGAGAAGAUAGCUCGCCACCUGAGACAGCAGACGAAGCGAGCUAAGCAACGAUCCUCGUCACCUUUGCUUUCUGAAACAGAUACGGUGCUUGAUUUAGUUGAAUCAUCUAGCGAUUCGGAAGAACAAGUGAUGGAUAGAGUUGCACCUGUAGAAAGAACUCUUAGAGAGUUAGCUGAACCAGACUUGAAUCAACAACCACUCUGCAUUCAAUAUGUAGACUUGGAGGUAAAUUUUGAAUUAAAGUCUGGUCUUAUUCAUUUAUUACCCAAGUUUCGUGGUUUUGCAGGUGAAGAUCCUCAUAAACAUCUUAAGGAGUUUCAUGUUGUGUGUUCAAGUAUGAGGCCACAAGGCGUGACUGAAGAGCAGAUUAAGCUGCGUGCUUUUCCGUUCUCUGUAGAUGGGCUAGCUAAAGACUGGUUGUACUACUUGCCUCCUGGAUCGAUUACAACGUGGAAUGGUUUGAAGAAGCAAUUCCUCGAGAAGUACUUUCCUACUUCAAGAGCUGCCAACAUCAGAAAAGAUAUUUGUGGGAUCAGACAACUUCCUGGGGAGACUUUGUAUGAGUAUUGGGAGCGAUUUAAACAAUUGUGUGCCAGCUGUCCUCAGCAUCAGAUUUCUGAUCAACUUCUUAUUCAAUAUUUUUACGAAGGACUGUCAUUGAUGGAUAGGAGUAUGAUAGAUGCUGCUAGUGGAGGCGUGUUGGUGAACAAGACCCCUACUCAAGCAAGGGAGCUGAUAUCAAAUAUGGCUGCCAAUGCACAACAAUUUGGCAGCAGGCAAGAUCCCACUUCAAGGAAGGUAAAUGAGGUAAAUAUUUCUUCUGUUGAACAACGUUUAGAUAAACUUACUUCUCUUGUGGAAAAGUUUGUUGUAGGUAAUGUGCAACAUAUGAAGACUUGUGGCAUUUGUUACAAUAUGGGUCAUUCAAUUGAUAUGUGUCCUACACUUCAAGAAGAACCCGUUGAACAAGCCAAUGCAAUUCAAGGAUUUCCAGGCAUGCCUCAGAGGAGGUAUGAUCCUUAUGCACAAACAUACAAUCCGGGAUGGAAGGAUCAUCCCAACUUCAGCUAUGGAGUUAGGCCGUCAGGAUUCCCACAACAGUAUCCACCAAGACAACCAGCACCUCCACAGUCAAACUCCAAGUCAGGUAUAUCUCUUGAAGAAAUUGUUAAAUCACUUGCGACUAACACUCAACAAUUUCAGCAGGCAACUACAGCAAGCAUUCAGAAUUUGGAGAACCAAAUGAGUCAAUUGGCGAUUACAGUGAGCCGUCUGGAGUCUCAAGUAUUAGGGAGAUUGCCUUCACAAUCUGAGGUGAAUCCAAAGCAAAACAUUAGUGCUGUCAUCCUUAGAAGUGGGAAGGAGUUGCAAGAGCCUAGUAAGAAAGUGACAAAGCAUGUAGAAGAUGAGUUUGAGAAGAAUGAAUUGAUGCCUCAAUCUCAAGAUGUGGAACCCACCAGAGCGAAACCCCUACCUAUUGUGAUACCUCCUCCUUUUCCAAGCCGGUUUGCAAAAUCCAAGAAGGAGGAACAAGAGAAAGACAUCCUUGAGACAUUUCGCAAGGUUGAGGUAAAUAUUCCUUUAUUAGAUGCUAUAAAACAAAUACCUCGAUAUGCUAAAGUCCUUAAGGAACUGUGCACCUCCAAGAGAAAAUUAAGAGGAGAUGAAAAAGUUCACAUGGGGGAGAAUGUUUCAGCAGUUCUCCAAAAGAAACUACCUCCUAAGUGCAAGGAUCCAUGUAUGUUUACUAUCCCUUGUAAAAUUGGUAGUGUUAGAAUUGAAAAGGCUUUGUUAGAUCUAGGAGCUGCUAUUAAUGUCAUGCCUCGUUCCAUUUAUUCAUCUUUAAAUUUGGUCCAUUAAAAGAAACUGGCGUGAUAAUUCAACUAGCUGAUAGGUCUAAUGCAUAUCCUGAUGGGGUAUUAGAAGAUGUCUUAGUACAAGUUAAUGAGUUGGUUUUUCCUGCUGAUUUUUAUGUACUUGAUAUGGAAGAGGAUAACUCCUCUAAUUCUGUCCCAAUUUUGCUAGGAAGACCUUUUCUUAAGACUGCUAGGACUAAAAUGGAUGUACAUAAAGGGACUCUUACUAUGGAGUUUGAUGGAGAGGUUAUAGAAUUCAAUAUGAAUGAUGCCAUGAAAUAUCAUAGUGAGGAACAUUCGGUAUUUUCUGUAGAUGUUAUUAACCCGAUAGUGCAGGAAGUUAUUUACAAGGAAAAAACGACGACAUUUCAUGAUAGAAUGAUUUUGUGAAAGGAGUUCUCUGUUGGUCAAAAAGUUCUUCUUUUUCAUUCUAAGCUUAAACUUUUUUCGGGUAAAUUACGUUCUUGCUGGGUUGGACCUUUUAUUGUUACUAAUAUUUUUCCUCAUGGUGCAGUUGAGAUUCGGAGUCCGACCUCUGACAAAGUUUCUAAGGUUAAUGGUCAUCGCUUAAAACCUUUUUAUGAAGGUUUUUCGGUGAAUAUUGUGGAGGAUGUGGCUCUCGAGAGUCCCAAUUAUGGAGAUUGAUGCAUAAAUGUGUCUAGCCAAAGACAUAAAACAAAGGCGCUUUUUGGGAGGCAACCCAAAUGAUUUAUUUAUUUUGGUUUUUGUUAUAUCUUCUUUUAAUUUUGAUUCUUUUUUUUUUUAAUGUGUUUGCUUAUUUUGGUCAGAAUAAAAUUUUUGAUAAGGCGUGUCCACGUCUUAACUAAUAAGUACUUCUGUGAUUUUUAAAGUAAAAUGGUUUUAAGGUGUGCCCACGUGCUUAUUAAAAAAGUGCAUCUGAAAUUUUUGUUGUCUCAAAGUGAUUCAUCACAAAAAUAAAAAAAAAAUUAUUUAUUUAUUAUUUUUUUUUCUAUUUAUUUUUUUUUAAAAAAACGAAAAAAAAAGGAGAUUUUCUUUUGUUCUUUCUUUUAUAUAUUUAUUUAUUUAUUUAUAAAAAAAAUUCAAAAAAUCACUGUUAAAAAAAAAAAUUUACUGUUCAUAAAAUCCCUAAUUUUCCAGAACUUGUUUUCUUCUCCAACCGCUUGCAGCACACCAGCAGCAAAGCAGCCCGCCGGAAAACGCACCACCCCGCGCGCGCAGCACCAGCAUCGAGCACCAUCCCGCGAGCGCAGCACCAGCAUUCUGUGUCUCGCAGCCCAGCAGCGCGCAACGAAGUCCCACCAGCGCGCAACGCAGCCUCACCAGCGCGCAACGCAGCCCCAACGCACAGCAAACGAGCACGCCCCGCAACGCAGAUCCGCAGCUCUAGCCCGCCCGCGCAGCGCAAAUCAAUCCAGCCAUCACCAUCGCGCAGCGCAUCGGUCCCGCGCGCGCAACGCAACGCAGCAUCAGCAUCCCACGUCCAGCGAGCAGCAACCCGCGCGCGCAGAUCUAGUCUUCGCCCAGCAGCGCGCAGAACCAGCGUCAGCCUAGCUCUCGCGCGCAACACAGCCCACGCAGCACGCAGAUCUAGUAGCCCCAGCGCGCGCGCACAACACAAUCAGCGCCAUCCCGCGUCCAUCAAGCAAGCUCCAGCCGAGCAGCAAUCGCAACGCAACCAACGUACGACCUAUAUUCCAGCUGGAUAAAUCGAAAUCCGUGAGUGCAAUUAUUGUAACAAUGCCGAAGAGAAAAGCAUCAACUUCCAAGUCAUCUAAAAAGACACCCGUCGCAAAUAAAUCCAAGAUUGCCGGUCCCACUACGGUUCCUUGGAACACAAUUUCAGAUUCACGCCAAGCCGUGAGACAAAGCUCGAAACAUGGAAAAGGCAUGAGUGUUUUGCCACUUGCAGAAUCCAAUCUUGGAGGGUGCCUCGCAUUCGCGACUCAACAAGAGAAAGAGAGGUACAAAGAUAUUUUCACGCACAAAAUACUUCCAGCUAAGUAUAUUCCUUACCUGACUCUUGAAAAAUUGAAUGUUAAGGAUAAUUUUGAUUCUUUGAUAGAUAAGAUUGGGUUGCGUAAGUUUGUUGAUGUUGAUUGUUUGGGUUAUGUUGAGUUGAUUAGGGAGUUUUAUGCUACUUUUCAAUUUAAUAUGUCGAAUGAUUUUACUUUGCAUACCCCGGAUGUCAUAAAGUUUAGGUUAAUGGGACGAAAUUUUUCACACUCUAUCACGGAUUUUAACCUAGCUUUAGGAUUCAUUGAUGAUGAUUAUUCUUCUAGUGAUGCAUAUUUAGGAACAACUUGUGACUUUAGCGAAAAUUUUGAGCCUUAUGGUCUUUGCCGUAAUUUAUCUGUUGAUCACAAUGCUUAUGACCCAAGUAAAUCAAAGAGUUCUUUCUUACGUGAUCCUGUUUUGAAAUGUGUGCAUCGAUUCUUAGCAUAUAAAUUUUUAGGCAAGAAAGAUCACUCAGGAGUUUUCUCUAAAACUGAAUUUUAUUUUAUCUGGUGCAUGUUAAAUGAUGUGAGGCCUAAUUUAGGUUUUUGGUUAGCGGAUUAAUUUCAAAGUGUGCUUAAACGGUAUAUGACUUUAUUUCUUGGUCCAUACAUUACUCUGUUAGCUGUAAACCUACCUAUGUGUGCUUGAUCUUGACAAUAAUGAUUUGCAUCUUGCUUGAUUUUUGGAUAUGUCUGAGUUUGAAAGAACAGGUGUGGUCGAAUUCAAGGAGGGGAGAUUUCAGUUUACUGAACCAGCACCCACUCAACCUCCGAAGAAGCUUUAUGCUAGAAGUGGUGCUACCUCUGAUGACGAGUUUGACGACGACACUGCUGCCCCGCCAACUAUUCCUUCUACAUCCGCACCACCUUUGAGCAUUCAGUUAGAGAAAAUGGAGCACAAGCUGCACAAGAUGGAGCAGAAUUUGGCCGCACACUUCGAGAGUGUGGGAUUUACCCCACCAUUUCCGCCAAGCCCAUAGACGUUAUGUGGAUCAAAGUUCACAAUUCAGGGAAGUUUCUUUUUGCCCUUAAUCUUUUAUCCUUACGCUUUAAUUUUUGUGUGAGCUUUGAUUAUCUUACAUUGGGGACAAUGUAAGUUCUUGGUGUGGGGGAGGGAUUUUUGCAUUAUUGAUGUCUGAAAUUAUUGUUUUCACUCUACUCAUCCUUAAAUGAUUUUGGAGUUAGUAUGCUUUAUAUAUUAUUAAUUUUCUUUUCCUUUCUCUCUCACUACUCUUUUCCCAUCUAUCUCAAAUUAUUUACAUCUAUUUUUUUUUCUAUCAUACUCUUUCAUCACUCACAUUUUAUCUUUCAUUUUUUUUACUACAUACAUCUUUCUCGCUUAUUAUCCUUUUUACCUUUCCUUUUAUAUCUCACUCAUACCUUCUUCUCAUUCUACACCACUAUUGAUGGUUGAUUCGUUUGAAGAGUGUACAGGAUUUGAUGGCAAAUUUACCAACUUUGUGAGGAUUUAAGCCUAUGAGCAACCACUUUGCUCUAAUUAUUUUUUGUUAUGUGAAUAUCAAUCCUAGUUUGUUUAUUCUAGAACUUGCUUUGUUAUGCAUGUUGAAGCCACAUUACGGGAUUUUAUGCAUUAAAAUGAUAAGGGCAAACCCUUUUCUAUUUUUCUAUUCUCCCAUUUUUUUUUCUCUAUCCGAAGACCUUUAUUUGCUAUCUUGGUUUGAGCCUUAACCAUUACCCAUCUAAUUCUCUCCGUCUACUUAACCAUUUUUCUUCUUUUUGAGCCUCAAUUUAAUGAGAUUUUUUUUGGACUCAUUGUGUGGAUAUAUUUUGUUGCUUUUUCUACCUUGUAUUAAAGUUUCUCAAUUAGAUCAACAAGCAUUAUGCUUGAAUUGAAUUGUGCAAGGUUCGUUUCUUUUGUUUGAUUCAAAAACAAAAAAAAAAAGAAAAAGAAAAAGAAAAAGAAAAAUCGAAAAAAAAAGAAAAAAAAUGUUUACAUUCUUGGUGACAUGAGUAGAAAUAAGCAUUUUGAUAUCAUAAGUUCAUUCAAUGAGUUCAUUCUUCUCAUUUUGAUCUCUUUUUCUUUCGUAAACCUUUCUUUUUCAUUCAACCUAUUUAACCCCAUUACAACCCUUUUAAGACCCUUAGAUUUUUGCAUUUUAUUCAUGUUUUGUGGAUUGAGAUGUGAUAUAUGAGCAAGCUUAUGGUAAUAGCAUUCUUUGAUUUGAUUUGAGUGAAUAAAUGACACCCUAAAUACUUUGAGUGCAUGGAGUGAAGUUAUUGAGAGGGCUAUUAAAUAUUGUUGCACUUGAAUUUUGAAUGGAUCUUCUUGGUGGUUGAAUGUUCUUAUUCUAUCUUAUGAAAUUCUAUGCUUUAAAAUCCUUGUCUCUAGAAUGUUGAUCGACUUAAUUUCUUGAGGUAUGCUUGCCUAAAAUUGUUUUUGGAUGAGUUGAGAUGAGAAUUGAGUGGAACUUUGGGAUUAAUCUUGAGUUAUAUGCUUGAGGACAAGCAUCAUCUUGGUGUGGGGGAAUUUGUUAGAGUGCAAUUUAUGCACUAGUUUUGCAUUGUUUACUUCCCUUAAUAUCGAUGUUUUGCACUUAAUAAUAAUGAUUUACUUGUGUUUUACUUUUGUUGGUGCAAUUCUAUUUAUUUGUGAUAAAAUUGAGCUAUAAGAUGAUGUUUAAAGAUGAUUGUUCUCUUGGAGAAAUUAUGAGCAUCAGAAGAACUUUGUUGAUAAGGCGUGGGCGCGUGCUGUCAACUACGGACCUGCAGUUUUUAGUUUAACGUGUUUUGUAUUUUUGGUUAUUUUUGUAAUUAUGAAUUUAAUAUUUCAGAUAUUAGUAUUUUAUUUUAAAUAGAAUUCUAGAGGAGAAGAGAGAGAGAGUAUUUAAGGGAGGAAUCUAUUGUGAAAAAAAGGGAUUUUGGAUUGGAGGAAAAGAAAAGAAACCCUAGAUCUAAUUUUUCUCUUCUCUCUAUGAAGAACUAAACUUAUUUUUCUGGUUGAAGGAUAAUGAAGCUUUGAUUCAUCACUACUGUGAGAUCUUUCUUGUGCUUUAAUUGUUUUAUUGCUUUUUGGGUAUUUGUUUAUUCUCUGAAUUAUUUUCAUGAUUAUGUUUGUUAAUUAGAUAAUUGGGCACUAUUUAAUUAUCAACUUAAUCUAUUGUUAAUUAAAGGAUUCAUCGUAUGAAGAAUUUAAUGUUUGUGACAAAUAACAUAGCAGAGAAUUGUGUUGUGAGAAUAAACAAUCUAAUUUAAAUGAAUCAUCAUAUGUGUUGAUUAGGAUUUGGGUCUCUCUGGUUUUUCAGGCUGUCAAUUGAUUAAAUCCUAUGAUCGUAUCUAGGGUUGUCUAUUGAUUAGGGAAAUAUCCAAUGGUCGUACCUUGGUUAUCGACUAAUUAAGGAGAGAUUGGCUAUUAGAGGGUCUCAGUAGCUAUAACCGGUCUAUUCAUAAGUAAUAAUAAUUUAUAUUUGAAUCAAUGAUCAGUAGUCGAAUCAAGCUGAGUUAAUUCCUUCAACCAGAGCUUUCUCCAAUUUGAAUUACAACUUUAAUUUGCAUUCUUGUUAUUUUAAUUUGAUUUUUAUUAUUAUCAACAAUUCUCCCAUUUUACGUUUUACGUUUCAAAAGGAUUUAAAUAAUUACCGAUCUCUGUGGACACGACCCUGCUCAAUCACUAUACACAAUUUAUUUAGAGUAGGAAUUUAUUUUUGUUGGCUUCGACAACCAUCAGCUCCAUUACAGAGUUUCAUCAAUUUGAAAUAGAGAAUCAUUUGUGUUCUAGAUUAAUCGAGGGUCUAUAUCCAAAUCUAAAAAUUGACUAACUUGGUUUCUAUUAAAUUCUUAAUCCUAACAAGAAAAAUAGAAGAUUAAAAAUGACUAAUUUGGUUUCUAUUAAUUUGAGUAACGAUCGAAUUACCUCAUUUAUUAAGAUUUAUCAAAAUCCUAUGUCAAAAUCCAUUAAUAAUAUAGGUUGGAUGAUGAAAUAGUCACUUAUUAUUAUUUUUGACUUCAUAAAUAGAUGAACGGAUGUUAUUUUUGGAUUCUGGAGAAUCCAAAAUAUCAGGAUAUGUGAUAAAUGGAAUUAAGUUGUAGAUAAGAUAGAAAUGGAUUUGGAGAGAGAUUGGAAUCCUGGGUAAUCCGGUGUACGUUGUUGUGUUGAAUGCUCGUUGACUUCACGUUGACUGACACAUUAUUGGAAGAAGUGAGCAAGCUUAUUUUCUUCUCUCAUUUUUAAAUUUGUCUAAGUUUAUUGAUGUGAGGCCUUUGAGAUUGUAAGUUUCAAAUCUGAGAAGAAUAACCACACACCCAUUAAUAAAUUUGUGAGGAUUGUGAGGGUUGAUGCAAUAUAAUUUAGAUGCAAAGUGUUUACAAGUACGAUGCUUCAUAAGUGUUCUUCAAUCAUUAUAAACUCACGUUAUUUUUAUAAUGAUUGUUUCAUCUGCACAUGGAUAUAAUCAUAUGUUGAGAUUUUUUCCUAAAUUAUGGUCUUAUUUGGUAUUGAGGUGUUAGAUCUUUUAAGAUACAAUUACUAUUGGAAAAAAUAGUGCAACUAUGAAAUAAAAGUUAAUAUUGUGUACUAAUUAUAAUUGUUAAAUAAUAAUUUUGACAAAAUUAGUGAAGAUAUAUAGUUUUUUUUUUAUCAUAUAAGUAUAAAAUCAAAUCAACUUAACUUCUAAACUAUAUAGCAGCUACUGCUUACCAAAUAUUUUAGUGCUGUAGCUUUUAAGUUAUAACUGCCUAACCUCAGUCUCAAACAAUGGCUAUAAAGAUCAAAGAUUUCCUCAUAAAAAUUAUACGUCUUGUGAUUGCUUAUUUAAUUUAUAUUUUUUUAUUUAUCUUUAUUAAUUACAAUCAUCUUUUAAUAAAUUACAAUUGGAGGAAGUUGAUGUUCGAAGUGCUUAUGUCGACUCGAAGUUGUUGGGAAUUAAUGCAUGUAUUGAUUUAUUGGGAGUGUUUAAAUGAUUUUGUGAUUUACUUGAUUGAUUGAUUGAAUAUUGUUUGAUUACUUUGUAUCCAUUCUAGAAAGUUUAUUUCUUUGUGAAAUUUCGACAAAAUAUGUUUUUCUUUUUAAAUAAUAAGGGUGUUUUAAGUAAUUUUUAAAAAUAAAUGGACUAACUAGAAUUAAUUAUUAGGUAACUAACUCGAACUGUACAAGGUAAGCGAACAUUUAUGCUGAUUAUAUCAUGAUAAAUCAUUUUCCGAUUAGAAUUAGGAAACCAUUAGCAUAUUGACUUUUUUUUUUUUUUUUUUCAAUCUCCCUUUGCGAAAACGGAUUACAGAAUUAGAAAACAAUCCUAAUGAUAUUAUUGUUAGGUUUAAAACACGGCAUAGAUAGUCAAAAGCUAACUAGUCUGCAGUAAUUUGUUAAUUGCUAUCGCCUCUCCAUGCGUGGUGAAUAAUUUGUUGCAUGCAAACUUUUUCCAUUUUAAAUAAACACAACGCGAUGUUUAUCUGCUCCGCGUUUUGCAAUCUGUUUAUUCGUUGUUUAUUUGCUUCGUAAGUCCUCAAACUUUGAUAACCAAAAAUUUCACCAAACUAUGAAAAUUAUUCUGCAGGUUAGUUUUUAUUUUCGGAAUAAUUAUUUGAGAAUACUAAAACACAAUAUAAAAUAAGAAAAUAGGGGGUUAAAAUUUGAAAAAAAAAAACAAAAGGGCAUGUUGGAUAGAUUACUGUGGUUUAAGAAAAAAAAUUAUUCAGUUGGGAAUUUUUUUUCUUUAAUUUUUGUUUUACUUAAUUGAGAUUUCUCCUUAAUCCUUACAGUUUUAAAUUUGGAUAACAUAGGAUUAGUAAUUUAGUACUUCCUUUGCAAGCUGAGGUUAAGGAUGAAAUUCUUUUAAGAAAAAAAGAUAAAAGAGCAUAACAAUAGUCAAUUAUAAAUAACCACAAAUAAAUACAAACAAAAUGUUUAUGAAGUAAAUUAAAAAUGCACAUAUUAUUUUUUAUUUUAUUUCUUACUAAUCUGUGUAUUUGCUGCUUGAAAAACCAUAAAUACACAGAUGACCAUUGGCUUCGCACCAUUUAAUCGGGAUACAUUUCUACGUACAAACUGAACAAGGCUAUUGAUUUUUAUUUAUUUAUAAAUUACUAUUUCAAUUUUCACUUUUUAUUGGGUUGUUUAAUGGAUUAGUGAGGCUGGUGGUCGUUGAUGCACUCACAAGGUACAAUUUUGUUUUCAAAUUUCAAAUUCGUAUUUUAAAAUGCAGCACAUUAUGCAUACAUAAUUAUUGAUUUUCAUAUGUGGGUGUUUUGAAAUAUUGCUAAAAGGCCAAACUUUAAUAAACUAUUUUUGAUCCUUUUUUGUUUCUUUUUUCCUAAAGUUUGAGUGAUAUCCGCAUUUUUAAAAGCUAAUGUAUGCAAAAAAUUCUUUCAUUUUUCUGGGGAAAAUAGGUAAGAGAAAAAGUUUUGGCAAAUGAGCUGCAACUGAAUUCAAAACCAAUACGAUGCGAGCAUAGGAAAGAGGUCAGUGUUUUGGAUUUGAAUUUAAAGAGGUCAGUGUUUUGGAUUUGAAUUUAGUAUUGAGCUGAAUUUUAUGUUUAACACAUGAUUCUAUUAUAGUACUGCGAUUAAUAAGCUCAGCCCCGGAUUUGCUUUUGCUUUUGCUUUUACUUCAAGUGAAAGAAAGAGGAAACCUUUUGUUUUUUCUUUGGUUUUUGACUAUGUUACCUAUACAGAGAGUCAAGAUAUCAGCCAUAAGUGAUGGUGUUAAAAAGAUUAAGCAGCGCACACAAUCUUACUGCUGUCUAGACGAUCCAAUGAUGACUCCAGUCUUUUGGUUACAUUAGCUUUAGUUGAAAUAAGGGCCAAUUUAGCAAACACUAGCUUUGGUGGCUUAUUAUGUUUAAUGUAAUGCUUAUUCUUAAGGAAUCUAAUGUAUAUAAGAUGAUUGAAUGAUCUUCUAUGAUUGUGAGUAGUAUAGGAUAAUUGAAAAGAGUCUGGUGUUAAAGGCUUACAGUUUUAAGCCUUUUAAACCAUGCGAUUUUAAAGUUUUACCGGAUUUUCCCGCACUUUAAAAUUUUAGACUGAAACAUUUUUGUAUAUAUAUACAUAAAAAUAUAUAUAUAUAAAUAUAUAAAUUAAGAGGGAUGAGUUAACUGAAGAUUAUAAUCAUUACAACAAUGCUGAUGAGUGAUACAUCACUUGAAAUUUACUUGUCAGUUGCUGAAAUGAUGAAAAAAAAAAUAAACAAUAACAGUGAUAAUGUUCUCUUGCUGAAAUGACUUGUAUAUUAUACAAUCCACUCUACUUAAUGAUAUCGUUUUAAUAAAUGUUUGAUGAUCUCCAUUUAAAAACUACUUCAAUUUUUUUCUUCAUUUAAGUUUUUGGUUGUUGAAAAUAACCUUAAUUAUCAAAUAAUUGGAGAAAGAGUAAAGAACAUUUAACAAAUUUAUGUGCAAAAAAAAAAAAGGGAGAAGUUGAAGAGAAAGGGUGCUUGCAGAAGUAGGUGUCAAAGAUAAAUCGGUCCAUAGGAAUUAUUUUGGUUAUUUUUUAGCAAUAGAAAAAUUUUUUAGCAAGUAAAAAUUAAUUUUUUUCCGCUUUACUAAAAAAUUAACUAAAAACUUAUGCGAUAGCAUUUUUUAUGGGUGCAUAUACUUCCCUUUAAAAAAAAUAUAAUAAUUAAUGCUUAAUAUAGUAUUAAAUACGAAAAUAUCAAUAUUUGACUACUCAAAUGUAUAUCAUUAGGUCCUUAAAAUUUAAAAUUGAAGAUACAAAAGGUAAUAUAUAUAAAUUUCAUUCUCAUGGGAAAGGAUCAUCUUAUAAUCUUAUAAUAUUUGAGCUUUGAAAGAUUUUUUUGAAACAAAUGUACUUUUAUUUGUGUACAAUCAAUAUGUACUUAUUUAUUAUAUUUUUAUUUAUUAACUAUCAAUCAUGUGAGUAUAUUUAGUCAGAAAAAUUAUAUCAAGAGAGAACCCUAAUUUCACGUAAAGACAAAUACAAGACAAAUAUGGCAAUUUCUAUACUAUUCACUUUCCUGUAAAAUCAAUUAUCUAAAAUGCAAGUUUGUGGCUUCAAAAAACUCGCCAAAGAAAGAAGAUAAUAGCAAUUGAGCAUUGAUAGCAAAUCUAAUGCAUCCAAUUCUUCUUAACUUGAUGAGUGACGUGAAUGCUACCAGUCUGUGACACCCAAAUUUUUAUUAUUUUAUUUAUUUUUUUAAUGGAAUUUGUAAAUGACGUUUUUGCCCUUAUAAAAAGGGUUAUUCAUGGAAUAAUUUUUAGGAAAGGGUUAUUUUUCCAAAUUCAAUAGGGUUUCUUAAGACUCCCUAUAAAUUCAUAUUUUUCUCCUUUCAUAACCCUAAAAGCACGACGUUUCUUCUUUUUCUAUACUGCUCAUUACACUCUUACCCAAACCCUAAGAUUCAAACCUUUGGUUAAGAGAGAAUCAAAGCGAUUGGUAAGUUUAUUCCCCUUAUUCUCUACAAGAUUCCCAAUCACUCUAUCUAGGGUCUAUAUUGGCAUGAUUUUAGAUUGUUAUAGAUCAUAAUACAUGAUUUAGAAUGUGUUUAGGCUUUGUUUAGAGUUUUGAUUUAUUAUGAGUUUAGUUAAUCAACCUUGACGUAUUAAGCACAUAGAAUAGUUCCAUAGAAUAUUAUGUUAUUCUAAGUUUUAGAUUAAGAGUUAAAAUUCUAAGCAUCAGACUUGUACGGGUACGAAUUAGAAAAAUCGGGUUCUUAGAAUAAGUUAUUAAUUGUCAUAUCUUGUAUUUGUUUAAGGUGAUUGAGGCUCUUAGAGGGUUAGAGGUGUGUUAAUUCAAAUUCUUUUGUCGAGGUAAGUAACUUCAUUCCUAAUGUACUGGAUAUAUAUAUAUAUAUAUGAUUAUUUUGAUAUUAUUAUAAGUACACAAAUUUUUUUACUACUUAGAAGAUUAAUUGAUUUUCAUAACAAAAUCAGUUUGUGUAAAUGUUUUCAAACCUAAAUUCCUUUUAAUAAAUUAUUUUGUAAAGGCUUUUAAAUAUGUAAGUUAUUUUAUGACAUGACUACCUUUUAUAAUUUUGUCUAUGAAAUAUUUGCAAGCCUAAAUUGUGGUUAUGGACUUUCAUGAAACUAAUACGAAUGUUUUGUACCUAUGUAUGAUUUCAAUUAUUUAUGAUUGUACGGGGGCCACCUCUUGGGACUAUAUGGGGGCCACCUCUUGAAAUUCAAAGCAUCACAAAAGUGCCACGUAUAAGUCAUUAUGUUUUGGCUCAUUAUCUGUAGUUAUUCUGAUUCUGAUUCUGAUGGUAUAAUACAAUAUAUGUCUGUUCUGGACCAGUACUAGGUUUUUGUUUUGAGUGUGCACAUGAUAUUCUGACUCUGUUUCUGGCCGGGUCACUAGGACUAUAGGUGACACUAUGUGACAUGAGCUAACCUUUUGUUUUCUGUGAAUGUGAUAUAUGAUUUGCUUUUGUAAAUAACUAUGCUUUUGAUAUUCUGAGUUACAAUGAAUUUAAAUUAUUUUAUAGUGAUAUAUCGUUUUAUGAAAUUUAUGGAUUAUGAUAUAUGUUUUAAUUAAAAGAAGGCUUGCAAUAUUUUUGGUAUUGAUAGGUCUAGUGUGUUAGGAAUAUUUUUACUUACCGAGUUGACGGCUCACCCCUCGUCAUUACUUUUUGCAGAUUAAGUUUCUUUUGAGAGCUGCGCUUAGCUUUGGAGUUAGUAAUUUUCUGUUUCCGUUUGCCAUUUGAAUAAGAGGAGAAAUAAACUCAUGUUUCUAUUUAGUUUAUUUAUGUUAUGAAUGUGUAAUUUGGAGUUUGAGACUUUUGUUAUUUUUUUUAUGUCCUCGGGAGAGAUUAUUUAGUAUUAGACGUUUGAAUUUGUGGAUUUAUUUGAAUAAGAAUUUGAGGUAUUUCAGUUUGAAACUUAUGAGUAAAGAUUAUGAUUUGUAAGUAACAUCCUUCUUCACGUGCUCCGCACGUGUUAGAUUUGGGGUGUUACAAUUGUGGUAUCAGGGCAUUAGGUUUGGGAUUCUGUAAACUUUAUUUGAGGCUAGAUUUCUUAAGCACAAUCAAUUAGUUCAAUGGUAUUGCUUGCCAUGAGGUUAUCGGAAAGAGUAGAUCUUUAAGGCGAGGAGUAAUUUUGGUCUUUUUGAUUUUCUAGUUGCUUGUGACUUUGUAAUAACUCCUUGAUAUAGGAUUUUGGUAUUAACGUAGAAUGAAAUAUUUGUUUGCUCUUGUUGUCAAUUACUAACUUUUCUCAAUUAUACUAUUUACUCAGUACUUUGUGCUAUAGCAAGCCCUUUAACUAUGAAUUAUUUACCAUUUUAUUUAUUUAUUUAUUUUUAUUCUUCGUGUUAUAGUCAAAAGAUGUCACGUAGGGGAGGUGCUAGGCAUGCCUUUAGCUCGAGAGAUGUUUUAGGUAUCGUUGAUGACGCUGACCUAACCUUGCGCGAGAUGGCUAACGAAGGGAAUCCUAUGAUGCGCGCAAUGGUUAGAUUGAUGGAACAACAAAGUAAGUUGAUUCAAGAUAUGGCUAGAGGUAAAGUUGGGGCACAUGAGAUUGUGCCAGUUGAAAGACAAGGUGGUGGAAGAGAUCAGGGAGGUAUGAUGAGCUUAGAGCGGUUUAGGAAAUUGAGACCACCUACCUUUCAGGGGGCUGCCAAUCCUAUGGUUGCAGAGGCAUGGCUAAAACAGAUGGAGAAGAUAUUUAUGGCUAUGGGUUGUAAUGAUGAUUAGAGGGUGAUAUUGGCCUCAUUGGUCCUUUAGGGUGAGGUAGACCACUGGUGGGAUGCCAAAUCCCGUCUUUUGAGGGCCGGGUUGCAAGAUGCACCUAUUACUUGGGAGUUAUUUCUGAAGGCUUUUCAUGAAAAAUAUUUUCCUGAACGAGUUCGACAUCAGAUGGAGGCUGACUUCCUGAAAUUGACUCAAGGAACAAAGCAUGUUGCGGAGUAUGAGGAGCAAUUUACUGCUCUAUCUCGUUUUUCUCGUACCUUAGUUGCUAAUGAGGGUAGUAAGUGUAGGAAAUUCUUGGAAGGCUUACAUCCAAACAUAAAAAGACGGUUGACCAUCCUUAAGCUUAAUAAUAAUGCCCAUUUGGUGGAUAGUACGAUUAUUGCAGAGAGGGAUAUAAUUCAAUCUCAAGUUGCACGAUCUAAUCGACAUAAUAACCAGCCAAUAAAACAUGAUAGUAAUGGUAGUGAAGGUGAACAUAAGUGCACUCUAAUGGUGGGUCUAUUCAAGAGAACAAACCAUUCUGUAAUCGUUGUGACAAGUACCAUAAUGGCACGUGUUAUUUAAAGAUAUGAGCUUGUUUUGGCUAUGGACAGAUUGGGCAUAAGGUUAUAAAUUGCCCAAAAAAGCACAGUGGUAACAUAGAUUCUGCCGAGAACCAAAGGAAAAAGCCACGUGUCUUCGCCAUGGUGGAGCAAGAUAUUAAAAAACCGAAUAACGAAGCCUCAGGUGCAUUACCUAUUUUCCAUAGAAAGCCUUGAAUUUUUGAGUAAUUGGUAUUGUGCUUUUCCUCCAUCCUUUCUUAUUGGAUGCAUCGUAGCUAGAGUUUUUAGCCUAAUAAUCACUACUAGAAAAAUAGGCUUUACUGACGCUAAAUUAGUGUCAGUAAUUACUUUUCCUGACACUUAUUAAUUGUGUCAAUAAUGCUCCAGCCAUAAUACACUGACACUAAUUUCUAGUGUCAGCGAUUUUUGUGUCAGUAAUUCAUGUCAUUAUGGUAUCACGAAAAUAAUGACACGAUAGCGUUAGUAUUUAAUGAUACUAUUUAUAUGUCAGUAAUUUAUGAGACUACAGUAUCAAGAGCACACUGACUCAAUAACAUCAAAAAUUACUACUGCUAUUUUAAACAUUUAGUGUCAGUAUUUAGUGAUGUUAUGGUUCUUUUGGUUAAUAGUAUACUUUGAUUUUAAUUAUAUUUUCCUAUUUGUUUUACAACUGAAAGAAAACUCAAAAUAUAUUAAAUAUACAAAAUCUCGCAACACAAUUGCAUAAGAAACAUCUCAAAUACAUCACUCAAAUUCAUAUCAUUAAACUACAUCAUUGUUUGGAAAAGAAAAAUAUAAAUACUAAAUUAAGUCUUGGACAAGCUCUUAACAACCAAGUACUAAGUUAAGAUUCAACAAAUAUUAACCAACAAAAAGAAGCACAUAAUGUCAUUGAACAUCCACAAGCGGCUUCAUUUUUCUUUUCCCACCUACAAGUACAUAAAAUCAAUUAGUAUACCACAAAAAGUAAUUCUUGAAUUUUUGGGAGAAAAAACAAUCAGGCCAAUUUCAGUGUUCAAAGAGACUAACAAAGAAUGGGGGCAAAAACAAUACAUAGCUCUCUUAGUGCAAGCUAAUUGUAAUAGGUAGUAUUGUGAAGAAUAUUUAUCUGCUAAGAAUUGAACUUGAGUGGAUUUUCCUACAGAUCUAUACACAACUCAACUUAAGAAGAAUAAAAAAAUAAAAAAAUAAAAAUCCUAAGGAUUAAGAAAGAUAAAUGGAGAUUUAUUAGUAUACAUCCAAAAUUAGAAACUCAUUAAACAAUCCAGGGGUAAAAAUUGAGGAAUAAGAAUAUAGCGUAUCUCAGGAUAAGACCAAAGACAUAAUAACAGAAACAUUUGAGGCAAACCACUACAAAGUUUUUACAUAAUAACCCAAAGCAAAGCAAACCAUUAUAAAAUUUUUACAUAAUAACCUAGAAACAAAACAGACGAAAAUUGGGCAAGUCCAUAUCCCAAACCUCUGUUAGGAAAAAUGUGUUCAGCAGACUCAUGGCUCCAACAAUAGAAAUUAACCCGUACACAAGGAAACAAAUUAAUUGAUAUAAAAAACAGUCAAAGACAAAGCCAACUAAGAAGAUUAACUAAUUUGGAGAUUGAAUUACAUAGUUAUUUUUACAAAAUAUAGCAUAAGCCCAUUGUAUUUCAUAGUAAGCAACUGCAAAAAUGCCUAGAGGCAAAUUCAUAAAGGAAGAGUAGAUAGAAGAAAAAAAAGACGAGGAAAUAAACAGCUUGAAACAAACAAAUCACCUAACACAUCAUGGGGAAUUGACUUGUUAACGUUAAAGAGCAAAAUAAAACUUGGCACCUUCAUUCGAAAAAGAACAGACGCUUACCCCUUACGGAGAAUGGCUUAGGUUUUUCUUUAGAGUUUCAGGCUGAUUUAUAAGAAUAUGAAGAAGAAAUGAUUAUGGAAGUUUGAUAGUGAUCAAGGAUUGAAUAUUGGGCUUAAAAUACAAAUUGGCAGUGAGGGCUGGUUUUCGAUCAUAAUGUUGAGAGACCACUAAUUCCCAAUACUUGUACCCUCUCACAGAAAAAUCCAAAUUUAAUAAACAUGAACUAAAUCCAGUGUAUUGAGUGUUAUUAUUUAAUGGAACAUAAAAUCUCUGGGUCAAAUAAUUCUAAAGUUAAACCAACAAUAAUCCCAAAAGCUAUAGUUGAUAAGAAAGGCCCAACAGUAUACUUCUAUCACACAAAAUUUGAAGAUAGAAAAAAGAAGGGCCUUUUUGUUUUUUAACUGAAACUGAAAAAAGAUUCAGUAUUAACAAUUCAUAAAUUUUAAAGACGUUGGUUUUCCAUCUUAACACUGAAAACUUGGUGUUUAUAUAUCCGAAUAUAAUUAAGCCAAAAAUUUUAAUUUAUCACUAAAUAGGAAAACAACUAAAUAAGCUGCAUAGUUUUAUUUUCCAAUAAAUGCUUAUAAUAUUUAUUCAUUCCUUACCAUAUAAAAACCUAUCCUUCAUUAUUUAUUUAUUUUUUAUAGGAAACAGAGAAAUUAGUAUUAAUAAGAACAAUAAUUACAAAAUGUCAAAAGGGUGUCCACAAAAAAAGGCUAUUGAAGUAUCACAGACCAAUCUCCAAAUUAGGCAAGCACUCAGAUUCCAAGCUAAUACUCCAAAAAACAAAUCUAACCUCAAACUACCUGAUAAACAGCUCAAAAUGACAUAAUCCUCAACAUUCUUCAGACUAAUUGAUCAUGCAUCAAGGUAUGUUGGGAUCUACAAAUACAUUGAAAAGAUCUUUGCAAAUAACAGUACAACUAGAAAGCUUGGUGUUUACAUUCUUGAAAAUUCUUUUUAUUGCUGACAAUAGAAAGGGAUUCCUUUUUCUGCUUAUUUCCUAAAAAUACUAAUAUAUGCUGCCCCACUAUACUCACAAGUAAUCUUACACAAAUGCUCUUUAGACAAGAUUAGUAUUUGCUACCUUUCACCCCAAUUACAAAACCAUAGAAACUCACCACCUAGACAAAUUUUAAAUUGUCUCUAUAGUUGGCUAUUAAAAACUGCUAAAUUUGUUUGCAGCCAUGCCCAAAAAUUUCAAGAACAUUGAACACAACGUAUUAUAGGUACAAACAAGAUAAAAUGAUGUUCCAGGAUUCACUCGACAUGUCAUCCAAGGUGAUACAAAACGGUAGAACUAUAGAACUAGGACAAAACUUGCAGCAAGAUAAUGGCAAUUUCCCCCUUUCGUGUAAGAUAAUCAUAUUAUUCUUCAAAGAGAGACGCACAAAAAAAAAAUGCUUGUUGAAAACAAGCAAGCAUAUGGGUAUGAGUCUAUUGUUGUUUAUCUGUGAAUCAUGUUAAUAACCAGCCACAGAAAAAUAGUAAACAAUAGUUUUCACACAAUCGAUGCAUAUUAACACAAGCCACGGAUUAUGAUUUCACUAACCAUUGCACACAAAGGUUCCAGACCAAUUUUAGAAGGAGGUUCUACAAGUUACUUUCCUUCAACUACUUGAAAAUCAAUCAUUAACUAAAGAAAUACACAUGAAAUUAGUUUAAAUAAUAGGAAAGGUAAAGGAGACAUUUUAUAAAAACUCUUAAAUGUGGUACUAUGAUUUCCACAGACUGUGCAACAAAAAUAAAAUUGGAUGAACUAUAAUAAGUGAGAAGACAUAUUGUAAUUCUAUCAUCAAAGAAAGAUAAGCUUAAUCAUUUUUAAUUUUUUCUCAAAUAUCCAGUAGUACCUUAAGGUAAUAGGACAAGAUCGCAGAAGUUGUCAUGAAGAGUGUAAAGCACUAAAUAACAAAAAUUAUACUAAUAAAUAAAACUCAAUUUAUUUUCUCCCUCAAUCAAUUGCUUUGAGCUUACUAUGAAUUCAACUAUGAAUUUGAGGAAAAAAUACAGACCUCAGUUUGUCAACUUCUUGUUCAUGAGAUUCAGCCGCAGUAAAUGCAAACCUCCAUUUCUCGUCAAGCAUUGUUAACCUCUACGACAAAUUGAAGGUAAGAAGAUGAACAAAAUAAGUGUAAUGUGCAGGAAAAAAAAUGAAGUCUAUGGGUACAACAACACUUCAAGAUUUUUCAAGUUCUAGUUCAUUUAAAUAGACAUUCCUUGAACUUCAGUAGCAAAGAAAGUACAUUAUAGCAACAAUUUCAAUUCAUUUCAAUCUUUAGAAUUUUUUAUUUUAAAAAAAUAAAUUCCUUCAAACUAGUGAAAGGAAAAUAAAAGUGUGUUUACAGAAGAAAAAUCAUGGAAUGAAUUAAUGACCAUGCAAGUGAGGAAACACAGAAAUUUCUGAAUAAGAGCGAAACUAACCGUGCAAAUGAACAAAGAAAAUGUAAGUCUUCAAGUGCUACAACAAGCAAAACUACCUAAAAACAAGCAUUUUCUUCUUGAAUUAAAGACAAAUCAUGAACUUUGUGCAAUCUCAAAACAUUCAGACAAGCAUGAACUUAGUUAAUUCAUAUCAUAGUCAUUGUCUCUAUUAAAAAUCUUCCAACUAAAAAAAAUAAAAAAAUAAACAUGUUGGUUUCUAUAACAUAAUUUGCCUAUCUUUACAUGAAACAGAGCAAUAAAUAACACUUAAUAAUUAUGAAAUACACAGCCAUUCAAUCUAUAUAAUAUAGAAAUAAAGGAAAAAAAAGAAAAAAAUUCAAAUUACAAUUAAAUAAACAAAAAAUAGAUAUGGAAAAGAAAUCCCACCAAGACUGCACUACUGGGAGAAUUUCUCAACAUCUGCAACAACCCAUAAAAUUAAAAUUAACAAAAAACCCUAAUAAUCAUAAGCUAAAAUAAAACAAAUUUAUUAAUUAAUUUGACAAAGAAAAUAAAAUAUUAAGCCAUUACCAGCAGUUAAAGCCUUAAUCAAGGCAACCUGUUUGCCCUUAAAGUCAUUGAAAAUCUCCUUCACAGGUCUAAGUAUAAGGUGUGGUAUCCCUUCCAUAGCAAGAAAAUUAACUAAUUUCUCAAUAAUUUUAUUCAAAUUCAAGCAAAUGGGUUUUGAAUAUUGAACAAAAAAAAGUGAAAUUUGACCAUAAAAAGAAAAAAAAUUGAUAAAAGAAGCCUCGAUUACGGUUUUGGUCCGUUUUUCAAUUUGAGAAAAAAAAGGAAAAAGGGAAUAAAAGCCUCACUUAGGGUUUUAGCUUUAUAUUAUCUAUUUGAGUUAAAUGAACGAGUUUGUGAAUGGAAAGAAAAAAAAGGAAGAGAUCGAGAAGAGAAAAAGGAAAGAGAAAGGGAAAGAGAAAGGCAAGAGACAGUUUUGGGUUUGAGUUUGGGUUAGAGAUUUGUGUGUAUAAAAGACAGGGAGAUGGGGACAAUUGCUAAGUUUGGGAUAUGUUUUACUUUCGUUUUACAUGUUUUAAAUUCUUAAUUUAGUACCUGCAGUGUCGAACCACUUGAACGGAAGUGAUAGUGGCAACGGCGUGGGGGUGGGCGCAGCCAUGGGGGUUGGGCGCGGCCGUGGGCGUGGGCGUUUGGGCCUGGUCAUUCUCCAUCUUUCACGAUAGAGAAGAAGAAGUCAAGAAAGGCAAGGAAAUUACGCAGCAGCUACGACAUGGGCUCUAUUGCACAAUGGAAAAGGGGAAUUAGGGUUUGGUUUUUUAUAUGUUAAUAUUUUAUAUAACAUUGUAAUUCCAACUCAAUUUUAUGGGGUCCAGUGGUUUGCAAUCUAAACGUAAAAGUUUUGAGUUUUAGAAAUCCCAGGUUCGAGUUAAAAUCAAAACAAAUUUUAAUGAUUCUUUUUAGAUCUCUGAUGCUGAAGUAUCAGUGAUCUCUAAUAUUUAAUUUACUGAUACAUUAGUAUUAAUAAUUUGUGACAUUUAUUUGUUAAAAGUGGAAAAUGGUGCAUAGUUAGGUAAUUACUGACACUUUUUUUAAAGUGCCAGAAACAAAGUGUCAGUAAAAGUCAUUUUUGUAGUAGUGAAUUUCUUUUUUCAUCCAUUGAAUUUCUAUGGUACAUUAGUAGGAUAUGAGGUGUGAUUUUAUAAGGCCAUUAGGAUUAACUUAUGGUUGGAUGGAGUAGGGACUAAUAUGAUAUUUAGUAGGAUAUGGGAUGAAGAUUGCAAUAAAAGUGUUUCACCAGCAAUGUGCGAGCGCAUUGAAGGGUUUUGAAGUUGAAUGUGAAGUGAUAAAAAAUAUUCACCAUCGAAACCUUAUCAAUGUUAUUAUUAGUUGUUCGAACGAUGACUUCAAAGCAUUAGUCCUAGAAUACAUGUACAACGGGAGCUUGGAGGAUUGGCUGCAUUCUAGCAAUUAUGUGCUUAAUAUUUUUCCCAGGUUGAACAUAAUGAUUGACGUUGCAUCAGCUUUAAAAUAUCUCCACUUUGAUCAUUCAACUCGUAUCAUUCAUUGUGACUUAAAGCCUAAUAAUGUGUUGUUGGAUGAAAAUAUGGUUGCUCAUUUGAGUGAUUUUGGCAUAGCAAAGCUUUUAAGUUGAAGAUGAGUCUACGAUGCGAACAAAAACCCUUGCCACUAUAGGUUAUACGGCACAAGGUUUGCUUGAAACAACUUUUUUUUAGUUUAUUUUAAAAUUUCCAAAUUAUUGAUUUUUACGAUCCUCAUAUCAAAAUGUUAUUGAUUAUUUAUCUAAUUAUGAAAUAAUUUGAUUCAUAGAGUAUGGCAUAGAAGGAGAAAUAUGUGCAAAAAGUGAUGUUUACAGCUACGGGAUUAUGUUGAUGGAAACUUUUACCAAGAAAAAACCCACAGAUGAGAUUUUUGUUGGAGAAUUGAGCUUAAAGCGUUGGGUUAAUGACUUGCUUCCUAAUUCAUUAGUGGAAGUUGUGGACAAAAUUCUGCUAAUUGAAGAGGAAAAACAUUUUGCCGCAAAGGAGCAAUGUCUGUUCUCUAUCUUUAUUUUGGCACUAGAGUGUACAAUGGAAUCACCGGAAAAGAGGAUCAAUACAAAAGAUAUUGUUACCAGAUUACUCAAGAUAAGAGACACGUUGAGUAAAAGGAUAGGAAAUUUAAGUUAAUUUUGUUUGCUUUCAUUGAUAGUUACUUUGAAUUCAAGUAAUAAGUGUAAGAAUCGUUUAUCUUUUCUUUUGAUAUUUUUUUCUUGAGAAAACUGUUGUAGUCAUCUUUUUUCAAUGGGCAGAGUUGAUUUAGUUCUUCCAAGAAAUGCUAUUGUUGAUCUUUGUUACAUACGUUUGUCUUUUUUUGCAUGCAUUUAGGUAGAAUAGUGGUCUAGCUGCAGGCUAACAAGUCAAGCUACGCUAAAAGCGUAUGAUUUAAUUUAUUAAACCUAACUUCAAGUUCAAGAAUUGCAUCUCAUUGCCACCAAUGCUUUAGACACCUAUUCGUAGGUUUGUGUCCUCAACUUUGUUUGGAGCAAAAGUUCCAGUCCCAUGGAGGCUCAAAUAUUUCUCUCCUACGUCCCGAACACGCUAAAUUCAUCAGCCUCUUGAACCCUCUCCUGAGGGCGCCUUCUGUCCUCUGUUUUCUGUUUCCAUACACAAAUAGCAAAAAGAAUUCAGACUGAUAACUGGGUAUCUAAGAAUAUAUAAGAGUGAAAUAAUUAAAAAAAAUUGUGCUUUUUUGUUUGUCGUGUUAAAAUCGUAAGGUAUCUAAGUACUAUGAAAGAGAUUAGUUUACGAAAACUGAAGCCAAGGGUUCAUAAAAAAAAGUGCAUAGAGAAUAAAGGACAACGCUUAUGUAAAGCGACAUAAUUGUAUUGGUAGCACAAUGUCACGUUCAUACAGAGAUCAAGUACAUUAUUUACAGCUGGUAAGGGCUAAGAAUUGAUGUAGCUAGAAUACAAAGAUGAUAUGGUAUGUUGUGCACUAUUGUUUUAUUCUACAAUCAAUCUUGACCCUUGAUGCUUGGCUCUCAAUCUUGUCCAUUGAUCUUCUCUGAUCUCGAAAACUUCAAGACCUUUCAAUCUCAUGCCUUAUUAUUGGUGUCUUCUAUGCUGUUAAUUUCAAAUACUAGCUUUUCCGCCAACUUGCCAAUUAUUUGUUCAUUGGUGCGUUUUGUCAAACAGUGUGGAUACUUAUACCAAACGCUUUCUGUUUUAACUACCCCUUUCAAGCUCAAUUAUCUGGGAAGACACUAAUAAGCUUGUUUCUCAAGUAUAUGUAUCUGAAAAUUAAAUUUUCAAAAUUAUAUUCGGACUCUACAUUUUCUAAUGAACAUUGGUUUGGCUCAUAAGCUUAUUAUACUUGGGCUUGGUAGGAUUAUCGGUCGGUAGAUGAACAAGUGUUAGAGCUUUCGAAUUUAUGCCAAUUAAAAAAAAUCUAUAUAAAUUUUCCACUAGGCUAUUACCACAAUAAACAUUUGGAUGAACUAUUAUUGAAACCUUAUUGAGAAGUAGGACAUGUCGCAUACCAAUGCACUGACAUAUCUUCAAAUAGUGGUAACUCCACACAACAUGGCACAAUAAAUUAAGAGUUAUAUAGAUAAAAUCUUUCACUCUUUGGUAAUCAUCAAUGUCGGCAUGACAAUGCGUCCCACAAAUAUGGCUCCUUAUCAAAAUUCAUAAAUCAAAACAAAAUAGAGAAUCAUAUUUGUUCCAGAUUGUAGUGAUGGUUGUUGAUGCACUCACAAUUUACAAUUUUAUUUAAUAUCUUCAAAUUCGCAUUUUAAAAUGCCCAAAUGUUUGUGUAUACAUAAUUAGAUAAAAUCUUUCAUUCUUUGGUAAUCAUCAAUUUCACUAUUAUUCGCUUUAUUAUGUUUGUUUCUUGCAGUAUGUUAAAAGAUUAUGUUGUGAAUUUGUUUUACAGGCCGCCCGUAAGUCUGCGCCCACUGUUGUGAAUUUGUGUAUACAUAAUUAGUAAUCGAUUCUCAAGCACGGACAUUUAAAAGCACUGCCGAAAGACAAAAUUUUAAUUUACUAUUUUUUGUCUUUUAAUUUUCUUUAAGUUUUAAUGAUUCCGCAUUUUAAAAUCCUGUGGAACGUGUAUGUAAAAUUCUUUUAUCUUUUAGAGGAAAACGGGCAAGAGAAGAAUAUUUGGCAAAGGAAUUGCAACCGCAUUUGGAGCUAUAUUUAAUUUUGUCUUUUAAGUCUUUUACACUUGUUUUUGUUAUUGAUGUUAGCUUGGAUGUGUGUGCGUGUGCGACUGAAUUCAACUUACAUGCUAUUGAUGCAGCCACCAAAAAGGGGUGGUCCAUCAUCAAUCAACAAGGUUUAUUAUUAUUUUCAUAUGGAUUUUCUUAAUUAUAAAUAAUACUAAUGCUAUUUCAUAGUUAUAAAUAUAUUAGAAUUAAUCGAAAUCAUUUUUUAGUGUGGCAUUGCCAAACUACCUUUUUUUAUAAGUAAUUACUACUUUCACAUUAAGAAAAAUACUCCUAUUUUUAGGGAAAAAUCAAGUACUUGUAGUUGUGAAAACUUGAGCUCACUCGCGUAUGAUAAAUCUUCAUAUUAAUUACAUAAAUAUCCUCUAAAAUUUUAAAUUAACUAUUCAAAAUUCGAUGUUAUACGGGUAUUUCAUUUAUUUGAGUAGGGGUUAGGGGUCAAUUGGAUACAAAUUCAAAAUUAUCCUUACUUGAGAAGGUGAUAAAAAUUGGGGAUUUAAUUUGGAUGUCAUUAGCUACAAAUAUUAAAUUCAUACAUUUAAUUCAAAAUUGGAGGGUUGAUAUAUGCGCAUCAUCGUGCACGUUAUAGUGACACUGCGUCACCAUCCCACAACCUCUCCAAUGAAAAAUUAACACGUUUCUCGUGUGCAUUUGAUCAGAAUCCUGAAAAUUAAUCACAAAAUUGUACUUUUAUUAUAAAAAGAAUAAAGAAACUCCUGAAAAAAAAAUACUUACAUAAAUGGUUUGAAAAUUCUAGAUUUCAAGUUGUCUAUAUUAGCUUGAUAUUUUUAUAAAUAGUCAUCCUCUCAAAAAAAUUCCAUCAAAAUAUAUAUUUUAAUUUUAUGUUAAUUCAUAAACAUGAAAAAAUCAUUUCAUAAUUAAUUAAAACAUAAUUUAUUGUUUCUCAAAAAAGGUAGAACUUAGUGAUAAGAAAAAAGUAUCUCAAAUAUAUGUAAAAAAAAAAAAAAUCUUGGUUGGUUGGAAUGAUUGAAUUUGCUUUUCUUUUUCUUUUUUAAGAAUUAAGACAAUCGGAUUGAUUGAGUAAUAAUAAUAUAUAUUUAUUUGGAGGUAGGCUUUCGUCUCAUGCAGAUUGAUUAGAGAGAAAACAAAACAAUUUUAAGCUCGUUAGAUUCGAAGCUGCUUACCUGUCGUGUGGGGAUCACUUCCGUGUCUUAUUUUUCUAAAAAAGUCUGGACCAUUGGAUUUAUGUGAAUCGUACUGAACAUUGGAAUUGAUGUAUAAGAAAAAAAUUUUGUAGUCGUUUAAGGAAAAAAAUUAUUCAAUUGGGAAUUUUUUUCCUUUAAUUUUUGUUGUACUUGAUUGAGAUUUCUCCUUAGUCCCUACAGUUUUAAGUUUGGAAACCGUAGGAUUAGUAAUUUCGUACUUCCUUUGCAAGCUGAGUAUAAGGAUGAAAUUCUUUUAAGAAAUUAAAAAAGAUAAAAAAAAGCAUACCAAUAGGCAAUUAUAAAUAACCACAAAUAAAUAUAAACAAAAUGUUUAUGACGUAAAUUAAACAUGCUCAAUUAUUUUCUUUUAUUUUCUGCUCGGAAACCCAUAAAUGCACUAAUCCAGUAUUACUAAUUUCAGACAGAAAAAUUUGAAUUUAACCGGUAUACAUUUCUACAAACCAAACAAGGCUAUUAUUUUUAUUAUUAUUUUUUUUUUUUUAUAAAUUACUAUUUUAAUUUUUCACUUUUUAUUGGGUUGCUUAACAGAUUAGUGAAGUUGGUGGUCGUUGAUGCACUCACAAGGUACAAUUUUAUUUUAGAAAUUGAAAUUUCGUAUUUUAAAAUGCAGGCACAUUAUGUAUGCAUAAUUAUUGAUUUUCAUAUGUGGGUGUUUUGAAAUAUUGCUAAAAGACCAAACUUUAAUAAACUAUUUUUGAUCUUUUUUUUUCCUUUGUACCUAAAGUUAGAGUGAUAUCCGCAUUUUAAAUUCAUGUGGACCAAAAGCUAAUGUAUGGACAAAAUUAUUUUAUUUUUCCGAGAAAAAUGGGUAAGAGAAGAAGAUUUUUCUCUUGAAAAAGAAAAACUAAUACGUUGCAAGCAUAGGAAAGAGGCUAGUGUGUUUGGAUUUGAAUUUAGUAUUGAGUUCAAUUUUAUGCUAAGCUCUUUUAUAAUACUGCGAUUAGGGAGCCCUUAAGUUACAUGUAAUAUAACUUACACUCGCUCACUUAAAUAGUGGGUGGGUUGGGGGCCCACUCACUGUUCAUGUGAGUGAGUGUAAGUUCCAUUAUAUGUAAUUUAGCACUUGCCUUGCGAUUAAUAAGCUCAGGAUUUGCUUUUGCUUUUACUUCAAGUAAAAGAAAGAGGAAACCUUUUGUUUUUUGUUUGAUUUUUGACUAUAUAUGUUACCUAUAUAGAGAGUUGAGAUGGCUGCCUUAAGUGAUGGUGAUAAAAAGAUUAAGCAGCGCACACAAUCUUACUAUCGUCCAGACUGUCCAGUGAUAGACUCUAGUUUUUUGGUUACAUUAGCUUUAGUGGAAAGAAGGGCCAAUUUAACAAAGACUAGAUUUGGUGGCUUGUUGUAAUGCUUAUUCUCAGGGAAUCUAAGGUUAUAAGAUGAUUGAAUGAUCUUCUAUGAUUGUGAGCAGUAUAUUAUAAUUGAAGAGAGCUUGGGCUCCUAUGAUGUAUAACAAUAACACAUUACUAUGAUUGAGAAAACUCAGUUACAAUAAACUCUUCAUUUAUUCAUUGCUGAGAUUGAAUGGCAAAUAGAGAAUAGAAUGAAGCAGAGGAAUCUCAUUGCCUGUAAAAUUGAGCCUAUUUAAUAUUACUUGUAGUUUUUAUUGUAAAAUAUACAGGUAUGACCAUGAUCAGAUGCUUUUUUUAAAAACAAAUGAGACAUCUUUGAUUUAUGGUAGUUUUAGAGAAAAAAAAAACAUAUAAAAAUUAAGAGGGAUGAGUUAACUGACGAUUACAAUCAUUACAGCAAUGCUGAUGAGUGAUACAUCACUUGAAAUUUAUUUGUCAGUUGCUGUAAUGAUGGAAAAAAACAAUAAACAAUAACAGUAAUAAUGUUCCCUUGCUGAAAUUCAAUUUUGACUUUCGACUCUUGGCUUUUAUGGAGAGUAAAAUGACUUGUAUAUUAUCCUCAUACAAUCCACUCUACAUAAUGAUAUCAUUUUAAUAAGGCAAUGGCUGAUGAUCUCCAUUGAAAAACUUUUUGUUUUAUUUAACUUUUUGGUUGUUGAAAAUAACCUUAAUUAUCAAAUAAUCAGAGAAAGAGUAAAGAACAUUUAACAAAUUUAUGUGCCAAAAAAAAAAGGAGAAAUUGAAGAGAAAGGAUGCUUGCAGAAGUGGGUGUCAAAGAGAUAAAUCGGUCUAUAAGAAUUAUUGUGGUUAUUUUUUUGGUGCCUUGGAGUUCUUUAAAUUAAGGGCCCAGUUUGUCCAUUUGUUUCAGUUAGGUCCUUAUUAAAAAUUAAUUUUAAUAUUGGUUUUCUUAAUUAUAACUAAUACUAAUGAUAUUUCAUAGUUAUAAAUAUAUUAGAAUUAAUCCAAAACAUUUUUUAGUGUGGCAUGGCUAAAACUACCUUUUCUAUUAGUAAUUACUACUUUUGCAUUAAGGAAAAUACUCCUAUUUUUAGAAAAAAGUCAAGUACCUAUAGUUGUGAGAACUUGAGCUCACUCGCUUAUGAUAAAUCUUCAUAUUAAUUACGAAAAUAUCCUCUAAAUUUUAACUAAACUAUUCGAAAUUCAAUGUUAUUCGGAUAUUUCGUUUAUUUGAGCAGGGGUUAGGGGUCAAUUUGAUACAAAUUCAAAAUUAUCCUCAUUUGCGAAGAUGAUAAAAAUUAGGGAUUUAAUUUGGAUGUCACUGGCCACAAAUAUUAAACUCAUGCAUCUCAAAAUUAGAGGGCUGAUAUAUAUGCAUUAUCGUUAUAUUGACAUGUGUCACCAUCCCACAACCUCUCCAAUGAAAAAUUGACAUGCAUCUUGUGUGCUUCUUAUCAAAAUCCUGAAAAUUAAUCACAAAGUUAUAUUUUUAUUAUAAAAAGAAGAAAGAAACUCCAUAAGUGAAAAAAAAAAAGACUUAAACAUAAAUAUUUUAGAUAAUCUAGAUUUCAAGUUGUCUAUACUAGCUUGAUAUUUUUAUAAAUAUCAAGAUUUCAAGUUGUCCAUAGUAGCUUGAUAUCUUCUAAAAAAAUUCCAUCAACAUAUAUUUUAAUUUUACGUUAAUUAAUAAAUAGAAAAUUCAUUUUAGAAUUAAUUAAAACAUUAUUUAUUGUUGCCAAAGAAGGAAGUACUUAGCGAUAAGAAAAAAGUGUCUCAAAUAUAUGUUAAAAAAAAAUCAUGGUCGGUUGGACUGAUUGAAUUUUUUUUUCUUUUUCUUUUUUAAGAAUUAAGACAAUUGGAUUGAUUGAGUAAUAAUAAAAUAUAUUUAUUUGGCAAAUGGCAGGUAGGCUUUCUUCUGAUGCAGAUUGAUUAGAGAGAAUAUGCAGCAAUUUUAAGCUUGUCAGAUUCGGAGGCUGCUUAUCUGUCGUGUGGGGAUCACUUCCAUGUCUUAUUUUUCUUGAAAAAUCUGGACCGUUGGAUUUACCAUUAGUCAAUAGAGAAAUGCUGAUCUUGAUUCUUGAUCAAGAUCGAAGUUUGAUUCUAUCUAACAUGAUAUCAGAUUGCGAAGCAAGCAAAUUGAAAGUAACUUGUUCUAUUUUGAUGGAAGAAACACAAUUUCUAUUGUUCUAAUAAAAAAUUUUAAUUAUACAUAUUUUUCUUUUGCCACUUGGGUUUGUAGUCCAGUGGUGAACUAUUGGCCUUAAAGUUAAGUAUGACUAUGAGGGCAAUGGUUCGAGUGCCCACGAACUCAAACUCCCUCAAUUAAACAUAAUUAUGUGGAGAUUACUUAUAACGUCUUUCUCUCUUGUGAAAUCUGAGUGGAGUAGAAAUAUCCCUUUCCCGUGAGGGUUAUUUGGCUAGGCAUGUACUUUAUAGAAUAAAAAUGUAAUAAUGUAAGUCAGUGCAAUGAUCUACUGUCAUAGUAGUUGUAAAUAUCUAGGUGUAAUACAGUAACCUGAUGCUUAAUCAGUUAAAAAAAAUGUAUAUCUUUUUUUUAUUUUUUUCAUUGUGAUCACUAUAACUAGUCAAAUUUAUUUUUAAAUAUUUUUUAAAAAAAUAUUUUAUUAACAAUGAUAUGAAAAUAUUCGAACCCCUUCUCAUAGUAAAGUGAAUUACUAUCCAACUGAUGCCUUCAAACUGUAAAUUGCAAAUCGUGUGUUUGCUCCAUUACAGGGUGUCUUCAAUUUAAAAUAGAGAAUAAUUUGGUUCUAGAUUAAUCGUGGGUCUAUAUCCAAAUCCAAAAAUUGACUAACUUGAUUUCUAUUAAGUUCUCAACCCUAACACGAAAAAUAGAAGAUUAAAAAUGACUAUUUUGGUUUCUAUUAAUUUGAGUAACACUUAAUAUUUAUCAUACAAUAGUCACUUAUAUUAUCAAAAUCUUGGGUCGAAAAUAUUAGGAUAGGUGAUAAUUGGAAUUAAGUUGUAGAUAAGAUAGAAAUGGAUUUGGAGAGAGAUUGGAAUCCUGGCUAAUCCGGUGCACGUUGUUGCGUUAAAUUCUCGUUGACUUCACGUUGACCGAAGCAUUAUUGGAAGAAACAAGCAAGCUUAUUUUCUUCUCUCAUUUUUUACUUUUGUCUAAAUUUAUUGAUGUGAGGCCUCUGAGAUGGUAAAGUGUUAAAUCUGAGAAGAGUACCCACACACCCAUUAUCCUAUUACUCUUAUUUUAUCACAUGCAGAGACGUCAACGUUUGAUUCGCACGGAAAAAAAUUUGCUAGGAUUGUGAGGGUUGAUGUAAUGUAAUUUAGAUGCAAAGUGUUCACAAGUGCGAUGCUUCGUAAGUGUACUUGAAUCAUUAUAAACUCACCUUAUUUUCAUAGUGAUUAUUUCAUCUGCAUGUGAAUAUAAUCAUAUGUGGAGAUUUUUUUCCUAAAUUAUGAUCUUCUCUGGUAUUGAGGUGUUAUAUUUUUUAAAGGUUAAUGUUAAGUUACAUGCAUGUAACUUACAACCCUCUCACAUGAAUAGUGAGUGGACCCACACCAUUCACUAUUCAUAUGAGAGGGUUGUAAGUUACAUCCUCUUUUAAAUUAUAAUUAUUAUUAUAAAAAAACUGCAACUAUGAAAAAAAAUUAAUAUUAUGUCCUGAAUAUAAUUGUUAAAUAAUAAUUUUGACAAAAUUAAUGAAUAUAUACAGUUUUUUUAUCAUAUAAGUGUAAAAUUAUAUCAAAUUAGCUUUUAAAUUAUACAGUGGCUACUGCUUAUCAAACACUUUAGUGUUGUAACUUUUAAGUUAUAACUGUCUAGCCUUUAACCUCAAUCUCAAACGAGGCUUAUAAAGAUCAAGGAUUUCCUCAUAAAAAUUAUACGUCUUGUGAUUGCUUAUUUAAUUUAUAUUUUCGUUAUUUAUCUUUAUUAAUUAUAGUCAUCUUUUUAUAAAUUACAAUUGGAGAAAGUUGGUUGAUGUUGUUGACACACACACACACAUACAAAGAUAUAUUGGAAGUGCUUAUUAUGUCGACUCGAAGUUGUGGGGAGUUAAUGCAUGUAUUGAUUUAUUGGGAGUGUUUAAAUUAUUUUGUGAUUUACUUGAUAGAUUGAUUGAUUGAAUAUUGUUUGAUUGCUUCAUAUCAAUUCUGGAAAGUUUAUUUCUUUGUGAAAUUUCAACGAAAUAUGUUUUUUAAAAUAAUAAGGGUGUUUUAAGUAAUUUUGAAAAAUAAAUACACUAAUUAGAAUUAAUUAUUAAGUAAUUAACUCGAACUGUAGAGGAUAAGCAAACAUUUAUCCUAAUUAUAUUAUGAUAAAUCCUUUUCCAACUAGAAUUAGGAAACCAUAGAUAUACAGAUUUUUAUUUUUAUUUCCCUUUGCGAAAACGGAUUAGAGAAUUAGAAAACAAUCCUAGUGAGACUAUUGUUAGGUUUAAUAUUUUGUCGAAUUUGGAAACUUUUUGUCGAAUUAGAAAACAUGCGUGGUGAAUAUUUUGUCGCAUGCAAACUUUUUGUUUUAUGCAAAUCGUACUGAACAUUGGGACUGAUGUUUAAGAAAAAAAUUCUGUAGUUAAAGAAAAACAAAAAGGCAUGUUGAAUAGAUUACGAUAGUUUAUUCAAUUGGGAAUUUUUUUUCUUUAAUUUUUGUUGUACUUGAUUGAGAUUUCUCCUUGGUCCUUACAGUCUUAAGUUUGGAUACCGUAGGAUUAGUAAUUUCGUACUUCCUUUGCAAGCUGAGUAUAAGGAUGAAAUUCUUUUAAGAAAUUAAAAAAAAAUGAUAAAAAAGGCAUACCAGUAGGCAAUUAUAAAUAACCACAAAUAAAUAUAAACAAAAUGUUUAUGAAGUAAAUUAAACAUGCACAUAUUAUUUUCUUUUAUUUUCUGCUUGGAAACCCAUAAAUACACUAAUCCAGUACUACUAAUUUCAGAUAGAAAAAUUUGAACUCUAAGCUGCAGUUUGACUCAAAAUGAUGAUCACUGGCUUCGCACCAUUUAACCGGUAUACAUUUCUACAAACUGAACAAGGCUAUUGAUUUUUAUUAUUAUUUUAAUUUGUUUAUAAAUUACUAUUUUAAUUUUCACUUUUUAUUGGGUUGUGUAACGGAUUAGUGAAGCUGGUGGUCGUUGAUGCACUUACAAGGUACAAUUUUAUUUUAUAAUUUCAAAUUCGUAUUUUAAAAUGCAGGUACAUUAUGUAUACAUAAUUAUUGAUUUUCGUAUGAGGGUGUUUUGAAAUAUUGCUAAAAGACUAAACUUUAAUAAACUAUUUUUGAUCUUUUUUUUUCCUAAAGUUUGGGUGAUAUGCGCAUUUUAAAUUCAUGUGGAACAAAAGUUAAUGUUUGUAUAAAAAUUCUUUUAUUUUUUUGAGCAAAAUAGGCAAGCGAAAAAGUUUUGGCAAAUGAGUUGCAACUGAAUCCAAAACCAAUACAAUGCAAGCAUAGGAAAGAGGCCAGUGUUUAGGAUUUGAAUUUAGUAUUAAGCUGAAUUUUAUGGUACGCUCUUUUAGAGUACUGUGAUCGAUAAGCUCAGCCCCGGAUUUGCUUUUGCUUUUGCUUUUACUUCAAGUGAAAGAAAGAGGAAACCUUUUGUUUUUUCUUUGGUUUUCAACUAUGUUACCUAUACAGAGAGACAAGAUACCUGCCAUAAGUGAUGGUGUUAAAAAGAUUAAGCAGCGCACACAAACUUACUAUCGUCUAGACCAUCCAGUGAUGACCCUAGUCUUUUGGUUACGUUAGCUUUAGUUGAAAGAAGGGCCAAUUUAACAAAGACUAGAUUUGAUGGCUUACUAUGUUUAAUGUAAUGCUAAUUUUCAGGGAAUCUAAUGUUAUAACUUAUAAGAUGAUCUCCUAUGAUGAACAACAGUAACACAUUACUGUGAUUGAGAAAACUCAGUUACAAUAAACUCUUCAUUUACUCAUUGAGAAGAUUGAAUAGCAAACAGAGAAUAGAAUGAAGCAGAGGAAUCUCAUUGCCAAUAAAAUUGACCCUCUUUAAUGUUAUAUGGCACAGGUGUGGAGGAAGAACAAGUUACUUGCAGUUUUUAUAGUAAAAUAUACAGGUAUGACCAUGAUCAUUACAGUUAGGUUUUGAUGAUUUCGGAUGCUUUUUUUAAAAAAAAAAAAAUUGUGACAUCUUUGAUUUACGGUAGUUUUGUAGAAAAAAAAUAUAUAAAAAUUAAGAGGGAUGAGUUAAACUGACGAUUACAAUCAUUCCAGCAAUGCUGAUGAGUGAUACAUCACUUGAAAUUUACUUAUUAGUUGCUGAAAUGAUGAAAAAAAAAAACAAUAAACGAUAACAGUAAUAAUGUUCCCUUGCUGAAAUUCAAUUUUGACUUUCGACUCUUGGCUUUUAUGGAGAGUAAAAUGACUUGUAUAUUAUACUCAUACAAUCCACUCUACAUAAUGAUAUCGUUUUAAUAAGGCAAUGGCUGAUGAUCUCCAUUUAAAAACUACAUCAAUUUUUUUGCUUCAUUUAACUCUCUGGUUGUUGAAAAUAACCUUAAUUAUCAAAUAAUUGGAGAAAGAGUUAAGAACAUUUAACAAAUUUAUGUGCAAAAAAAAAAAAAAAAAGGAGAAGUUGAAGAGAAAGGGUGCUUGCAGAAGUGGGUGUCAAAGAUAAAUCGGUCCAUAAGAAUUAUUGGGGUUAUUUUUUGGCAAAAUAAGAACUUAUGCGAUAGCAUUUUUUAUGGGUGCAUAUAACCUCCCUUUAAAAAAAUAUAUAAUAAUUACUGCUUAAUAUAGUAUUAAAUACAAAAAUAUCAAUAUUUGACUACUUAAAUUUAUAUCAUUAGGUCCUUAAAAUUUAAAAUGGAAGAUAUGAAAGGAAAUAUAUAUAAAUUUCAUUGUCCUGGUAAAGGGCCCUCUUAUAAUCUUAUAAUAUUUGAACUUUGAUAGAUUUUUUGAAACAAAUGUACUUUUAUUUGUGUACAAUCAAUAUUUACUCAUUUAUUAUAUUUUAAUUUAUUAACUAUUAAUCAUGUAAGUAUACUUAAUCAGAAAAAUUAUAUCAAGAGAAAAUUCUAAUUUCACGCAAAAACAAAUACCAAAACAAAUAUCUCAAUUUCUAUACUAUUCACUUUCCUGUAGAAUCAAUUAUUUAAAAUGCAAGUUUGUGGCUACAGAAAACUCGCCAAAGAAAGAAGAUAAUAACAAUUGAGCAUUGAUAGCAAAACUAAUGCAUCCAAUUCUUCUUGACUUGAUGAGAUGGCGCCAUAACGUAGACACAAGUACCUAAAUUGACCGGCACUGAGUGAUGUGAAUACUACCAGCCAGUUCAUCUCUUCCAGUCUUGCUUAAUCACAAUCACAAACACCACGAGAUCGACAUUUGCAUUAUAUAUAUCUUCAGCAAUCGAAACACCUUGCAUUACCAAAUAAGCCCGUAACAGACAAAGCAAUCUUUCAUGGAGAGAAACCUUAGUCUCAGUAUGAUCACUGUGUCAUUAACCUACUGCCUGCUUCUUUGCUUGGUUGCUGCAGCAGCAGCAGCGGCAAGCAACAAUAUUACCACAGACCAACAAGCUCUUCUUGCCCUGAAAGAUCAUAUAAUUUAUGAUCCGACCAGCCUUUUAGCUCACAAUUGGACCUCGAAUACCUCUGUUUGUACCUGGAUUGGCAUCACUUGUGAUGCCAAUAGCCAUAGAGUCACAACCUUAGAUAUUUCUCAAUUCAAUCUACAAGGCACCAUCCCUCCUCAACUUGGAAACCUCUCUUCACUCACAACACUUAAUCUUAGUCAUAACAGGCUUUCUGGAAGCGUUCCCUCCUCCAUCUACACCAUGCAUACGCUAAAAUUUCUUGACUUCACUGAUAACCAGCUCUCUGGUUCAGUGUCUUCCUUCGUCUUCAACAUGUCUUCAAUAUUAGUAAUUCGUUUGACCAAUAACAUAUUUUCUGGUGAGCUUCCGAAAAAUAUUUGCAACUAUCUUCCUUAUUUGAAGGCCCUUUUCUUAAACAAAAACAUGUUUCAUGGCAAAAUUCCUUCUGCUUUAUCAAAGUGCAAACAACUGCAACAAUUAAAUUUGCAGUUCAAUAAUUUAUCCGGUGCAAUACCAAAAGAAAUCGGCAACUUGACUAUGCUCAAAGGGAUAUAUCUCCUCUACAACAAACUCCACGGUAUGUUCACAAUACUAUAUAAAUAUUUUAAUUUAUCACUUAUUAUCUUUCUUGAAUAAUUUAGCUAAGAUCUUGUAAGAGAGAUAUUUUGCAUCUACGUUAAUUUACCAGGUGAGAUACCCCACGAAAUCGCUAAUCUUCCAAAUCUAGAGGCUUUAGCGCUUGGAAUCAACAACCUAGUUGGUGUGUUACCAGCUCCCAUCUUCAACAUGUCAACACUGAAGGUACUUAUCCUCAUAAAUAACUCUCUCUCCGGAAGUCUUCCAUCAAGAGUAGACCUUUCACUUCCAACUGUUGAGCAACUUAACUUGGCACUUAAUAGAUUUUCUGGAACCAUUCCUAGUUCCAUCACCAAUGCUUCUAAGCUCACCUUUCUAGAGUUGGGAGCAAACACAUUUUCGGGGUUUAUUCCAAACACAAUUGGUAAUUUAAGAAACCUUAAGUGGCUCGGCUUGGCUAAUAACUCCUUGACAUCUUCAACCUCAAAAUUGAGCUUUCUUUCCUCUUUGGCAAAUUGCAAGAAAUUAAGAUUCGUAAACUUAAUAGGCAAUCCACUGGACGGCUUCCUUCCAAGUUCAAUAGGUAAUCUUUCUGUGUCUUUGGAAACACUUGGCAUCGGCAAUUGCAGUAUUAGUGGCAACAUUCCUCCAGCAAUUAGCAAUUUAAGCAACUUGUUGACCUUAGUAUUACACGGCAAUAAAUUGACUGGACCAAUCCCAACUACAUUCGGCCAACUGCAGAAACUCCAAGGCUUAGAUCUUGCAUUCAAUAAGUUGGUAGGUUCAUUCCCAGAUGAGCUUUGCCAUCUGGCAAGGCUGGAUCAAUUGAUCUUAUUUGGCAAUAAGCUUUCAGGAUCUAUACCUUCAUGCUUAAGCAACCUCACUUCUCUAAGAUCUCUCUAUUUAGGGUCUAAUAAGUUUACUUCUGUUAUUCCCUCAACCUUCUGGAGCCUAAAAGACAUCUUGUUCUUUGACUUUUCAUCAAAUUUCUUGGUUGGUCCUCUUUCUUUAGAUAUAGGAAAUUUGAAGGUGCUUCUAGGAAUAAGUUUAUCGAAAAAUAAUUUAUCCGGUGAUAUCCCAGCCACAAUUGGAGGACUGAAAGAUCUUCAAUUUAUGGACCUAGCAUAUAAUAGAUUGGAAGGCCCAAUUCCUAAAUCAUUUGGUGACUUGAUAAGUUUAGAAGUUCUGAAUUUAUCAAAUAAUAAAAUCUUUGGGUCUAUUCCAACAUCCAUGGAGAAACUUUUUUACCUCGGAGAGUUAAAUCUCUCUUUCAAUAAACUAGAAGGUGAGAUUCCUAGUGGAGGAACUUUUGCCAACUUCACAGCUAAGUCAUUUAUGGGAAAUGAGUUUUUGUGUGGUUUACAAAAUCUUCAAGUCCAACCAUGCAAAGUUAGCAAGCCGAGGACAGAACAUAAAUCAAGGAAAAAGAUACUUCUCAUUGUGAUUGUUUCGCCAUUGAGUAUUGCUCUAACAAUAGCAAUCACUCUAGCUCUCAAAUCUAAGCUGAUCGAAUGUGGAGAAAGAAGCACAGUGUUGUCAAAUGAUAGUAUCUUGUCAUCACAAGCAACACUAAGAAGAUUUUCAUACUUAGAACUUUUACAAGCAACAGAUAAUUUUGCUGAAAACAGCAUAAUUGGCAGAGGAGGUUUCGGUUCCGUUUAUGGAGCAAGACUUGAAGAUGGGAUGAAGAUUGCAAUAAAAGUGUUUCACAGGCAAUGUGCAAGCGCAUUGAAGAGUUUUGAGGCUGAAUGUGAAGUGAUAAAAAAAAUUCGCCAUCGAAACCUUAUCAAAGUUAUCAGCAGUUGCUCGAACGAUGACUUCAAAGCAUUAGUCCUAGAAUACAUGUCCAACGGGAGCUUAGGGGAUUGGCUGCAUUCGAGCAAUUACGUGCUGAAUAUUUUUCAAAGGUUGAACAUACUAAUUGACGUUGCAUCAGCUUUAGAAUACCUCCACUUCGAUCAUUCAACUCCUAUUAUUCAUUGUGACUUAAAGCCUAGUAAUGUAUUGUUGGACGAAAAUAUGGUUGCUCAUUUGAGUGAUUUUGGCAUAGCAAAGCUUUUAAGUGGAGAAGAUGAGUCUACGAUGCGAACAAAAACCCUUGCCACUAUAGGUUAUAUGGCACCAGGUUUGCUUCAAACAACUUUUUUUUUUUAAACUUCAUUUUAAAUUUUCUAAAUCAUUGAUUUUUACGAUCCUCAUAUCAAAUUGUUAUUGAUUAUUUAUCUAAUUGUGAAAUUAAUUUGAUUCAUAGAGUAUGGCAUAGGAGGAGAAGUAUCUACAAAAAGCGAUGUUUACAGCUAUGGGAUUAUGCUGAUGGAAACUUUUACCAAGAAAAAACCCACAGAUGAAAUUUUUGUUGGAGAAUUGAGCUUAAAGCAUUGGGUUAAUGACUUGCUUCCUAAUUCAUUAGUGGAAGUUGUGGACAAAACUCUGCUAAGUGGAGAGGAAAAACACUCUGCAGCAAAGGAGCAAUGUCUGUUGUCUAUCUUUAGUUUGGCUCUGGAGUGUACAAUGGAAUCACCGGAAAAGAGGAUUAAUGCAAAAGAUAUUGUUACCGGAUUACUCAAGAUAAGAGACACAUUCAGUAAAAGGAUAGGAAAUUUAAGUUAAUUUCGUUUGCUUUCAUUGAUAGUUAAUUCGAAUUCAUGUAAUAAGUGUAAGAAUCUUAUAUCUUUUCCUUUGAUAUAUUUUUUUUCUUGAGAAAACUGUUGUAGUCAUCUUGUUUCCAUGGGCAGAGUUGAUUUAGUUCUUCCAAAAAAUGCUACUGAUGACCUUUGUUUAAUACUUUCUCUUUUUUUGCAUGUGUU
rnacentral:lncRNA from 1 species